GAGUUUGUCUUGGAGUAGGGAUUCAACAUACUUUAGGAGACGGCGCAGCGGCUCUUCAUUUCAUCAAUAGUUGGGCUGACACUUCACGGGGCUUGACGCCUGCCAUUGCACCAUUCAUUGAUCGAACUCUUCUUCGUGCUCGGGACCCACCAACGCCUAAGCUCCACCAUGUUGAAUAUGACCCUUCACCGGCAUUGAAGUCUGCAUUAAAAUCUCAAUCAGAUGAUCAUAAGCCAUCCAUUGUCUCCACCUUUAAGCUCACAGCUGAUCAAUUGAACACCCUGAAAGCCAAAGCUAAUGUUGCAAAUGCAAACGGUGGUAUAAAAUAUAGCAGCUUCAACAUCUUGGCUGCACAUAUAUGGCGUUGUGUAAGUAAAGCAAGGGGUCUCCCAGCUGAUCAAGAUACCAAGCUGUAUUUUCCAGUUGACGGUCGAUAUAGAUUGGAUCCUCCGCUCCCACCAGGCUACUUCGGCAAUGUAAUCUUUACGACUGCAUUAAUUGCUCAAGCUGGUAAUCUCGAAACCGAAUCGUUUACUGACACCAUAAAGAGGAUCCAUGAAAGAUUAAAUCAGAUAAAUGAUGAAUAUUUAAGAUCAGCUAUUGAUUACAUUGAAAAAGUGCCUGAUUUAAACACCUUGGUUAGAGGACCGCAUACUUUUCGAUGCCCAAACCUUGUUGUUGUUCCAUGGAACUGGUUGCCUAUAUAUGAGGCAGAUUUCGGAUGGGGUCGUCCCAUAUAUAUGGGGCCAGGGAAUGUCGUCCAAGAAGGCAAAAUUUACGUACUACCAAGUCCAACUAACGAUGGGAGUUUGACACUGGCAGCUCGUUUAGAGAUCCCUCACAUGAAAGUUUUUGAAAAACUUAUUUAUGAGUUUUAAUAGUUAUGUUACCGGUGUGUCGCGCAAUUUUAUUUUAUUUUUUUGUGUGGUUAACGGAUUAUAAUGGAAGUUAUUGCAGUAGUUGAUCUAGAGGAUGGAUCAUUUAAUGAUUGCGUUAGGAAGUUUGGUGAUUUCCUUUUUCUUUGAAUGUUGGAAGCUAGAUUAAGUUGCAUUUCUUAAUGGAAAUUACUUUUUUGGGUAAAUAAUGGAAAUGAGUUUUUAAUGCAUUUGCUAUGGAAAGUUGAAAUGAUAACAAUUUCUUACAAAUGUUAAUCAUCUUUUGGGGAGGAUGUAUGACUAAGCCGUGUUAAUUUAAGAAUUAAGAGUACUACAAGGUUACAAGGUUAUUGCGUAUGCUCCCCUUUUGUAAAUUGAAAAAUCAUAUUGAUUAUAUAUAUUUCAAGUUAAUUGAUUUAUAUUGUUACAUUCACUUUAGGAAAUAGAGCAAAUUUAAUACAAUAAUUGAUUUGCCGUCAAAUGUUGUACUUAAUUCGGGUCAAUUCUGCAUUUAAAGAUCUUGUUUCUAUGCAAUUUAGUAAUUUAUAUUAUGUUUUCAGUAUUUAAGCCUUAGGAUUAAAUAUUAGUAAAAUAAGUAUUUUUUAACACAUUUUAUAAGUGCUGUGACCCAAUAGGCUGACACAGACCUUAGGUAUUGCUAAUAUGUUUAAUUAAGUGUGUAGGAUGAAGAUUUAUGGGCCUAAUUGACAUGGAAACAAAGGACGAGUGAUGCACAAGCUUCCCAGUAUGUCAAAGCACAAAACGAACGUCACAAGGUAGAAAUUGUGUGUCGUGUAGCGCCAUAGGCAUGGUGUGGCACGACACAGGUCAUCGACUUCCUACCCAAGUAUGUCGGGGUUAUUUUUGUAACAGCCUAAUUUUUAGUGGUGUCGGAAACAGUGAUUUGAGAUCACUAAAUCCGACCAGUGAGUUUUAAAAUUUAAUAAAUAAAUACGUAUGAGUGAAGUGUGAUUAUAGAAGAAUUUUAGAUUAGUGAAUUUUGUGAUUUAAAAAGAAAUUAAUAAGUAAAUUCGGUCUAAAACGAGGUAUUAAAACCUCAAACACAUAAACCGAGCCAUAAAUAUUUUUAUAAAUAUUUAUUGAGUGUCAUUGAGCUGGUAUUAAAAUUUCGUUAGAAAAUUCUAACGUUUGGAUGGUCAAUUAAUUAAAAAGGACUAAAUUGAGAAUAGUGCAAAAAUUUUUAAAUUAUGAUUAAAUAGCUUAAGUGACUAAUAAGGAGGGAUUUAAAAGACAAUUAGGCCCAAAUUGUAUGGGCUGGACGGUUUGGGAAAGAAAAUCAGCAAUAAAAUAAGGAGAAACAAGGGCAAAAUUGGAAAUUUCACAAAUUAAACAUAAAACAAAGACAAAAUUGAAAAUCUAGAGCUUUCUUCAUAAUUCAUCAGCAAAAAUGCCAUAGCAGGUCUGAAACAAGCUGGUUUCUCAUAUUUUUAUACCAUGUGAGUUCAAUUCUUGCAUUUUCUUUGAAAUUCUUAUGUUUUGUGACUUUUACAACUAGGUCCAACUAUUGAAUUCAUUAGUUUUGAUUCCAUGGAUGAUUUUUCAAGUUACCAUGAAGAAGUGCUAGAAGUUUAUGAUGAAUUAUCAUAGAUUUUAAGCUUUAAUUUCAUUAUAUUAUGAUUUUAUUAAGUGAUUUUAGUAGAAAAUGAUUUUUAGGACCUAAUUGUGAAAAAGCUAGGAAUUGGGGUUUUGUACUGAAAUUAUGAAUAUAAAAGGCUGUGUAAUAGCCUAAAAUGAUUAGAUAAAGUGUUAUUUGAGGAAGAAUUAGUUCAAUUAAAGUGUUAAUUGAGUAGGGACUAAAUUGUAAAAAUUAUAAAUUUUGGGGUAAAAGUGUAAUUUCAAAAAUUGAAGGGCAUAAAUUGAGAAGUGAAUUAGUAUUGAAUUAGAUGCUAAUGAAUGAACAAUUUUAUAUUAUAGAUCGAGAAUCCGAAGAUAAACGCGGAAAAGAGAAAAUAUCAAACUAGUCCUUAAACUUUUACAACUCCUACAAAUUGGCCCAUGUAAGUUCAUACGGCUGAACUUUUAUGAUUAAUUGUUAAUGUGGGAAUGAUUUAAUGUAUUAAUUCGUGUAUUGUUAAAUUAUGAUUAUUGUAAAAAUGUGAAAAUCAAAUUGUAAGUUCAAAUUAAGGGAUACAUAGGAUUGAGUACGUACGUUCAGUAACCAGUGAUGAAUUGACGAAUAAGUCCAUGGUGGAUCCAUGGAAAAGUGUGGAACGUAGGUAUGGUAAUUCAGUAAAGAAAACCAUACUGAGUUGUGGAACGUAGGUAUGGUAUUUCAGUGAAGAAAACCAUACUGAGUUGUGAAACGUAGGUAUGGUAUUUCAGUAACGAAAACCAUACAGAGUUGUGAAAAGUAGGUAUGGUAUUUUAGUGAAGAAAACCAUACUGAGUUAUAGCAUUGUAAAGGAUUCAAACGUAUCGUGGCACCGGGCAAACGAUGUACUCAAAUUCGUAAGAUGAUCAUUAAUUUGACAAGUGUUUGUAAGUGCAAUUGAAGCUAAAUGUUGGAAUAUAAGUUGAUAUUUGAUAUUAAGCUCGAUUGAGUAAAUUCAUUAUUUGAAAUUGUGGUUGGCAGGAAAUGUUGUAUUAUACUUGUUUAUUAUAAUUGUUAGUGAAAUUUUGGUGAGAUUUUAUUAUGAGCUUAUGAACUUACUAAGCUUUCUGUAAGCUUACUUGUGUGUGUUUAUUGUUUCUUGUAGAUUGAUGUAUAUAUAUAUAUAUGUUCAGAGGAUCGAAUGUACAUCAAGGAUCACACUAUCCAGAUUUACUCCGGUAGAUUUUGUUAAACAUCUUUUUUAUUUAUAUGGCAUGUAUAGGGGUUGAAGUAAUAAAGUAAUAGUAUGAAUGAUUAAAUAUGCAAAGUAAAUUUGAAUGUGAUGGUUGUGGUAGAUAUGGAAAUAUACAUGUUUUAGCUUGAAAUGGUUGAUUGUGUUUAAGUUCGGUAGUGCCUCGUACCCUGUUCCGGCGUCGAACAUGGGUAAGGGGUGUUACAAUUUUCGUCCACACAAUCUACCUUAUACGAAGACCUAGGACGUGUCGAAGACCUAAUUUAUAUUAUUAAAGUAUUUCAAUUUAUUUUCUUUUGCAUUUGGUUUAAUUAUUUAUUCCAAUCAAUCAAUUUGCUACUUUCUUCCUCAUUCGAUAUCAAAUCAAUGAUUAUUCAAAUUUCUUUCUCUUUUGAACCAACGUGUUUUUCAUAUGAUUUAUUUAAUUGGAAUUAAAAUUAUGAAUAGCAUAAAUGACUAAAUCCCUUAGGGAAGAUUAACGAGUGAAUGGGGAUGUGAUUAAUGAAGGAUUUAGGGUUUCUUGAGAGGGGUUAGUUGGUAUGAAUUGUGUUCUUAAACCAUUAGGAUUGACAAACCUAAGAAGUUAUCAUAGGUUAGACGAGGUCGGGAGAUAAGUCGAACCGAGUAAAUCAUAAGUUAUCUUGGUUGAGAAAGUUAGGUCGGGAGAUAAGCGAUUAAAAACCAAUUGAUUAGUUAAUUAGAGGCCGGGAAGUAAUAUUUGGUUAAUUGGUAGCUAAGCCACUCUAAAAACCUAAUCACAAUAUAGUUGCAAACCUUAAAGCGAGUUAAUCUUCUGGAUUGGUUUAUUGAUUUUUAUCGUUUGUUUAUUUUUCUUAUUUAUUUAUUUUUUCUAUUUAAUUUUUCUCCUUAAUCUAUUUUAUGGUUUAUCGUAAUAUAGGAAUUAAUUACUACUAUUUAAACUUGUUAUUGUAAAAAGGUUUUUGAAAUUUAUUUCACCCUUCAUUGGGUACGAUUCUCGGAAUACUUUCAAGUAUUUCAUUGUACAAACUAUAUUACAAUUUGACUCGUGCACUUGCGGACAUCUUCGUUAUCAAUUUUUAUACUUUUGGUGUUAUAUUUUUACUAUAAACGACUCGUUUAUAGGCGGUUAAGUUGUUGACAUCGUUGUCGGGGAGAUUUUGACAAUAAAUUUUGAAAAUAUUUUUUAUAAUUAAUAAUAUAAGUAGGAAUGUUAGGACCUAUAGUUACAAUUUUAAUUUUUGUUUAUUUUUAUUUUCUUUUCAAGUCAUUUAUGACCGAAGCUCUAGCACUCCAAUCGAACCAUACCCAGAUCUGGAGCAACUUAUUAGGUGCAAUCGUCAAGCAAUGAAAAAUGAUCCAUUGUGGUAAUUAGUUUACUUGGGAAAACCCAUUAUUCGAAGAUCUAUGAGAGCAACAAGGUAAUAACCGAGAAGAAGUCCCAAUGGUUUAGCGAACGUUGUGCAAGUAUGCCCUACCUACAUUAGAUGUGGUGCGAGGAAGCAUGGAAUGGCUGACGAUUAGCACCAAUAAUUUCGAGAUAAAAAUGGUCACGAUUCAAAUUAUCCAAAACAUGCUACAGUUCAAGGGCAACAUGGUUGAAGACCUGAAUCAGCACUUGAAGCGAUUUCUUCAACUAUAUGACACUUUCAAGUAUAACAGGGUAUCCGGUGAAGUUGUGCGUCUUCGAUUAUUCUUGUUCUCCUUAUGUGACAAUGCGGCGGAUUGGUUGGACUCACUAGAAUCGAGUUCCAUUACAACAUGGAACGAUCUAGUGGAGAAAUUUUUCUAUAAAAUUUUCCCAAUUAGUCGAACCAUUCAGUUGAGGAGAAAUCGCCAACUUUAAACAAUAGGAAGAUGAGUCCUUAUACGAGGCGUAGGAGCGUUUCAAGACUAUGCUAAGGAAGUGCCCGCACCAUAGACUGCAAGCAUGACUCCAGAUCCAAAUAUUCUACAACAGUGUUGAUGGGCACAUUAGAUCUAACUUAGACAAUAUCUGGUGUAUCUCUCAUGUUCCAUACGUACAAACGAGCUCAUAAAAUCAUAGAAGACAUGUAACACCCUAUACUUGGCUUGGUCGCCAAGCUCGAAUAUCAAGAUGCCACACCACCUAAUGCGAGUCUUAGGGCACAAUUUCAAACCCAUGAAUGUGAUGGGCUCACACUACCUCAAGGCCUAGCAACAGCGUCAAAGGCUAAGCAAAUCAAAUCAAGAUUCGAUCAACGACAAGAUUUGAGGACGAAUAUUUUUUAAGAAAGGGAGAAUGAUACAUGUAUAGAUGGGGUGAAAUUUAUUAAAUUCCAAUCACCAAAGUCGCCAAUUUUCAAGCUUGGGUAAUCAACAAAAUUGCGACGAUUUUUUGGAUGGGAUCCUAGCAUUUCUGGGCUGAGAUGUCUCAUGGUGUUUGAAGAUCUAUCUCUUAGCUUCGAAACGCAUUUUGAAUCACUCGAUUUUGAGUUCGAGAGCUCUAAUUAUGACCAUUUUAGUGAAGAUUACGUGAGCAAAAUUUCUGAACGGGAUUAUGACGGGAACUAGGAAUUUUGGGCUUUUAAUUCGAGUUUAAAUCAUAUUGGGUUUCGGUUUUAGGCUUAAUUUUUAUAUAUGAGCCCAAUAUUGUAUUUAUCAGCUCUUAUUAUUUUUUAUUAUUUUAUUCUGAUUUUUUGAUAAUUAUUAAGUAUUUUAAGUUAUUUAGGAGUUUUAUGUUAACAAGAAAGUUUAGUUUAAAACUACUUCUUAUUUAGAUUAAAUUAGAGUUCUAGUAUACUUAAGAGUUUUGUUUUGAUUUAUUUAGUUAACCUAUAUAUAGGCCUUUGUAUUGUACACAAUUCAUAAAAUUCAUUAUUAUUCAACUUCUCUUUUGAGUUUAUAAAUUCUAUUGAGUUUCUUCUAGAAGAGUUUUCACAAUCUUUUCAGAUUGUGAGAAUUAUUUUCAAACUUUUUCUUGUCAAGUUUUCUUUCUUGGAGGAGAAAUUAGAGCCGCUUGAAAGGGGUUGUGGAUUUUUCGUAUUUUCAAGACUUCUUAGGACUUCUACAUAUCACGUUCUAUCUUUCCAUCUAUCUUGGUGCAUUAGCAAUAGUAGUAAAACAAGUCUCAUGACUCAUGAGUGUUGAAUUUGAUUUAAAUAAUAAGAAUUAUAUUAAUGGAAGAAGAGCCUCUCCAAUAUUAUUUGUAUUUCUUAAUUAUACGCAUAUUAUUUGAAUGAUGAAGUAGUUGUCAAAUUUUGAAAAAUCAGAGAAUAGGUUGAUUUUCGGUGUUUUGUGAUAAUAAAUAAAUUGAUUUGUUUUAUAAAAUAGAACAAGAAUUGAGAUGUCUUCUCCUUUUAGAUAUUUUAUCUAAUGUUGCCCAAUUUUAUUGGUUAUCUUUUCAAUUGCAUUUGUAACUUUUUUUUAAAUAUUUUAUUGACAUCAACUUUGAAAACGUUUAUAUAUUUUCAACUGAUAUUUAUAAAAAUAAAUAAAACUUUGAUAAAUUAUUAAUCCCAUGUGUAUAAAAUUAAAUUGAAAAAAAAUUGGCUAUCAAAUGCAUCUCUGGUUUAAUAUAAUAAUAUGUGGUGGUUGGUGGUUUCUGUAAUUGCCCAACAUUCGCCAGGCCCAAACACCAAUAACAAACCAGUAUAAAAAUAGAAUAUAUAACAUCAGCCCAUUUUUGAAUGUCCAUUUACAAACAACGGCCUAAUAGCCCAAACUAACCAAAAACCUAAUGGCCCAAUGGCCCAGCACCUAAAGGCAGUUAACAGAAACCCUAGCAACAAGCAAACCCCCUGCGAUGCAGCAGCCCCAACUCCUCCGCGUAUGCUGCGCCACGUCCACCAUCUCCGUAUGCCAGCUGGCCUCCGUACCUACAAAGAAGACGAAGACAACACAGCAAAACAACAACAAUAGGCCAGCAUAAGAAAAAACAAAGAAAAUAAUAGAAAAAAAGAAAAAAAGGGAUAAACGAUUUUUGUAAUAUUCGGCAAUAUAAAAGCCGAUUGAUUCACUUUUGUAAAGUUUACACAGACGAAAAAGCAAUACAAAGAUAAAAAAAUUCAAAAAGAAAAGAAAACAGAUCAUUUCAGGUGGUGUUUCGACUUCGUUUGAUUCUGAUUAUUUUCUUUUCUUUCGUUUUCUUUGUUUUGUUUUCAUUUUAGAUGCGAAAAAUACAAAAGAAAAAGGGAGGACUCUUACCUUUGUAAACGCAACGCUGGAGCUCUGUUUACUCCGUCCAAAUCGGAGUUAGAUAGGGUUUAGGUUUGAUGCGACGGCAGGGAGGAGGAGAGUUUAGUUUUUCUGCUGAUGAGUAAAAGAGAAAAUGAAAGUUCUUAAAUUUUAGGGUUUCAGUUAGUUCUUGUGGGGUGUUUAAACGGCACCGUAUUUGCUCAGAUUAUGCGAGACCCGAUGACCCGACUCGAACAGGAUUAGAUCCGCGCGUUCUGGGUUCGCAAGGGUUAUUUGCGCAUUUGAUCCCUUGGUCUUAUCCCAUCAUUUCAAUUUCAUUUUCGUUAUUCUUAAAUCUUCCCCGUGUAUUUUGAAUUUGUUUGAAUCCUAUCCAGAUCCAAACGCUGCGUCUUAAGGGCGAGGGAUUAUUUCCCUUUUUGGUCCCUUGUAUUACGCGCGUGUUACUAUUUGACCUGGUGGACCUUGUUUAAUUUUGUUUCUUUUCCUUUAAAUUUAGUUUUGACUUCGAUUUAGUCCCUUUUUGCAUUUUUUUAGUUUACUAUUAAUUAUUAUUACUCUUAUUAUUAUAGAUUACUAUAUUUGUUCAUGUUUUCAUUUAUCUUUAUAUGUACUGUUAUUUUAAGUAAUUAUCAUAUAUUAGUAUUUAAUCCCAAUGUACUAUUUUCCUUUUUUAAAUGUAUUAUUAUUAGUAUUAUAAAUUUAUUGUGUAUUAUUAUAUUAAGUAUUUAUAUUAUUAUAUAUUAAUAUUUAAUUUCAUCAUGUAUCAUUUUAUAUAUUUUCCAUGUUAAUCUAAUAUAAUAUAUAUUUUUUGUGUGAUCUUAUUUAUAAUACCUCUUUUUUAAAACCCAUUUAUAUACCCUUGUGUUUUAAAGAUUUAUAAUAUUUUGUGUGCAAUACUAUUAUACAUAUAUUUAGAUACAAUUUAUAUUAAACUAUUUUUGUUAUACAUAUAUGUACAUAUAAUUUAUGUUUUAAAACCUUGUUUUAUUAUAUUUUAUUUAUUUCAGCCUUUAUAUGCAUUAUCAUAUGUAUAUUAUCCUUUAUAUUAAAUCUUUCAUUUCACAUAUCUUAUAUUUUUUUAAAUCAAUGUGUAUUAUUUUUCUUCCUCGUUAUUUUAUAUUUAGUGUAACUUUUUAGAUUGAUAAUUUUUUUAAUUUUUGAUUGUUGUGCGAUGUGAGACGAUUGUUAUUACGUGUAUUCCAUUGCAUGUUUAUAUUAUUUGAUGAUUUAUCGUCCACUAGCAUGUAUCGUAAUUUACGAAUUAUCAUUUUGAAUUACGCACUACCAUUCAAUCACCUUACAUUUGUUUAGAAAAACAUCAAAAUCGUUUUGCAUAAAUCUUCAAAAUACUCGGUAUCCAAGAUUCUCAAAAGGUUUGUGCCCUAACUUACUGGGCUUCAAUUCUCCUUGUUGAAUUUAGAUAACCGAAUAUCCCUUCUUCAAUUUAAACGUAGAAAUUCCAAAAUCAAAGCUUAUCUUAGGAAUUCGAUACAUCAUGUCCUAACGCAUUGGACAUGAAAUGUUGUUUUCUUGAGACGAGAAUUUUUCUAAAUAAAAAUAAAGGCAAUAUUCGAUAUUUAGGAAUUUUGUGGAAUCAAACCCUAACGGGUUUUGAUUUUUUUCAUUUGACCCAAAUAAUCGGAUAUCCUUCUCAAAAUGCAUAGGUUUUAAAAGUCAAGAGAUAAACUUAAUUUUGAGGAUUUAAAAUGUUGCACUCUAACUUACUGAGUGUGACAAUUCAUUUCUUUGAAAUAAGUGAGUCUCAUCAUCCAAUUCGUUUUAUUCAAAUUUUCUCUUCAAAGGAUCGUAUUUUGAAAUCAUUUCAAAUUCGGUACCAAUUUUGGGCGUUACGAGGGUGCCAACCCUUCCUCGUGUGUAACCGACUCCCAAACUUGUUUUCUCAAAUCUCGUAGACCAAAAUCGUUUUUAAGGUGAGCCGAUCACACCCCAAUAAAGGAUCGGUGGCGACUCUGAUUUUUAUUUUUUAGUCGACAACUAAAUUUUUGUUUUUCAAAAAAAGUGAUUUCGACAGUUUCCAUUGUUUCUUUAUUUUUAAAUAAUAAAGAAACAAAAAUUGUUGUAUGGAGUGCUGCUCUAUCUUCACAUGACAACAAAAUUUAGCAUCAAACCAGAUCAGAUCACCCUAGUAAUUGCCCUAUCACAUCUCUCAUCCCGUCUCUUUCUUUUUAAAAAUAUAUCUUGAAAUCAAUUUAUCAAUGUUAUAUUCUUGUUUUUAUUUUAUCUCUGCUCUAUCUUCAUGGUUAAAUAUUCCAUUUAAUGUUUCUUUAGCCCUUUGCCCAGUGGGUCAAACAAUUAAUAAAUUAAACCUAUAUUUACCUAUUUGGCUCUCUAAUUUUAUAAAAAAAAAUUAUUUUAGUUUUCUAUUCAAAUUAUUUUAUCAUUUUUAACUCUUAAACUUGUAUUUUUUAUUAAGCCAUAUCAAAAUGAUUGUAAAAGAUAAACAUUUUUUAACUUGGUUGAUGUGGCGUGGAUGACAAGUCAACGUUUAAUUAAUUUUAAAAUUUUAAAAUAUUUAAAAAGAUAUAAGAUAUAUUUUUAAAAAUAAAAAAUCAUUAAAGUUAUUAAAAAAGUAUUAAAAUAUUUUUAUAUUUUUUUAUUUUAAAAAGUAAUUAAAUGAUGACAUGUCAUCCAUGUGGCAAUCCACAUGCAUCACUACAGCAAAACAGGUUAUUAGCGGCAUUUUUUGGCCUAUCAAAGCACCGCAAAAAAUGCCGCUUAGAUAGCCCCACUAAAAUUUGCAGCGUUUUUGAAAAUGAUCUUUAGCGGCAUCUUUUUUAAAAACGUCACAAGAAAGUCGAACAUGUUGUGGCGUUUGUAGCUGGAAGCGCCACAAAAGAUCAUGUUCUAUAGCGACGUUUGUGGGAAAGUGCCACUAACAUUAACAGAUUUUACCAACCCAUUUUAUUUCAUAUAGAACCUGAAUUUUCAACAUAUUUUCUUGUAACUUCAAAUCCAAAAACAAACUUCAAAUCUUAAUGAUACUAUCACGAAAGAAAUAUGUAUAUGAUCUAAAUUAAUAACUGAAAUAACAAAAUAUAUUAAGAAUGCAUAUAAUUAUUAAAAAAAAAAGAAACACACCCAUUUAACGAUUUCAUUAAUUUAAGUUCCUUAUCCCCAAAAGAAAGAAUAAAACAAAUCCAAAGGAAAUUUAACCAUAAAUUCUUACAUUGGACACAUCUAUAUGCAAAGGGAUCAAGGACAAAAGUAUAACAGAAGUAUAACAAAUGACAGUUGUUUAAUAUUUUAACUACCUUUCUAUAUUGUAAAUCAGGGUUUCCAAUUACAGGCGAGUAAAAUCAAAGGCAAACAAAGAUAUCAGGUCUUCCAAUUUCAUCUUGAGGCUUUGCUUGGUUCCCCAUACCUGACAAGAAGCUACCUCUCCAUGUUUAUUGCGUCGACAACUGAAAAUGCUUGUGGAAGCGCUGCUGAUUCUAAUAUCCAUUAGCAAAGUUCUAGUCACUCUUAAUGUUUCUGUAGAUCCUCCUUACAAAUAAAUUAGAACCAAGAUAACCAACAGCUCCUAUACAUUGAAAAGGAAAUCGUCAAAAACCCACAUGAAGCUGAAACAAAUGAUGCCAUAAAACUCUACUUCUAUCUGUCUCAAACAAACAACGCUAAAUAGCUGUAGAGAUUAAGGGUAUACUCCAUAUUCCAUUGAAAAUUUCAUUAGAGAAAAUUUGAUUUGGAAAGAAAACAUAAAAUAGGAUGGAUAUAUAAUAUAUUUCAAAACUCGCCACAAAGGAUUCCCAAACCAAGACAAAACAUUAAAGUAUAUCCGAAAUAGAAACUGGUCUGGAAGAAGCCUGACAUCUUGGUUUUCACAUAGUAGUAGUAUACAUAGUACAAAUAUACAUACAUAGUACAAAUACACAUACACUGCUGUCGAGGCAGCAAAGAAAAAUGAUGUCCACUUCCAGUGAUAGUUUUCACCCUUUAACAAGAAAUAUGUCCACACAUUUGUCACACAGACAGUUACAAUGACGAGAAUCGGGAACACCAGCAACAUAAAUCCAUAGACAUAAUAAACCUGCAAAAGUCAAAGGCUUGUUGAAUCAUAAAUUACUAGAAUACGAACACAAUUUCCAAGUAUACAUGAACCUAGCUUUAAAGAGGAAGCAAAACUCCUAUAUGCUAUUAAACUACAUAAAUCUAAAUAAUUUAUUACUCCCACCAAGAAAUUAUAAACAUAACAAGGCAAAUCCAAUUAGAUCCAAAUAAUUUACGAUCUUGUCAAGAUUCGAAACAAGAGUCAGACGAGCAGAGGACUAUCGAGCAGCAAUAGACGGAGCAGCGUCGACGAAGGAGACGAAGAUCGAUGGCAAAUGCACUGUCGAUGGUGAUGCAACAAACAGAUAAUUGGACAGACGACCAGCAACAGACGGAUGGGGGGAAAACUAAGUUAGGGAUUUGGGGAAAAACUAAGUUAGGGAUUUGGAGGAAUAAGGGUUGGGGGUCAGGUAUCAAAACGCAUUGUUUCAAUAAAAAUUAAAAAAUAUUCGCGGCAUUUAUAGGCAAAACGCCACUAUUGCUUUACCUUUAGCGGAGUUUAUGAGAAAAACGCCGCUAUCAUUUUUAAACUUUUGUGGCGUUUAUGCAAAAACGCGUUAUUGCUUUACCUUUUGCGGCAUUUAUGGGAAAUGCCUCUAUUUCUUUAGCUUUUGUGGUGUUUAUGGGAAAAACGUCGCUAACACUGCUCCCAUUCGGUAUACCUUUACAACGCAUAGCAUAAAACGCCGCUAAAUAUGUACUAUUUGCGGCACUAUUUCCACAAACGCCACUAUAGAACAAAUUAUUGUGGCGUUUUUAGUUAGUACCACUAAUGAUAUAUAUAUUUUUGGCAUUUUUCAAUACAAACGUCGUUAAAAGUUUAACCUUUGCGGCAUUUUCGAUCCAAACACCAUUAAAAACACCGUUAAAAGCUUAAUUUGCUUAGUGCAUGUCACGUCAACAAAAUUAGCAAAGGAUAAAUUUUCUAUUUAUUUUGGGAUGAUUUGAUAAAAAUACAAAUUCAAUAACAAAGAAACAAAAAUUUAAAUGAAUGCAGACUUUUUUGGUAUAUUAGUCGAUAAAAGGAAACAUACGUAAUCAAUAAACUAGUCGCAUAAUCUCUUCCUUUUCUUAUUACUUUAUUGUUUCUCUACAAAUAUGGACGGAUGAAUGCAGAAGUGGAUCAUAAAGUUUGUCAAAGUCGCGGAUUUGACUUAGGGCUCUAGACAUUCGGAAAGAAACUUAGAUUUUUGGCACAACCUGAAACGCAAUCAAAUCGAAGUUAGAUAAAACAAUUAAAAUAAAUAACUAAGAUAAUUAAAAUAGAAUAACGAAUCUACGAUUAGAACAAUAAGGAAGAAAUUAAAGAAGAUAGAUGGAAAGAUGGUGUGUAGAAGUAUUGAGAAGCCUUGGAAACACGAAGAAUCCACAACCCCUUUCAAACGGCUCUAAUUUCCCCUCCAAGAAAGAAAACUUGGCAAGAAAAAGUUUGAAGAUGAUUCCCAUAAUCUGAAAAGAUUGUUAAAACUCUUCUAGAAGAAACUCAUGAGAAUUUAUGAACUCAAAAGAGAAGUUGAAUAAUAAUGAAUUGUAUGAAUUGUGUACAAUGCAAAGGUCUAUAUAUAGGCUAGCUAAAUAAAUCUAAAUAAAACUCUUAAGUAUACUAGAACUCUAAUUUAAUCUAAACUAGAAGUUGUUUUAAACUAAACUUUCUUGUUAACAUAAAACUCCUAAAUAACUUAAAAUACUUCAUAAUUAUCAAAACUUUGGAAUAAAAUAAUAAGAAAAUAAUAAGAGCUGAUAAAUACAAUAUUGGGCUCAUAUAUAAAAAUUAAGCCUAAAACCCAAACCCAAUAUGAUUUAAACUCGAAUUAAAAUCCCGAAAUUCGUAAUUCUUAUCCUAAUCCCGUUCAAAAAUUUUGCUCGCGCAGUCUUCACUAAAACGGUCAUAACUUAAGCUCCCAAACUCAAAAUCGAGUGAUUCAAAAUGCGUUUCGAAGAUAAGAGAUAGAUAUUCAAACUCCAUGAAGACAUUCAACCCAGAAAUGCUAGGAUCACAUCCAAAAAGUCGUCACAAGUUUGCUGAUUUCCCAAGCUUGAAAAUUGACAGCUUUGGUGAUUGGAAUUUAAUAAAUUUCACCCCAUCCAUGCAUGUAUCAUUCUCCCUUUCCUCAAAAAGUUUCAUCCUUGAAACUUGUCUUUGAUCGAAUCUUGAUUUGAUUUGCUUAGCCUUUGACAUUGUUGUUUGGCCUUGAGGUAGUGUGAGUCUAUCACAUUCAUGGGUUUGAAAUUGUGGCUUAAGGCUUGCAUCAUUCCCCCUUCCUCAAGAAGAUUCGUCCUCGAAUUUGUAGCUGCAUAGAAAUAAAAGGAAUUAGAAUAAAUAACAAUAAAAUGAAUAAAAUACUUACCAAAGCUUUCUUAUGAGCCAAAAAUAUCUCCAUGAUCAAAGAUAUGAUUUUGAUCUCCCAAAUUAGUAUGGAUCAAGUGUCUCUCCUUCAAAAACAAACCAUCAACACUAAACAAAGAAAUAUCCAGCACAUGAGUGUUCAAGUAAAAAAUAACUUGGAAUUUUCUUUGAAUAUGCAUAGUCAUCCAUAAGAAUUUCCUACGAUGUGUCAAGAAUUUCACAUAAUUAUAAAAAUCAAGAAGUUUAAUAAUUUUAUGUAAAAAUUCUUCGUUAAAGGUCAAGAUAGAACUUUUUGUUGCAAGAUAAAAUCUAUAAAAUGCUUUCAAAAACAUAUUUAAUGCAACAAAAUUACUAUUUUUAACCUUUACAAAGGUAGAUAAACCCAUAAAAUUAGUUGAACUUUCAGACUAAGGUUUAAUGAAAUUUGACCAACGAGAAAACAUGUUAUAAGGAAAUAUUUUAUAAACAAAAUCAGUAGCAUACUUAUCAAAAACAUUCAAGGUAUGCCUUCUUAAAUUAAUUUCUAUUGUUUCAUUACAUUUGUUACCUUGUAGCACUUGUGGAGAAUUAUCAAUGUUCAACUUACCUGUUUCCCACAAGUAAAAUCAUCUAUCAAUUGUAGAGUAAUAUAAUUAAAAGUCCGUCAAAGGAUUCUUGAAGUCCUGUAAUAAAGAAAAACCACUAAACAAAUUUGAGUUGAGGUUUGUUAAAACAUAAUCACUCCUCACUUUUGCAUGUGUAUUUUCUUGCUUUUUAUUUUCUUUUUCCACUUGAGAACUCUCCAAUUUUAACUCAUAUGGAUUUUCACUCACCAAAUUUGGACCAUCAAGUAGACAUUUAGCACUCAAGGUAUCUUUUCUCUCUGUCUUUUCACAUGAUUCUUCCUCACUUCCCAUAUCCCUCUCACAAGUAUUAUGAAUAUUCAAUCCAAUACAAUAUAUCUCAGUAGAAGAACAUGACGUUUCUAUUUCAUCUAACUCUAUAUAUUCAAGGAAAAAAAUUUCAUUAUCAUUUUUUUCGGUUCACAAAGUUCGCCAUCUUCUUUGAUCAAAAAAAUUCUCAGGUUGGCACAAUCAUGGCUAUAGUGUCCACGCCCUUUACACGUAAAACAUUCAAUUUCACGAGCUCUUUGUUGUUUUGGUGAAAAAUUAGUAGAAGUGAGCUGUUUGAAAGAUGUAGAAGAAUGUUUUGUAGGAGCCCCACUUUUCCACUCAAAAGGUUUAGUCUUAGCAUGUUCUGGUAGCAACCUAUUAAUAGCAUAAGAAGGUUUCAAAUUCUUGAAAGUAGAAUUAGAAAUUGUACCUCGAUAAUAGUGUGAUGCGCCAAAUGGACGAGAUUGAUGUUGCUAAAAUUGUUGCUCAAUCUCAAUUGCCUUGUGUACAAUCUUCUCAAGAUCAAUACAGGUUUGAAGAUUAAGAGCAUUGGCAAUUGAAACGUUCAAGCCAUCUACAAAUCGCACGAUGGUAGUUUAUUCAUCCUCUCGUAUAUUUACUCUUUGCAUAAGCAUCUCCAUCUAUAACAACUUGUUUUUCAGUGGUGUCAAAAACAGUGGUUACGGGACCACAAGUCUAACGAGUAAGUUCGUAAAUGUUAUUAUUUAAUAUUUAUGAGUCAAUUAUGGUGUUAAAAUAAGUUUAAGUGGUAAGACCCUAAAGUAAAAUGAUUUUAGAAAAUAAGGUAUCGGGACCUCGUUUCUAUAAACCGAGCUGUAGAUAUUUUAAUAAAUAUUUACAGAGUAUUAUUGAGGUUGUAUUAAAGUUUCGUUAACAAAUUUUAAUGUUUAGAUAGUUAAUUAAUUAAAAAGGACUAAAUUGUAAAUAAUGUAAAAUUUGAUCACUAUUAGAUUUGAAUGAUCAAAUGACUUAAUGGAUAUAAGUGGAAGGAUUAAUAUGGUAAGUUACCAUUCUUGGGAUUGUGGGACGGUUUGAGCUUUAAUUUCUUUUAAUUUUAAAUGUUUUAUAUGUUAUUUUUAUUGUUAAAAUAAAAGUAAUAGUGUUUAUAAUAUGAAUAAAGGCCAUCUUCCUAAAUUAGUUUCUUUUUCUUCAAAUGAAAGCCACGGUUGGGAGCUUGAAGCUUCGAUCAUGCUAUAGUUAAUGCAUGUAAGUCCGUUUUGAUCCUGUUUCUCGUAAUUUUUAUGUUUUUGAUAUCGUUGUAACUAGGUCCAGCUAGUUCCUGCCUUCAUUUUUGAAACUAUUAAAGAUUUUAAUUGUUGCCAUUGAUGAAUAUUUGUGAUUUUAGAUGUUAAAUGAUGAAUUUGAGGUAUUAUUUGUUAUUUAUAAGUAUUUUGUUAAGUGAUUUUUAAUGAAUUUAAUGAUUAGGGAUUAAAUUGUGAAAAUAGUAAAAUUCAAGGUAAAUAUUGUGAAAUGAUGAUAAAAAUAUGCUGAUUAUGAACCAUAUGAAAAUUGGCUAGCAUGAAUUUUUUAACUAAAAAUGAUAAAUUUAUAAGUUUCGGGUUUAGGGACUAAAUUGCAUAAAAGGUAAAAUAUUGGGAUAAAUUUGUAAAAUAUUUAUGGAAGGGCUUAAUUGUAUUAGACAUAUUAUUUAAGUGCUAGAAUUGUAUUAAUUGAAUAAAGAAUUAUUAUUUAGAUCCAAAAACAAAUCAAACGGAUCUAAAUAGAGUAAAAGCUAAUGUGACGGAUUAGUUGUCGGCCACGUUUUACAACUGUAAUUACGAGGUAAGUUCGUAGGUAUAUAACAUAAUAUGAAUGUAUACAUAAUUUUACUACUGAUUUAUGAAUGUAUAUAUAUGAUGUGUAAUAUGUGAGUUGGAAAUCAAAAUAUUAUAACUGAAUAUAAGGCGAGAAAGGAUUUAUUUGAAAACUAUUAAAUAUUUAUGAAAUAUGAUAUAUGUGAUUUUGGAAUGAUUAUGAAUUGUUAUAGCAUGUGUAUUGAGAAAUAUGAAAGUGCCUCUGAUUCAUGAAAGUUAUAAUUUUGUUAAAAUGCCCAUUUGGACAUAGUAAACGAUUAGGAUACGAUUGGCAUGCUAAUAGGGUUAGUAUGCGCGCUUGUACGAGAUUUACACUUCAGUGCCUCUAUUUGCACUUCGGUGCCCCUGUAUACACUUCGGUGUCCCUGUUUGUACAUUUGUGCCCCUUUCUGCACUUCAGUGCUCUUGUUAUGCAUCUAUGAUGCCUCUGGUGUGGUGUAGUUACCCGAAUAUCUGAGUCAAGUUACUAGUUCAUUGGGCUAAAUGUGAAUAGAAUUUACCAAAUUAUUUAAAUGUUAAAGGCUAAUGUAUAGUCAAAAUAUUAAUAAAUUUUGAAUGUUAAAUGUUCAAUGAAUUACUUGAUCAUAUGUGAGUAUCAUUAUAUUGAUGAUUAUUUGGUUAAAGAUAGAUGUUUAUACACGUGUGUAUGAGUUUGGAUUGAAUUAUUAUUGUACAGGAAGCAUACGAUGAGCCAUUUUUAGUACUAAUCCUAUAAGUGCUUCGUAAAUGAAUAACAAGUAUAAUUAAUCUAUUUAUUUAGCUUUCACAUUGUUUAGAAAAAAAAAUAAGUGAUUCUGGGAUGAUAUGUUUAUAUGAAUGUUUGAAACGAAAGAAGAAUUACAAAAUGAUUAUAUGUUAAAUGUGUAAGUGUUAUGGUAAGAAGAAACAUUUAAGUGAAAUGGUUAUAUGAAAUUCUUAUAAGGAAAAAUAUAUAUACAUGUAUAUGUAAGGCUACACCAAUUAUCCAUGAGAGGUGUAGUGAAUAGAAAACGAAAGUUAGCUUAUAUUAUAAUAAAAAUUUUGUUUAGUUGUUUAUUCUAAUAUGUCAGCAGUUAAGUUACCUUAUACGAACUUACUAAACAUUAUUGCUUACGUUAGUUGUUUUCUUUUCUUGUAGAUCAUCAGAAGGUUCGAUUUGGUUGGAAGCUCGUCAGAGACCUAUCACACUAUCCAGUAGUUAAUUCAGUAGUUUUUGAGCAUUUUUGGCUAAGGUUUAUAAUGACAUGUAUAGGGUGGUUCAUAAUGAUGUUUAUGAAUGGUUGGUGGACUUAAAUAAGUCCUUAUGGUCACUUUUAUGUGAUUGUACAUAAGGUUCCUUUUAUGGUAUGUUUGAAUGGUUUAAAUUGUUCAUUGAUGGAAUGCUUUAGUAUCUAUUUGGUUUAGGUUGGUUGACAUGAAAAGUAACAUUAUUGGUAUGUUUUGGCAGGUAUGAAACUAGAUUAUGAUGUUAGAAAUAUGGUAAGCUUGGCUUGAUUGGAAUGUUAUGUUUUGGUGUAUAUAUUGAGGUGCCUUGUAUGAAAUAUUGGUUGAUUGAAUUUAGAACUUGAAAUGGCACAUUAAUGUGUGUUUUGUAAGUGUUUAGGCUUAUACAAAGUGUGUAUAUAUUGAUGGAAAGGUCUUGUAUGAAAUGGUUUGAUUUUAGGUACAUUUUGAGUCCACAUGGUGUGAGACACAAUUGAGUCAGCCUGGCCACACGGCCAUGUAUCGUCUGAGGGUUACUUUACAUGCAAGUCUAUGAGUUAUAUGGCCUAACACACGGCCUGGCACACGAGCGUGUGGGGAAAUUUCGAAUGUUACACGGCCUAAGACACGGGCGUGUGUCCCAGCCGUAUGAGGCACACGGCCGUGUGACCCCUGUAGUUAGAAUUUUACAAUUUUUUCUUAAACUUUCUAAAGAUUUUAAAUUUCUCGAAUUGUUUCUAUGGUGUUUCUAGGGCCUCGAGGGCUCGAUUUAGGGACGACAUGUAUGAGAAUGGUUUUUUUAUAUUAUGAAUGUUUAAAUGUUCUAUUUGUAUGGUAAUGUUUCAUAACCCUAAUCUGGCGACGGAUACGAGUUAAGGGUGUUACAUUUAAUGGUAUCAGAGUUAUUGUUUAGUUGAUUCUUGGACUGAAUGUAGCAUAUAUGGAGUCUAGAAAUCAUGCUAUUAUAUAACCUGUGAUAGUGUGAUAUCUCUUGACUCAAAAUGUGUAACACCCUAAACACAAACUAGAAGUUAUGGCCGAAUCCAGGAAUGCUACCAAAACAGUAAGCUCAGACUCUCUCUGCGGAGCAAUCAGAAUCCUUAGACUAUCCCUCAAACUGUCCUCAAAACAGAUGCAUUUCUCAUACUCAGAUGCCACCAUGCCUCGAGCGUAGCGGCUCAAUCUCAGAAACUCGGCCUUAUAAUCAGCCAUAGACUUAUUACCUUGCGUGAGGUUUAUGAACUCAUGCCUAUGAGCAUCAACAUAACUCGCACCCACAUAUUUUCCCUGGAAGACAGUCUUAAAGUAGUCCAAGUUUAGAAUAUUCGAUUGAGUACCCUUCUCAACCGACAACCACUACUGAUAUGUCUUAUCGCGAAGUAAAGAAACAUUAAAUUUCAAUUUCUGUUCAGGAGUGUAGUCGAUGUCGUUCGUAAUCCUCUCAGUGGCCUCCAACCAAUACUCGGCCACAGUAGGGGCUACUCCAGUGACAACCCUAAACAACUCAACUCCAUUGGACCAGAGUCAUUCAGUUAUCGACCCAAGGCCCCCAGAUCUAGAAUGGGGUCCAACGACCCUUUCCAAAACUCUCAACAUGGCUUGGGACAGUGCGUCAUCCAAGCCGAGCAGCUUUGAGAUCCAGUCUCAGUAGCAGGUGAAAUCAGUGUCUCACUCGUGUCUAAAUUUGGGAUACUGUCUAGAGAGGAAGACUCAACUCGAACUCCCCUACGGCGCCCGUCGUGCCCACAAAUACCACGACCGCGAGUUCUACGAGCACUCAUCGUAAUUUGAAAUUUAUUUACAUUAUAAAAUAUUUAUGCACUAGUUCCAGUGUUUAUUAUCAGAUAUUUUAUGCUUAAAUUAUCAGAAGUUCAAAAGUAUGUCAGAGGUUUUAGUCUCUAACUAACUCAAUAUAGUUUCAGAAAGUACUAACUACAGUUUUUUCUAAAUUCAGAGAUACUUACAGGAUCGGCGCCGGAGACUCGGUAUACCACAUACUCAAAAUAAUCUAAAUUAUUUUCAAACCAGUUUUUUGUUCAAAGCACAAUUUUGGAACCUAAAAUUCACAGCCCGAGUUUUACAACUUGACUCUGAUACCACUAAACGUAACACCCCAAACACAGCCUAGACGUUAUGGCCGAAUUCGGGAGUGUUACGAAGAAGGGUUUCGAAAUCGAUAAUUCUUCGAUAAACCAUGUUUAGUUAUUUGAUAAAAUGUCCAAAUAUUAUAAAACAUAUUCAUUAUUGAAACUAUUAUAAGUUGUUCCUUAAAAUUAACCGUUUAUUUCGCAGCGGAAGUUUGGAAAUCAUUUUAAACAAAAACCAAGCUCGUGUUCUCAAAAACCCAUUUGUUGUGUAAAGUACUUUUGUUAAUAUUGCAAAAAAAUAGCUAAACAAAAUCCAAAUCCAAAAGUUAAAACCAAAUAGUCCAAAGAGUCCCAAAAAUUACAAACUCUCAAGAAAAAUCAGACUUUAAAAUUAAACCAUUAAUUACUAAAUAAAAACACUUCUUGGUCGAGUGGUCACCGCUGAGCCUCCAUCGUACUGACCCGCCUAAUUCUAUGGAUUACCUGAACAUAACAGAAAAGUAGAUGUGAGUUUUCCUAAACUCAGUGUGUAACCCAACAGAAAUAGCCAUGCAACAUACACAAUGUUUCUUAUACAGUCAGAUACAGAUUUGGACCUAAGUCCAUAACAGAUAUAGAUAUCAGAAUCAGAUAAACAUAAUAGAUAUAAGGAAUCCUACCCCGAUCCUCUACACACCAUCUCGACCAUCUCAUCACACCAUGUGGGGUUAAAAACAACCACCCAUCCCUACACACCAUAUAGUGUCGAUGCGGCACAUAACAGAUAAUAUGCAGUCAAGCUGCCAGAAUAUAGGCAAAGAGUCGCCAUACAGAUCACUUCCUCCACAUAUACAAUUCCAACCCCAAUCAUAGAUACAGAGUAUAGAUGCAGAGAUAUCAUAUUAAACAUGUUUAACAUGCUUGUAUACAGAUAGAUGCAUACUUAAACAGUACAGUCAGACAUACAUAUCAGUAUCCUACUCAGAUCAGUCUACCAGAAUAUCAAAUCAAAUGAAAUAAGGUUUGGUUAGUCCUUACCAACCCUACGGUAGUCCCACAGUUGAUCGGAAUAAUCUGUGUGACCCUAGGGAAACAUUCAAAAUUCUGGGCCCACAUGCCCGUGUGGGCCCAUACAAGCGUGUGGCCCACAUGCCCACAUUGACCUUGCCCGUGUGGUAUGCCUGUGUGGGCCUACACGCCCCAUUUGGCCUAGUCUGUGUGGCCCAUACAGCCACACUCACACUAUUACACGACCGUGUCUCGCACACGGCCAACACACGAUCGGCCACACACUCGUGUGGCGUCGACAGACUCCAUUUUCAACUUUUGUCGAAACUCAAUUUUUCGUGUUAGGAGUACACACCUGGUACAGUUUUGACGUGAAAACACUCCUGAAACCACCAGAACCCGAUUCCCUAAACGAUACCGACUACGAUUUCACAAGAGAAAAACUCCGUACCUCACGAUUCGCUGCUGCCAAAACCACGAUUUUAGUACUUAAUGAAAAAGACAAUAACAUCAAAAAGAGAGAAACUACUUAAAAGAAUUCACCCCCAACCAUGAAUUACCAACCCGCACGAAAAACUAGAAACUCGAAACCCCAAAAUUGAAAAGGGAAAAAAAUAAAGCAGAAAUUCAGAAGAGUAGAAAGAAAAAUUAUUGGCAGAGAAGGAAAAAGAAAUCAACAGAAACAGAGGAGAACAAAAUUUACGUCAGAAAAGUUUUUGGGAAGAAAGAGAGAAAAUUAAAUAAAUUCCAACUCCCCACUCAUUCAGACUUUCAGUCUCAUCCAAACUCUCUCAGACAACCGAGACAAAAAUUAACACUCCCGCUCACGCAGGGAUUCCAACACAGGACCUCCAUCAUACUAACUCCUUACCACUCGAACCAGCAGGCUCAUUCUGAUAUGAGUUUACAAACAAUUUUAUAUAAGCCCACCCUACAGUGAAGAGGCUUGGACAAAAAAUAACAAAAUUUGCCAAAAGGGAGACUUGAACCUAAGACCUCAUACACACACCUAAAACACUUAACCACUGAAACAGAUACACAAUUAUGUCAGAUUUCACAAAAACAUACUUAAAUUAUUCAGGGUGUUACAAAAUGAAUUAUGUUUUCAUAUAAAAAAAGAUGUCUUCCAAUCAAGCUAAUGCCGAUGAUGUUGAAAGUAAUAUUCAAGUAUCAGAAUAAAAUGUUGCUAUUGAUUAGCAGAAUAUAUAAAGGUUAGAGUAGAGAAUCAUAGUGUUUAUGUUAAUAAUGAAUGUUAUAUUAUGUAUAUUUAUGAGAAUUAAAUUUUGUGGCAUUACGAUCUCCACCCCCUCGUUCUUACAAUUUUAUAUCACGACACUAGUGAGAAGCUGAACAGUUCAGAGAUUGAAUAAGUAAUAAUGUGGUUAGAGCCGAGAGUUGGUUAGCAAGUAAAGAGAGUUCUAGACAAGAUAUUAGAUUUUUUUGAAGAUUAUUUAAGAUACGCAACUUCGCUGUUAAAGAAGAAAUUAUUUACUGGUAAUAGAUUUUAUUAGGUAUGGUAUCUAAAGAACGGGUUAAUCGAGAUUUCUUCUGAAUUGUUACUUUAGUGGAAUAGAAUAUUGUGAGAUCAUCGAUGAUUUUAGUGGACAGUGGAGUAAUGUUCGAAAUGUAUAUAGAUCUGUAUGUAGUCGUUAUGGUCGACUAUCUUACAAUCAUCUCAUCUGGAUAUUCUAUGUAUUCUUUUAUCUUUUUGGCAUAUACAAAUGUUUUAUUUUCAGAUGUGGUUCUUAUCAUGUGGGAAUGGUCUCUACUCAUAAUGUUAGGUAUAAGUAUUGCUAAUUUGCCCAAUUAAUGAUUAACAUUACUCUAUUAUUGGGAUUCUAUUCAACUAUAUUUUGAUAGGGGACUCGAUGACAAAAAUCAUGUAUUGUUAUUUUUCUACUUAUACUGGUUGUUGCUUUGCUUUAUGUGCAUGGAAUUUAUGUUGCUUAAGUUACAGCUGGUUCCAGUACGUCUGAAUGAUAUCCUCCUUCUAGGUUUUCUUGGGAAAAAAUCAUGUGUUCUUAUGAUGUCUGAAUGUCUAGCUAUGCUAAUAUGCGAUAAACAAACUUAGAAUGGACAUGAAUCGAGCAUUGAGACCACUUAGCAAAGUUUCCCACAAAUAUUACGUAGGUAUCGUUACCGCCCCUAUGGUAUCAAUAUUUUAUUUAAGUGGUAUCGAUACCACCUGAAAAAUCGAUACCAAACUAGCAUUCUGUUUCUCACCAAAUUUUAAAGUGUCAAAAACUAUCGGCACCUUUCGCAAUGUAUCGAUAAACUUAUCCCGAGUAUCGAUACUCGGGCAAAGGUAUCGAUACCAAAUCUUUAUUUUGACUCCCUGCACAUUUCAAAACAUAGAGAUAUCAUUUUUAGAAACCUGAAUAUCGAUACCUCUACCUCUAAACAUAGAAACACAACAUACAAGUAUAUAUAUACAUCCCAAGUAAGAUCCUAAUCAUAAUGCAUCAACUACUAAGGCAAAUAACCAUCCAAACAACUUAAUCAAUAGUUCAAAAUACCAAAAACGUAUCCGAGUAAGUAUCAUCAUGUCAUUAUCAAUAUUCAUAACCCUCAACAAACAUACAAACUCAUAAACCUCUAAAAAGAAAACAAAAGCAAAAUCGACAAAUAGUCUAAACACGUCUACCACAUUAACCUAUCACAUUGCCUUUAUUCCCCAAACACAAAUAAACAUAUAACAUCUACUAACAAAAGCUAAAUAAUCAGUUUAGAUCACUCCCUUGAAGGCCACACAGCUCACACCAGCACUACUUAUCUGCAAUGGUUAAAAAAGAGUGAGUGAACUUAACAAGCUAACGAAUGCUCAGAAUAACCACUACGUAAACAAGUCAUUAUGCAUCAACAAAGCAGACAUGCAAUAUAAUCAUCGUAUCUUCUAAUCCUAUGUCAUAUUUUACGCAUUUAAUCAUCUUUCAUGAAUAUUUACAUAUUAAUCACAUGAAUACUUAAGCAUAUAUCAAUAACGUUUAAUCAUAUUCAAUCACAUUUUAUGAUAAUUUGACUCUUGAUAUUAUGAAACAUAAAGUGGACUCUAUCGCCACAUAUCGGAUAUGCAAAUCUCUAUCACACUAAUAAUGACUCAAAGAGUCGAACAUGUACCAUAAGUGAAGCAUAUAGCUAACACUCUCUAACACACCACACAUACAUCUCCCGAUGAAUGGAGCUUAGCUCACAUUCCCUUAUCUCUCUGAAAUUGUCCUUGGGCCUCAACGCCGCAUAUAUAUCACAAAACAAAGCGAGUACUCACAAUCCUAUGACAUGCCAACUAUAUCCAAUAGUCUCAUAAGGUCACAAGGCCAAACUAUCCACAUUAUUAUCACAUAUUUAUUUACCGAUUUUUCGCACAUAUUCACUGCAUAUUCACAUUGGUAGCACAAUAUAAUAUCUGUCAUAUGGCAUGAAAACAUAUCCAUAUUUUUAGUGUCACAUGGCAUGAAUAACAUACCCUUUUAUUCACUUUCACAAUAGUCAUCAUAUGCUUAUAGCAUAUAUCAUGGCAACUCAUAUAUGUUCAUGAUUUCACAAAUUCACAAAUUCACAAGCAAACAUAUUUCACAUUUAAUCAUAAGCAUGAGAACACUUACACUCAGAAUUCAGAGUAGGGGUUUAGGCUACUUCUAAACUCCUAACUACACAACGAGUUAUCUACAAGUAGCAAUCCCAAAACACUCACCAGAAAUAUGCUUUCACCGAAAAGCCGAAAGCUUAGAUAAGCUUUUCUUUGCAUUUGUCUCUACUCGUUGAAGGUUCUAUAGACUCUAACACUUCAACAAGACAAACCAAAAAAACACACAAUCAAAAAUCAGUCAUUGAAUCACCUUAAAUAAUAAAAAAAUAAUAGCCUAAGCUACAUUCAGUAUUAACUGAAACCUUCGACAUGUAAAACUUUAAAUUCAAAUAUAUCAGCCUAUACUUAAUCUUUUCGCACAAAACAAAUUUGUUCAUCUGCAUAAUCAACUACGACUAAUUCUCAACCUUUAAACUACACAAAACUACAAGUUUUAAGGUAUCAACAGUUUUCGACAAGUUUUGGCCAUAAUAAUGAAAAUUCAUUAAAACAUGAUGAACUCUUAACGAAACUUCAAAGUAACUUUAGAAACCUUCUAAUUAUGUUAAAAUAAGUUGAAAAAUAGUUUAAAACUAAGUUUUAAUCCCAAACCCGAAAUCCACCAUUAAUGACCAAAAUUUUGGCAUUUAUCUAAAACAUGCAUUUUAAUGGCUAAAAAUUCGAUUUAAAAGUCUAGAUAAAAUUCAAAACUAAUAGGAAGAUGAUUAGUUACCUUGAAUGCAAGGAAAAAAACUUUGGUAAAAUUCCAGAAAAUCUACUCUUGAAGAAUAUGAUGAAAUCUAUGGAGUUUUUUUUAGUGUUUUCUUGGUUUCAACGGAGAUUUAUAGUUCAACGGAUAUUGGAAUCAAGAGGGAUUAGGAAUUGGAGUUCAAAAGUAAUUGGGAGAGAAUAGGAGAGCAAUGGACAGCACAAGUAUGAUGAAUGAAGAAACUAACAUGAAAAUAAAACUAUAAAUGAGGUUUUUUAGGUUGAAUUUUAAAAGUUGGUCUAAUUGCCUCUUAAAAACUCACAAUUUUUACUUUUUUACAAAUUAGUCCAAUUUUCAAAAUUGAAGGUCUUUAAAACUCAUUUUCAGAAAUUGAUUUAAUUUUCGAAAACCAUAGUAAAAAAAACAUUACCGGUAAAUCAUGUCGUAAAAUUCCAAACACUCUAAGGCUAAAAUCCCUAAAAUACCCUUAAAACUUUUAGACCCAAUUUUAGGGUGUGACAAGACAUGGCCAUGAAUUCGUACAUGUAACGACCCUAUAUUCAAGGGUGUCAAAAAAAUUUACGAAGCUAGUUUUAUAGUUAAUUAGGUUCCGAUAAGCGAAUUUGCUUGAAUUAUAAGUUGAUUAAGUGUAAGGAUCAAAUUGCAUAAGUGUUAGAAGUGGAUUUAUAAAAUUAAAAUUUAUUAAAUGACUAAUGUAGUAAAUAUACAUUUACUUAAUGUACUAGACGACAUAUGUUAUAUAUAUUUUAUAAUAUUAAGAAAUUUUUUAAUAACCAAAUGAAUAUAUAUGUGUAUUAUAUAAUAAUGAUAAUAGUUAUAAUGAUAAUAAUUAUAAUAAUAGUACAGUAAGUGGAAACAUGCAAAAUUAAGAAAGAAAAAGAAAAGAAAGGGAGAAAGGAAGAACCACGCACGACCUAGGGUUCCAAAAUUUUCCAAGUUCAAUUGGUUAGUCAAUUUAGUCCAUUUUUUGUAAUUUUUAUGUUUUUUGAAACCUAGUGUUAAGUACUACCCGGCCCAUGUUGAAAUUUUAGCAUUGAUUAAGAUUUUAAAUGUUCUUAAUGUUGAAUAGUUUUAAUUUUAAGGAUUAAAUUGAUAGAUUUUUAAGCUAGAAAUGGAAAAGGAUUAAAUUGUAGAAUAAAUUAUAAAUUUUGAGUAAUAGGGACUAAAUUGUGAAAUAUUCAAAAUUUAGGGGUUUAAUUGAAAAUAGAGAGCCAAAUUUAGCUUAAAGUGAAAUUAGUAUAAAAAUAUAGGAUUAAAUGUGAAGAAUAAAAAUUAGUCUCGGUUUAAGGACUAAAUUGGAAUUUAGGAAAAUAUUGAGUAAAAAUUGAAAUAUUCAAUGUGAAAUUGAAUUGUGUUGUAUUGAUAUAUUUUAAUUAUUUUAACUCUGUAGCUAACGUCGUACCGGUAUCCUCGACUAAAAAGGGGAAGGAUAAAAUCAAAGUCGAAUAGCUCGAAAUCUACGGUUCGUAUUUCUAUAAAUCUGAACCUAGUUGUUAAUUAUUGUAAUUCGAUUUAAUGCAUGUUGUAAGUGAUUGAGGUGAGUAUUUGGCAUUUUGAUAGUUGAUUUAAAUGGAUUGAAUUGGUCUAUACAUUAUAAAUGUAUUGAUUAAUUGAAUUGAAAUGAAUAUAUAUGCAAAUAUGAGAAUUGAAUAUUGGUUGUUUUUGAAAUGUGAAAUUAAACCAUAUUAACUGUAUCAAGCUGAGUCGGAUAUAGAUGGCAUGCCAUAGGAUAGGAGGAGUUCAGGGAUUUCUUCAGCUUUGAGUUGAUGAGGCGCUGGGUGCCAAUUUGCUUCGGUUUAAUCGAUGAGACACUAGGCGUCAAUUUAUAUAGCGCUAGGCGCAGUUAUUACUUCAGAUUUAUCCGAUGAGGCACUGGGUGCCAAACUGAUGUGUUGGUUGGAUCUGUGUAUCUGUUCGAGUCUGAGUCGUGUUAAUAGGGGUAAUUUAAUAAUAAAGUUCUAUAAUCGAUAUUGAAUGAUAUUGUAUGUGAAUAAGAAAUGAGAUAGUGAAUUGAAACAUGAAAAAUGAGAUAUGUUGUGAUUAAAUGAAAUACAUGAGUUAUGUACUCAUGAAUGGAAUAUUGAAUGGAUAAUGCCAAUGUAUAAACAAAUGUGGUUUGAUAUGUGAAAAGUUAUUUAUAUAACAAGUGGUGUGAAUCGAGACAUUUAUUAAACAAAUUAAAUAUGAUAGCAUGUGUAAAUUGAAUAUAGUAUGAAAUGAUUUGCUACUAUGUAUGAAUUCAAAAUGUUAGUAUAUGGUAGUUGCAAUCUUAGACAAUUAUAUGUGUUUAUAACUUAAUUGUGCAUUUUUUAUUCUCUUGUCUUUAAAUGUUCGGAUUAUAGAAAUAUCACUGAGUUUUACUCAGCAUACGAUUUUGUUUUCCGUGCGUAGGUUAGGUACUUUUCUUUUGAUCGCCGACUCAGCAUCCAACAACGAUCCCUAUCUCAAAUGUGGAGAUGUUUAUCUUUUGUAAUGUCAUAUACCUAGGAUGUGUUUGAGUAUAAUGUUGUUUAAUAUGUAUAUAAACACAUGUUGUGUUUGAAGCCAUAAUUUGGGCAUGUUGUUUUGAACCUAAGAUUUUUAGGUGUAUGUGAAUUUACUAAUGAUGUUUAGGUGGUUAUGAACUAGGCUAAAUGGAGUGAUUUUGGUAUGUUUGGAACUUUGAUUUGAAUGAUGUAUUGAUGAUAUGUUUUGAUGAUAUAAAUGUGGUACUAAUGAGGGUACAUUAGUUAGGCACCUAGGAUGAUUGUUUUAGCAUGUUUUAAGUGUGUUUAAUCAUGUUUUGAAUAGGUUAAAUGAAUGGUUUCUGAGUUUCUUAAUGCCCAAGCAAGUAGGAAAUGGCAAACUUGUGGUUUAAGGUACAAUUUAGGUCCACACAGCCAGACACACAGGUGUAUGACUUGGCCAUGUAAGACACACGGCUAGCACACGGGCGUGCGAGACCCUUUCGAGAGUUACACAGCCUGACACACGGGCAUAUGGCUUGGCCGUGUGACCCAAGUCAGAGAGUUACACAGACACGAACACGGGCUGGGGACACGGCCGUGUGUCCCUACUUUGAGUGCCCACACGGCCUAAGAUACGGGAGUGUCUCUUGACCUUGUCACCCCUGUAGUUAAUUUUUUCUAACUUUUUCCUAAAUUUUUUAAAUGUUCCUGAAUUAGUCCCAAAUCGUUUCUAAAGUGAUUUUUAGGCCUUGAAGGCUUGAAUGAGGGAUGUUAUGCAUGUCCAUGAUGAAUUAUAUUAUGAUUAUUGAAAUGUUUUGAAAUGAAUUAUUUAGAUUAUGUUUAUUCGGUAAUGCUUUGAAACCCUAUUUUGGCGACAAAUAUGGGUUAGGGGUGUUACAAUACAUGUGACCUAAUUAGAGGUUUAUGUAUAAAUCCAAGCCACCAACGGUAAAAUCUGUGAAGGAAGAGAACUACGAUAAUUGCUUCCAACGAAUUCUUGAAAAGCUUAGGCAUUUGACGACACCGGUCAAGUUGACAAGAGUGGAGCCAUAUUCCAGUUUGAAGUAUUUACAAUUAGAAAUCCCUAUUCAAAUACAUGCAAUUCUAGUUAGAGGGAUCAUCCAAACCUCAAGUGGAGAGGUAACCAAGAAGGCGCAAAUCAAGCUCAAACUCAACAAAAUCCUCAUUAACAACUUCCACCAUUGCAACAAAGAGUCAGGGGUAAUGACCAUGUUGCAUGUGGUCAAACAUUCAAUCAACUAGAGAGGGAGAUGCAAACAAUAAAGACUGACAUUCGACAAGUCCAAGCUAUAUGUGGAUGACUCGAAUCCCGAAUGGAAAACCUCUGCGACCAAAUAAGCCAGCUAAUAUCGAUGUUUCAAAAGCAAAAUGGUCAAAGUCUCUCAAGUAAUACGGAGAACAACCCUUGGAGAGAUGAGAAAGAGCGCGUAAAAGUGAUCGUAUUGUGAUUGGGCAAAGCAUUGAAGCAGCUAAACAAGCCCAUCCAUGAAGAGGAGGCAGUUAUCGAAAAAUUUAACAAUCCUCGGAAGAGGAAAAAGCCAAGCAACGUAAGCCAAUUAAGGAGGUAGUUGAACUGCUGUCUGGUCCAAUGAUUUCAAACUCGAGCAUAGCGAAGGUACCAUUCCCAAUGAGAUUAGAGGACAAGCAAAAGAGGGACAAUGUAGAUUUUAUAAAUUUUCUUAAUUCAUUUAAGUCUUUCAAUGUCACUUUGCCGCUCUUAGAAUUAAUUGAUAAAAUCCAUAACUAUGCCAAGUACUUAAAAAAUCAUAAAAAGGCAUAAGAAAUGAAAAAGGCACAUUGACAUUGAUACCUCGUGUAGCGUGCUAACCACAAGAAAGGUACCCUCGAAAUUAAAAGAUCCGAGGAGCUUUACAAUUCUAAUAGAGAUAGGAGAUCGAAAUUUUAGCAAAAACCUUUACGAUUUAGGGGCUAACAUAAAUUUAAUGCCAUUAUUGAUCUACAAGAAACUCAAAUUUGGGGAUCUUAAAAAUACCUCGAUAACGCUAUAGCUAGUCGAUAGAUCCUUAGGACACCCAAAAGGUGUGCUGGAGGAUGUAUUAGUUAAGGUAAAAAAAUUUAUAAUUCCCAUCGAUUUUGUAGCCCUUGACUUUGAGGAAGAUUAAAAAAUUCUCAUUCUGUUGGGUAGACCAUUUUUGGCCACUUUUAAAUCGAUGAUUGACCUCGAACGAAAUGAAUUAAUUAUAAAAAUUGAAGACGAGAUAGAAGUGUUCAAAUGUGGCAACGAUUCCCAAAGUGAGGGAUUAGUUAGGGAAGAGUGUUUUGUCUUAUUCAAUUUAACCACUAAUGACCUCAAUCGAAGGUAUUUUUCGAGCCAUGUAAGUGUAGGUACCCAUAGUGCAAGAGAAGGAGAUAAAUAGCAAGACUUCGAUGGAAAAAUAAGUGAUUGGGAUAACUGAGACGAGUGAGACCAACAACUAAAAUCAAUGGUAAAGUUCAAGAAAUUGUCGGACAAGUUCAGUAACAUAACAUAAAUUUUAACCAUCAAACUUAAUCAAUUUGUAAAUAUUGUAUAUUACUUUGUUGUUGACUUGUUAGAAUAGGAAUUAGAUUUGUAUUUUAUGCUAGAAUUAGAAUGACCAGGUUUCUGAUGACAACGGAGGAGCUAGACGUUAGUAGGGUGCAUGUACGACUAAUAUAGGACCUUCUACAAGUCCUGAAGAGGCCAAAUCGAAGCCAUAUCGUCACACAAAAUUCCCAUGGUCUUGCAUUGGAAGAUAUGUUAAGAGGAUAUAUUAUUGAAUUCUGAGGCAUUUGGGAAGAACAUUUAUCCUUAGCUGAAUUUGCCUAUAAUAAUAGAUACCAAUCAAGCAUCCAAUUGACACCUUAUGAGGCCUUGUAUGGUCGCAAAUGUUGAACACCUUUGUGUUGGAUUGAACUGAGAGAAAAAAAGUUUUAGGUCCCGAGUUGGUAUAAGAAUCUGAGGGGAAAAUCAAACUGAUUCAGGAUAGACUGAAAGUAGCUUUCGAUAAACAAAAGUUCUAUGCAGAUUUAAUUAGAAAGGUCAUUGAAUACAGUGUCGGCUAUCAAGUCUUCCUGAAAGUGUCCCAAUGACGAAAUGUGUUAAGGUUCAGUCUAAAGGGUAAGUUAAGUCUGAGAUUUAUAGGACCCUACUGAAUCUUUAGGAGAAUUAGUCUAGUUGCAUAUCAGUUAAAGUUACCUUUAGAAUUUGAUCGAAUUCACGAAAUUUUCCAUGUCUCCAUGUUGAUACGUUACCACUCCGACCCUUCUCACAUUAUUCCGAUAAAAAAGAUUGAGGUACGACCAGGUUUGUCCUUUGAAGAGGAACUUCUGUAAAUUUUGGAACAUGAUGUAAAGGUUUUGAGAGGGAAACGAAUCUCUCUUAUUAAGGUUCGGUGGCAGAACCAUGGAAUCGAAGAGGCUACGUGGGAACCAAAAGUGCAAUUCUUCAAUAUUAUCGUCAUCUAUUCGAACCAGGUAAAUUUCGAGGAUAAAAUUUCUUUAAGGGGGAGAACUGUAACACCCCAAAAUAUAUAGGGUUAGAAGUAAUAAUUAACCCAAAAAUGAGCCUUAAUCUUGAAAGUUAAGAGCUUAGUAUACUCCCUAGAGGUCCUAGGUUCAAGCCUUAUCUUUCUCCUUUCUUUUCAUUUUACUUUUAGCAACCUGUGGUAAAAACCAUACUAGAAUAUGUAUUAAAUUGUGCAAAAACAUGUUAAGUGUGGGUAGCAGCCCAAUUGGUUAGGCCUUUGUAUCUCCUCCCUUACUUCCAACAUUUACGUCAUUCCAAACUCUUUCCCCAAUUUCAUUCUUCUUUUUAUUUUCGGUAAAAAGGGGAAAUUUCCAUCAAGCCCUUCAAAAUUAAACUGCAGAGAAGGGUUACACGAUUGUGUGGCCAAGUCGUGUAAUAAACUAUGGCAAUGUGACAAAUGCAAAAAUUAAACGACAAGGAAGACACGAUCGUGUGGAAGGUUCCUGGCCAUUUGAGAUUCGAACUAGCCUAGGGUUUCAGAGGUACAUGGCCAUGUGAGAGGUCGUGUGGUCCACACGCCAAUGGGGGUGACCGUAUGGCCCUAUCUUAGACAUGGUUUGCCCCGAUUCACUUGUAAAAGAACACACACCUUUCAUUGAAAGCCCGAACGAUGUCCCUCAUGAUCAAAUCUGAUCCAGUGCACCUAAAAUGAGUCCGUCAAACGAUAUUUAUACACAAGCUAACGUUUGGUUUCAAGAUUUGACUAGACUAACAAAAGAUUUGGCAAGAACAGUAAAAGAAGAUUAAUCGAACUUAAGAUUAGCAUCGAAUUGAAUUAUUAUGAAAAAUCAAGAUUUAAACAUCAAGAACGAGAUGUACUUAUUGAUUAUUUGGUAAGAAAAAGGAUGCUAUUAAUGGCAAAUCUAAAUCUGGUAGAAAACGAUUGAACGGGGAUGAUUUGAUUUGGGGAAGCAAAAUAAUCAAUAACAUUUAGGAUGAAAAUAUGGUGUAAAGAAAAUGGAAAGAAAAUAAAAAAGAGAAUAAAUAGAAAGAUGGAGAGUAAAUUCUAUUAGGAGUUGAAAAGGGGCAAUAUGAAAAUCUAAUUAGGAAAAGAAGAGAAAAAGAUGCUAGAAUUCUAAUUCUAUUAGGAUUUUGAGAAGAAGAAAGUUGUGAAUUCUAAUUAGGAAAGAAUUGGUUAAAUUCCUAGGGUUUGUAAACCCUAGGGGUGUCACCUGUAAUUUUUCCAAGAUUUGCUGAAAUUGAAUUUAAAAUGAAAGGGGAGGUGGAGGAGGCUUGUACUCAAGUUCACAAGGGGAAACUAAUGCUUUAAAAAUUGGGUUAUUACUCAUUUCUUGUUAGUUUUUAUCCAUGAAAAUAUAUAUUUUAUUUUGGCUUUAAUCUAAGGUUGCUAAAAAUAAAAGGGAAAGAAAUAGGAGGAAUGGGGUUCAAACCUAGUACUUUUAGGAGAACUAAUGCCUUAACCAUUGAGUCCGUUGCUCAGUCCUUAUUUAUUUUUUACGCUUAAUCAUAUAAAUAUGUUUUGGGGUGUUUUUGGCGAAAUUAUGAAAUAAAAAGGGUAAGAGGGGGCUCAAACUUGGGUCUAAAAGGGCUCUAGCGUUUUAACCAUUGAGCCUAUAACUCAUUUCUUGCCUAAUUUAGACACUUAAUUGUACAUAUUACUUUUUUUUUAGACUUGCCGAAUUUCCCAAAAUAAAAAAAGAGAGAAAGGAUUCAAACCUGAGAUCAUAAGGGAGGAAAGCUAACUCUUAACCAUAAGGCUUGAAAUAUAUUUCUUUCUUAAUUUUAUUUCUUAACUGUAUAUAUUUUUUUCGGGCUCAACUUACAUAUUCUUUAUUGGCUUACACAUUUAUUCAAAUUUUUUAUUAACUUAUUUAACUUAUAGUUCUUAGCACAUUCCACUUUAGUUUAUAUAACAAUUAAUACUCAUAGUCAAGUUUCAUUAUUAAUAUUUUAAUUCAUUUCACCCUUAGUAAAUUCUAAUAAAAUGACUUAGAUACACGAAAAUCAUCAAGCCUAAUAAUCAUUUCUUAUUUAACAUAUUACAUAAGUAACAUUCGUAAUUCAACAAUUAAAUCAUCUACAAUAUAAAACAGUUUAAUAAGGGCAAUAAUUGAAAGAAAAUACUAGAACUGAUAAGUAAAACUCAUUUAAUUUUUAAAGUAAAGUUCAAGGACUAAAUCAUAAUUUUAGUAAAAUAUUUUAGUAAAACCCCUUUUUGUAAAAUUGAGAGUGAAAAUAUGGAAUUAUCUAUAUAAUAUUUAAUCAUGCAAAUUUUCAAGUCAUUUCAUAGCUUUUAAGGACUCCAAUUGCAUUGUAUAAAAAUUAGAACUCAAUUGCAAAGAUAAUGUCACAUUGACACCUAUACAUACUAUUUCGUGUUUUCAUGUCAAUUUUCCUAUUCUAACAUAUCUUAUUUCAUACAUAGAUCAUACAAAUCAUGCUCAGUUACACUAAAACAUACAUUAACACAGUUUAACACUCUAAUCAGUUAGCUAUACUAGCAUGUAAACCUAAAGUCACAAUCCCAUAUUACUCAGCAUGUCAAAUUUGCAUCUUAUACAUUUCUAAGUGCAUUAUACGUUUAUACCUUACCAUUUGAUCAUUUUAAGCUUUUCUCAAUGUUUAGCAAGUCAUUCAAGCAUCUAUAACAAUAAUUCGCUAAGCAUAUGCAUAUCAUCCAUCACACAACCAAAACUUUAACUAUCAUGCACAUUCAAGCUUAAAUCCAAUCAAUCAAUCAACCACAGACCCAAUUCUUCCAACCCCAUUUUUGGUAUGUGACACUUUUACCCUUUGAAAUUUUUACAAGAUAGGAAUCUUUAUGUGUUUAAUUAGACUUAAUAAAUUUGUCCUAAAUAUUUAAUAUGAAUGAAAAAAUAUAUUUAAAAAAAAAGUCUACUAAUAAAGUAAAAAAAAUAAAAAAAUACAUUUAAAAUUUUUAAUUUUUUAAAAAUUUAUCUCACAAUUCAAAUUUCCAAUUUCCUAACUAUACCUUGUUAAUUUAAUAUUUAUGUAUGAUGUUGGAUUAUUUAAUUUGAGUAUGAUGUGAUAUGAAUAUUUGUGUCUAGUUUGAUUGAAAUGUUUAAAAGUUCGAAUAAUUAAUUGAUUAGAAAGUUCUGAAAAUUUUCAUAAAUCAUCAAACUUAUUCUAAAAAUAUUUUCUAGAAAAUUAAAGAAAAGGUUGCAAAUGAUUGACCCAAAUAUUAAUUGGUUAGCUGGUUUUUUUCUGCUACUUUCUAUUAUUGAGUUAGUGGAGUCCUAUUUGGAGGUGAUCAUGGGCCGGGUCGGGUCCAGAAAAAAUUUCGGCCCGCAUCCUAGAACCGGGCCCGGCCCAGCCCGAAAUAUGGGCCUGAAAUUUUAUCUAUGCCCGGCUCGAGAAAAAAUUCCUAAGCCCGAACCCAGCCCCGCCCAGCCCAUUUUUUUAAUAAACACCAAAAAUUUAUUUUAAAAAUAAAAAAUAUUUUAAAAAUAUUUUAAAAUUAAAAAAAUUUAAAAAAUAAAUAUUUAUUAUAUAUUCGGGCCGGGCCCGGGCCAAAAAAGUGGUGCCCGAAGCCCAGCCCGUUUUCUAAACGGGCCUCAUUUUUUGCCCAAACCCAUAUUUCGGGCCUAUAUUUUUACCCGAACCCUCCCAUAUUUCUGGCGGGCCGUCGGGCCGGGCCGGGCCGCCCGACCCAUGAGCACCUCUAAUCCUAUUGCUAUCUAUUUGCUUGUUAUUGCAUAAAUGAUUUAGGGUGAGUUUGGAUGGGCGGUGUGUUUAUCUGCGGUUAGUGUAAAAAUAGCGGUGGCAGUGAUAUUAGAUAUUGUAGCAAUACUGUAGCGUGAGACAAAAAAUAAGCUAAAUUCACCGCACCCAAUCGCCCAUCUAAACCCACCCUUAAUGUUUACGGUUUUUGUUGUGGUAUGAGCGUCUAUUGUGAGUUGAAGUUUCAAACGAUAGAUUUUUUAUAUUAAUUUUAUUAUAUGUUUUUAUUAUAUUUAUUUUUUUACAUAAUACAUAAUAUUAGGGGCUUUUACCAAAAUAGUCCAAAAAAAUGUUAUAUUUACAAAAAUAACUCAUAUUUAUAAACAAUCACCAAAAUAACCUGAAAUGAACAGUGAAAUGAGGUUGUGGACUGUCAAUGGCCGGAAUCACCUCGUAUUUUGCACCCAUGAUUGCCUGAUAAUUGUGUCAGACUUAAGAAAAAUAAUUUUUUUGGUUUUGGCCUGUCAAUGGCCGGAACCAGUGUAUCUUUUUUAAAAAUUGUAUAAUACUGAUAUACAAAAUUUUGGGUGCUGGCCACCACCAAAAAAGAUUGUACUUUUUUCGUAUACUGGUACCUUUUAUUGACACGAAAAAGUAAAAAAAACAAAAUUUUCCCAAAAAAGGUGGUGCCGGCCAUUGGCAGGCCACCACCAAAAUUUUUUUACUUUUUUCGUAUACUGAUACCUUCCAUUGACACGAAAAAAGUAAAAAAAAAAUUCUCCAAAAAAGGUGGUGCUGGCCAUUGGCAGGCCACCACCAAAAGAAUUUUUUUUUUUACUUUUUUCGUAUACUGAUACCUGCUAUUGACACGAAAAAAUAAAAAAAAAUUCCCCAAAAAAGGUGGUGCCGACCAUCGGCAGGCCACCACCAAAAAAUUUUCUUUUUACUUUUUUCGUAUACUCAUACCUGAUAUUGACACGAAAAAAGUAAAAAAAAAUUCCCCAAAAAAAAGGUGGUGCCGGCCAUUGGCAGGCCACCAUCAAAUUUUUUUUUUUACUUUUUUCUUACACUGAUACCUGCUAUUGACACGAAAAAAGUAAAAAAAAAUUUCCCCAAAAAAAGUGGUGCCGGCUAUUGGCAGGCCACCAUCAAUUUUUUUUACUUUUUUCGUAUACUGAUACCAGCUAUUGACACGAAAAAAGUAAAAAAAAAAUCCCCAAAAAAUGUGGUGUCGGCCAUUGGCAGGCCACCACAAUUUUUUUUUUUACUUUUUUCGUAAACUGAUACCUGCUAUUGACACGAAAAAAGUAAAAAAAAAUUUCCCCCAAAAAAGGUGGUGUCGGCCAUUGGCAGGCCACCACCAAAUUUUUUUUUUACUUUUUUUGUACUCUGAUGCCGGCCAUUGACAGAAAAAAACUCGAAAUUUUUUUCCUGUACAGGGGUGCCGACCAUUGACAAGCUAGCAGCUAAAUUUUUUUUUAUUUUCUUCUUUUUUGUAUAUCAGUAUUAUACAAUUUAAAAAAAAUACACUGGUUCCAGCCAUUAACAGGCCAAAACUAAAAAAAUUAUUAUUUUUAAGUCUGACACAAUUAUCAAGAAAUUAUGGGUGCAAAAUACGAGGUGAUUUCGGCCAUUGACAGGCCACAACCUCAUUUCACUGUUCAUUUCAGGUUAUUUUGGUGAUUAUUUUUAAAUCUGUGUUAUUUUUAUAAAUAUAAUAUUUUUUGGACUAUUUUAAUAAAAUAGUCAUAAUAUUAUUAUAAUUCAAUAUACUCAAAUUUACAUAUUUUUAUAUUGUCAAUAAUUUAAAUAUUUUUGUGAUGGUUGGUGGCAGCAUGAUGUCAUGAAUGGAUGUGACUUGAAAUACAUGUAUGUGGUGGAGGUAAGGUGUGGAUUGAUAGGAGUAAUUUCUGUCAGGUAUUUGAGUUUAUGCGCACAGAUAUCUAGGAUAGCCUAUGGCAUUUGUGGUGGAUAUGGGAUGGAGUGCCAUAAAUAUCAAGGUCUCAAUGAGCUGGACAGUGAGUCCGUGAUGAAAAUUUUGUUGCCUAAAGCUGGUCUCAAUGAGCUGGACAGUGAAUCUGUGAUGGAAAUUUUGUUGCCUAAAGCUGGUCUCAGUGGCCCAGAACUUCAGGAAUACGAGCUGCCCAUGACUGAAUCACAACAUCUCGGUCUUUUUUACGUAAUUCAUCUAAAAUAAUUAAUUAUUUUAAAAAAUAACUUAAGUUAAAAUUUUUUUACGAAUAUGACCUGUUUUGUACAGUAUUUGUUGGUAUCAUCCGAUACAACGACAGUGCUAUCUUCAAUAAUGAAUUAAUUAUCUGCUUUUUAAAAAAUAAUAAUUUUUUGUGCUGUCAUUGUGUUAGGUAGUAUCAAUCUUUAUUUUUUAAAAUACUCAGUAAAAAUAUGAGUAUUUAAGGAGGAAAAAUAGAAAAAAACAUUUUAUAAUAAAUUUUUUAGUGUCGUCAAUAUAUCAGGCAAUACCAGUAAAUAUUUUUAAAAAAUAAAUAUUUUGUCAUCGGUAUGUCAAGCAACAUCCGUUAAAAUUUUUCAAAAAAAAAUUAGGUGGUGUCGCCUAUCAGUCGGCACUGAUGAUAUUUUAAAAAAAAUAAUUGUAGAAAGAGUAGUUCAAAACAUUGGUCAUUGUUUUAGAAGAUUUGAAGUCAAUUAUUGAGAGAUUUGGAUCUUAGAAGUUAACGAGAAGGAGGAAAUAUCUUCUUUGGUGUCGAAAUUGAAACAAAAGGCCAUCGUAAACGGCGACAUCGAUGGCUAUUGAGUAUGGCGGUUUAGGUUUUCAAUUGAGAAAAAAAGGCAAAAAGAAAUAUAAAAAAAAGGACAACUGAGUAGAACGGCUAGAGUUUUCAAUUGAGAAGAAAAAGGAAAAUUUGAAUGGGAAAGAAAAAUAGAGUAUAUGGAAAAUAGAGUAUAUAUAUCUAACUUUUAUAUAUAUUAUUCUCUUUCCUUUUUCAUAUUUAACUUUCUCUCUCCCAUCCCUCUAUCUUUCUCCCAUAUCUCUUUCUUUCCCACUCUCAUUUCAUCUAAGAUUAUUUUUUUGAAAUAAUAUUUCAUCCAUGAUACUGACAAGCCAAGAAGACAAUAACAACCUCUGAAGUAAGUAUCGGUCAUGGGCUUCCCCAUUUAUUAUUAUUUUUUCAAUUUUCUUUCCUUUUUCUAUUUCAACUGUUUAUUUUUUGUUUAUUUUUUCUGUUUCACUUGUUUAUUUUUAAAUUUUCAUGGUGCCGCUUGACAUAUUGACGACACAAAUUUUUUUUAAAUUUACUGAUCAGUGCCGUCUAACAAAUCGAUGAAACCCAUUAAAAAUGGUUUUUCCGUACCUGAAUACUUGUAUUUUUAACAGGUAUUUUGAAAAAUACAAAUUGGUGCUGUCUGAUACGGUAGCGACACCCAAAAAAAUUAUUAAAAAACUGAUAAUUGAGUCAUCAUUGGGGACGGUAUCGUCAAUGUGUCAAACAACACCAAUGAACAUUGUAGAAAACCGGUCGUUUUCAUGUAUAAAUUUUAAUUUGAGCUAUUUUCAUAAAUAAUUAAUUAUUUUGAGUUAAGUUAAUAAAAAAAAAACCGAACAGAAAGACUCGGAGCUUGCUACUGUUUAACUAUUUAAUAUGAUUUGAUUAGUUUUUAGUAGCCCUCAUUAUUUUUUUUUAAAAGCUAGAUUUUAGAUACAAAAAUUAUAGAUUUUUAGUUUUUAGAUAUAAAAAUAUUACCUAUAAUUUUUAGAUUUAUCAUUAAAUUAUGAGGAUAUUUUUAUUUAGUUAAAGUUUAUUAUUAAUUCUGUAUUUGAUAAAAUUUGACAUGUAGUUUAUUUACUUAAAACAUUAAAAUAAAUAAUUUUUUCAUUUUUUUAAUUUAAAAUAUUUAUACAAUCAUUAAAAUUGAUAGUGUUUUUCAUCAAACUUGAGAUGUUAUUAAAUUAGUCUUAUAUAAUAUAACGUAUAAUUGAUAGAAAAUAAAAUAUUAAAUUAAUAAAUUUGACAAAAAAAUACGAAUAGUAUUAAUUGUUAGAUUAUAAUUUAAAAUUUUUUUCUGUUGUUUUUGAAAAAAAGGAGAACCAAAUUCCUUACCAAAAAUUCAAGCAAUAACAACUCUAGGAAAAGUCACUCUUCCCAGAAUUUGCUAAUAGCAGAUUUACAAGGCCAGUAGGAGCAUAAAAAAUUCAAAAACCAUCUUCUAUACAGGUGUUAAACUUAGAUAAUCAAUCAACCACAUUAUUAUUCUAUCGUGGAAUAUACUGAAGAGUGAAGGAACAAUCUCUAUUGAGCUGACUUCUUAUUUCACAUACCAGAAAAAAAAUGAGGUUGUUCAUCAUUAACACCUCAGCGAAUCAUCUCAAUAGAAUUUAAAGAAUACGAUUCUAUAUUUUGAUCUUUCGAAUACCCUUAAUCCGCUAAAUCAAUGCCAUAUAGAAUACGCCUCAAUUCUGCUAAAUCAAUGUUGUAAUUCCUAAUACUAAUAGAACCCUUGCACUCACAGUUUAUAUCUUGAAACCAACUUCCAUCAGUGUUUGAUUUGCACCACCCAUUAGCUAGCUUAUCCCAACAGAGAAAAAGCUCCUCCUUCAAUCGAACAGAACUAGAAACAUGAGACCCAUGGCCAUAUUCUUUAAGAGCUCUGCAAAUAGCAUCAAUUUUAUAGUUGAUAGGUGGAGAAACACUGCCAAAACAGACAUUAUUCCCCCAUUUCCAAAUUAUCCAACAGAGAAAACAAAUGGCCAAUGCCAUUCCCCAAUUAGCUUUGAAUUAUUAUGCUCUAUAGGAUUCAAAUGCGACCAUUGUUUAACAAAAGCAGUAAAGGAAAUACAAAGAUUAGCAAUAAAUUUUUAUUCUUUUUUACCUCGUAACUAUGAAAAAUUACAAUAUAAUCACUCUUAUUAUUAAGUUGUGUAGAGGUUUCUAUGGUAGAGAGAGAAAGCGUUGCAAAUAAGUGAACAAGAUACACCGGAAGAAAGCGGAGAGGAAGACUGGAACAAAUCUGAUAAAACUAAGUGUAGCGAUAGGUGAUGGUCACUAGAGUGGAGAAAGGGAAAUAUGAUUGACAAUUAAACUCAAUAAAGAAACAAAUUGAGAGAAUUUUACAGAGAGCUUUGAGAAUCUCAAAUGCCAAAAGUCUCUCCACUAGUUGUAAAUGUCUCCGGUUUAUAGUGUCUCAAGAAUGAAAAUUACAAAUCUAACAAUUAAUGAGAGUAAUGAAAUUAAUUUUCAAUUAUAAUAACAUUAAUGGUUAAGAGGAGAUGAUGAAGAGUUUUGUUGGUAAAGGUGAUAGUGAAUAGUGAAGAACUCACUAUGUUUCUAAAAGAAGAGAGAAGAACUCAAUAUUAUAGAAAAGAUUAAGAGGAAGUCUCUUAACUACCUCCAUAUACGAUCUACCAAGCCAAGCUUUUCGAAACAUCCCAAGAGUGAAGAUAACUCGAGAACCCUACCAUAUUUAAAGGUUACUUCCACUUCAACUUCUACUUUGGUGAAGUAGUACCAUGUAAAACAUCUUUCGCGGAACAUUUUUGAAAUGCAAGAUGAUGGUGGUUAUUGAAUAAUAAUAUUUUGGCUUGUUCCAAAUGCAAGUUGCUCUCAAUAUACAAUACAAUUUGGAAGAGCUUAUUUUGAAUAAUGACUCUUUUGGAAGAAUACAAUUUUUCAAUAUAAAAGCUAUUCCAAACAACGGUUGUUCUAAAUAUAACUAUUCUUGAAACAUCUUUAUUCUAAACAAGAGUUGUUUCAAACUUUUGUUAUUCUCAAUACAUUAGAUGGCAACGAUUUUAAAUUGAAGUCAUGUUCUAAUACAGUUAUUUCAGAUGUAAUUAUUCUCAAACAACGACUGUUAUGAAAAAUAAUUAUUUUUGAAUAAUUAUUGUUCUUGUAGAAGAGAUAAUAAAUGAAACAAUGUUGCUACUUGUUUCGAGCUUGGUAACACAAUUUUCUAAAAUGGUAAUCAAAACUAAGUAUUUAUGUUUUACCCCUAGCAUGAGAGUUCUUAAUCAAAAAAUGUUCCCAAGGAAGAAAAAUUGUAGUAAAAUAAAAUGAUAAAAAAAUUAUACAUUUAUAACUAAAAAAUUCAUGUUGUAUAAAUUGUAACAUGCCAAUUUUAUCCGGAGAAAAAAACAAACAAAAUAGAUAAACAAGUCCAUCUUACAAGCCUAAUAGCAAAGUCCAUUUACAAAACCCUAACUCAAACCUAGUGUUGCACAAGCAAGCCCACAACCUAAAAUUUUUUCAAAAAAUCAAAAAACCCUAGAUCCCCUAUGCGCCGCUGCUCCUGGUCAUGUCAGCGAAUGCGUCGCCCAAGAACUGCCUCCCCUGCCAUCAUUUUACCAAAAUGGCAAGGGUGCGACUCCCUAUUGCCGUUGACCACCAUCCCAACCUACAAGAAGAAAGAGACAGAAACAACAUAAACAGCAAAAAAAAAUACAAAAAUGAACAUUAUGCAAUAGAUUUGGCUAUAAAAGCCAUAAUAACCACAUGUAUUAUUUUACACAGAGAGAAAUCGAAACAUAAUACGAAAAAAAUAAACAGAUUAAAAAAGGUAAAGAAAUACAAAAAAAAUAGAAAGUUUAAAGUUCUUACCGAUCUCGUUGUGUUGCCGCCGUGGGUGGGGAAAGUCAUCGUCCCUGAGGAAAGACGACCUCUUUUCGACGUGAAAGGCCCUUGAUUUCCUUUGGAUUUGCCUGGUCUUCAUCGGAGGAGAGGGCGUGAGGGGUACGAGUUCAAAAAGGGCGGGCCGAAAGUCAUUUCUUUUUGGAUUUUUUUUAAAUAGAAGGCACUGCCUUCAGAUCUAAGUUUUGGGAACCAAAGAGGCUAAAAAGGUAAAAAAAAUUACAACUCCGGCCACCGGAGGCGACGAUCUCCGUCGCCAAUAACUGGUGGCCACAGAGGAGCGCCGACGGCUUUGUGGCCGAACAUGGAAAAUUUUUGAGAGAAAAAAAAGGCUCAAAGUUUUCUUUUUUUUUUUUAAAAAAAAAAACUGAAUCGGAAAUGAAAUUUUUAUAAAAAAUUUUGACUUAUACAGGCGUUACUAAAGGGCAUCGUUUUGGCCAGGUUUUAGAGGUCCUAAAACGGUGUCGUUUCAGGCUUGACCCGUUGACCCGAUCCGAAUCCCCUAGGAUCUGCAUGUUUUUAUGGAAAUGAGCUAUUUAUGGCCUUGGGCCUUUCGCAUUUAAGUUUUUUUAAUCUAGUCCUAAUUUCACUAUUUUUUUUCUUUUUAGUAAUUAUGCCAUUUAAUUUAGAUUCGCUUUCAGUUUGGUCUUCAGACUGCUGACCCUUUGGGGAAUGACACGUGUAUUGUUUUGGAUUAAUUGUCCUCGAAGUCCCUAAACUUUUAUAUCACAUUUUAAUUUAGUCCUUCAUAUCCUGUUUUUUUAAAUUUAGCCAUUAGAUUUUGUUAGACUUUCAAUUUAGUCCUUUAUUUCCCCUUUCUUUAUUUAUUUUGCGAUUUAUAAUUUAAAUUUCGCUUAAAUUUUAAUUUAAUCCCUCAUUUUGUUAAUUUUGCCUCUUUAUUUACUAGAUCAUUUAUUUUAUCACUUAAAAUUUAUGUUAUUUACAUUUCCUUUUAUUUUAUUUUACCCUUUUUAUUAUUGUUAUCAUUAUUUUGUUUAUUCAUAUUAUUAUUGUACAAGCCCAAUUUUGACCCGGAGACCAAAACCCAAAACCACAACCCAAAUUACAAACAAUCCCAGCAACCUACCCAAACCCAAUUACAGGCCCAUCAACCUACCCAAACCCAACUAAGCCCAAUAGCCCAAAAUCAUCAAAAAAAAAAAGAAACCCUAACCCUAGCCUCUGAUAGCCCUGCCGUCGCACCUACCACUGCCGCCGCCUGUCACCGUCAUCCACCUGCUCUGCCACUGCUGUAGCCACCAACUCCACCAACUCCCUGCAAAAAUGGCAGCAAACGUAAUAAAAAAACUUGUAAAUCAAGCUAUAAAAGCCACAAUUUCAAUGUAAAAAAAGGGGGGAUUGAUUUUUUUAAUACAAAAAAAGAUUCAAGCAUAAAAUCAGUAAAAAAGCAGAUUGAAGAAGAAAAGCAAGAAACGUGCAAAGGUAUUUUUUUUCUUUGUUUUCUUUAUUUUUCCCUUUUUUGAAACCGUUAUAUAAAUAUGUUUUGAAAACUAUUUAUAUAUAAAUAUAUUUUAAAAGUGCAAAAAAAAUUAUUACCUUUGAUUUCACUGAAAAAAAGGUGACUUUCGGCCUUCCGGCCGCCGUGUAAGGCGGCGCCGGCGACGACCGAGUGGACUCUCACCGGAUCCUCAGCCCUUCAGAGAAAAUAAAAGGGAUGGGGGAAUCUUUUUUUCUGAACUAUGCUAAAAUGAUUUUUGUGAUAAAAAUUUUGCGUUAAAUAGGUCCCCAAAACGACGCCGUUUUGAGCACCUUUCAGGCACCAAAACGACGCCGUUUUGCGUAAGACCCGAGAUUCGACCCGCUCCGGAAGGAAGAUCCGCGUGUUUUUGAACGGAAGGGCUAAUUCGCUUUCAGCCCUUCCACUUUUUAAUGGUUUUACAAUCAAGUAUUUUUAGUAUUUUAAUUUUACCCCAGAAAUAUAUCGCAUUUUGAAUUUGAUCCCCAUCGAAGCUGUCCGUUUUGGAGGCCUGGAUAAAUUUCAUUUUUGGUCCCCCUGCUUUCGCGCGCGUCACAAUUUAAUCUUUUUCUUUGUUUUCAUUUUCGAUUUCGCCUCUAAAAUUUUGUUUAUUUUCAAUUUAGUCUUUUUCUAUUGUUAUUUUAUUAUUAUUUAACUGAUUAGGUUAUUAUUAUUAUUAUUAUUAUUAUUAUUAUUCUUUAUAUAUAUUUUCGUUUUAUUUUAUUAUUGUAUUUUUACUUUUUUUUAAGUACAUAGUUAUUAUUUAAUGAUAUUUUAGUAUUUAAAAUUGUUUUCAUUUUUUCAUCUCAUUUAUUUAUUUAUUUGUUUUCUUUAUUGUUAUUAUUGUUUUACUUAAUAUUUAUUCAUUCAUUUAUUUAUGUGUCAAUUAUUAUUAUAAAAAAUGUUUUAGUUCUAUUUGUUUAUUUACUUGUUUUUUUUAUAUAAUUGAUUUGUCCUUUUAUUUAUAUAUCUUAUUUUUGUUGUUGUUACCCGUAUUAUUUAUGCUCACAUUGUCGUAUUUAUUAUCGUUUUGUUAUACACAUUAAUACUGUGUUUUAUUUCUACUAUUUCGAGUUAGAUUAAUUUAUCUCGACGCAUAAAUUUCGACUUUUGAAUAAGUAAAAUCUCGUGUUUAGAUUCGAGAAGGUCGUACCCUAACUUACGAGGUUUCGAUUUUCACAAUAAAUCUAAAUAUACGAAUCUUUUCAAACUCAAGUUUUAAACGAUCUCGGGAAUUAAGAAAAGAUCGUGUCUUAACUUACUGGACAUGAUCCCUUUUUUAAAUCCGAGAUAGCUAAAUAUCUUUUAAAUAAGUAAAUUUUUGGCAUUCAAUCGCGCAUCGGGAAUUCAAGACAUUGUGUCCUAACUUACUGUAUAUAAUUCUUUCUCGAUUAAUGUGAAAGAUGCCUUUUUCCCGAAAACUUUCAACAUUUCAAUAAAUGAUCGUAUUUUAAGUCUCUUUAAAGUUUUCAAUCUACGACAUUAAGACAUUAAUUAAUCAAUUAGGUGCCAAUUUUGGGCGUUACGAGGGUGGUAAUCCUUCCUCGUACGUAACAGACUCCCGAACCUAUUUUUCUGAAUUUUGUGGACCAACAUCGUUGUUUUAAUAAAAUCAAAUCGUUUAUUAAAAACAACCACUUUUCGAGGUGAUUCGAUCACACCUCAUCAAAAAAGAUUGGUGGCGACUCCCAUUUUUGUUUUUAUUUUUAAAAUCCAAGUCGACCCCGUUUUAUCAAAAAAAUGGUGUCAACAAUUAUGAUAAUAAUUAUGAUGUGAUUAUUGCUGUUGUUGUUAUAAAUCGAUAUUCUUAUUACUAUUAUAGUUGCGUUAUUAUCGUUAUUUAUCAACAUGGUAUUUAUUAGGGGUGAGCAAAACUCGAUUCGACUUGAAAAAAUCGAAAAAAAAUUCGAAUUUUGAGUUAAACGAAUCGAAUUAUUCGAGUUAAUCGAGUUAUUCGAAUCAACUCGAAUUUUUUUUUCGAAUUUCGAGUUCGAAUCGAGUUGAGUUUUCGAAUUCGAAUAACUCGAAUAAUUCGAAUAAUUCGAAUAAUUCGAAUAUCAAACUAUAAUAUUUGACAGUUUUACCCUAAACUCCCAAACCUUUUUACUUUUCCCUCAAAACUUUUACUCCUUCCCACUUUCCCCCCAAAACUUUUACUCCCCUCCCCUCCCAACCCCCCAAUCUACCCAAAAUCCAUUUCCUACCAAAAUUUUACUCUCCCAUUUACUUUUUCUCAAAAUUUUACUCCUAAAAACCCUCAAAACCUUUUAUUUUCUCUCAAAAUUUUUACUCCUUCCCACUUUUCCCUAAAACUUUUAUUCCCUUUCCAUCCCACCUCCCAUCUACCCCAAACCUUCCCCCCUCCAAUUUUUUUUUUUAAUAUUUUCCCUCCAAAAUUUUACUCUCCCCUAUUUACUUUCCCUCAAACUUUUAUUCUCCAAAACUUUUUAUUUUCCCCCUAAACUUUUACUUCUCACCCUUUACUUUAAAAUAAAAAAUCAAAAUUAUCCAAAAAAAAUCACUAAACAUAAAUAGUAAUAAUUUUAUUUAUAUUUACUAUUUAUAUUAUUAAAUUAAAUUUCACAUUUUAUAUUAUUUAUAUUAUUGAAUUGUUUAGUCAUAUUGAAUAUUUAUAUUAAAAUUGAAUUAUUAAUUAUGCCAUAAAAUAUUCGUGUUAAAAUUUUAUAUUGCUAUCAAUUUCACAUUUUAUUUUUAAAAUAAAUUUUAUUAAAAAAAUCAUAUUUUUAUAUUUAAUAUAUUUUUUAAUUCCAAAAUACAUAGUGACAAGAAUCUGAAGAUAAUUGAAACAACUAAGCAAGUAAAGAAGCUAACCAGUAUAUAAAAAAUUAAUAAAUAAAUUAUGAGGUGAUGAAAGUUAAUAAAAAAUUUGAUUAAGGUAGACAAAUUUUAUUACGAUGGGUGACAACGGUUACAAGGACCCAAAAUUAUUUUUUAAAAUUUAACUCGAACAAAUAUAUUCGAUUCGAUUCGGUUCGAAUUCCAUCUCACUCGACUCGAUUCGAGAAAACUUCAAAUAAAGUUAGGAUGAUAAAAUGAGAUUCGAAAACUCGAUUAACUCGAAAAUUUUUGAUUCGAUUCGAUUCGAUUCGAUCGAAUGCUCACCCCUAGUAUUUAUUUUAUUAUUAUCCUAAUAUCAUCCUUUCAUUUUUUACCCACAUGGCUGUUUUAUUUUAUUUUCCUAUCACCAUUCCAUGUGUCAUAUUACAACAUAUUUAUCUGUUUUUUUUAAUAAACUAAAUGCAUAUCAUUUUAAAAGUUACGUUCGUUUUACAUAAAGCCUAGGAAAUAAUUAAAAUCAAGGUAAUGUUCAUUAUUUUUGGAAUUUGGAGAGUCUUGCUCCUAACUUACGGAGAAUGAACACUUUCUAAAACCGAAGUAAUUGAAUAUCCUAUUUAAAAAUAAAAAAACGAGAUUUAAGUAAUGAUCAGAUGGUGAUUAUUUUUGUUUUCGAGGGUUCAAAGCAUCGUGUCCUAACUUACGGGGCAUGACAUUUUCUUCUCGAUUAGCUUGAAAUAAGGCAUUUUCAUAAAAUUUAAUUUAGUUAAACGAUAUUUUAAUUAAAAAACAUCAUGGAAAGAGAGAUCGUAUUUUAAUUUCUCUUCGAAUUUUCAACUUCCGACAUCAAAGCAUCAAGUAAUCAACUAGGUACCAAUUUUGGGUGUUAUAAGGGUGCUAAUUCUUUCUUAUACGUAACUGACUCCCGAACCCAUUUUCUGGAUUUGUAAGACCAAAUGUUACCGUUUUAGUAAAUCUAACGAGUCUUGAGGUGAUCCAAUCACACCUAAAUAAAAAAUAUUGGUACCAACUCAAAUCACACCUAAAUAUAGUGUAUUUUCCAUUUUGUUGCCUUUGCAUGAAUUUUAUUUUUCAUGAGAAAAAAAUUCAUGAAUAAAUGAAGUGCAUGUUGUAAUAGAAUGAUAAUAUUUUAUCUUUUAAAUUAAUUUAAUUUAAUUGUUAUAUAUAUAUAUAUAUAUAUUUAAAUUGUAUUUAUUUACACUUAAAAAAAAUUGAUUUAUUUAACCCGUGAGAUAUCAAAUCUCUAUUUAUUUUGAUUUAUUUAACCGGCGAGAUCUAGAUGCACAUUUUUUUUUUUGUUUUAUAUCUUAAUUAUUCUAAAUCCACCAUUUACUCCUUUUUUUUUAUAUCUCAGUUAGAAUUUAAAAUUAUAAUCCAUCCUUUACUAUUUUUAAAUUAAUAGAAGAUAAUUUACCAAAUUUACAAUACAUUUUUUCUUUAUAUGUAACUUUUGUUUAAUUCGUAAAAGAUAAUACACAAGAUAAAUUUGAAAAAAAAUAUAUUUUUUUAAAAAAAAUAUGCAAGAUAAAUGAAAAUAUAAAUUUUAUCUUCACAAAUAUUCAAAUUUAAUAAUAGAAUUAUAUCAAUAUAAAUAAUGAUGUUUUCCAAAAUUUUCAAAAGAUCCGAGUUCUACUAUUUGAAGUAAAUUUGGAACAUAUAUACAAUAUCAUUUAUACAUACUACUAUUAUUAUUAAUUUUAUUUUUUAAUUUUUAUUUCCAUACAGUAAGUUUUAGUGAUGGAAAGAUCUAGUGGUUCAAAAUGUUAUUUGCUUGAUUUGAAGUCAAAAUCUCUUCAAUUCGGUGAAGACAAACUAAUCAGAAACAAAAAAAAAAAAAUGUAAAUUGAUAGUUUCUCCCAUAGAGUUAAAAUCAUGUAUUAUUAAAUCUGAUUGCAUUAUAUUAAAUGAAUAGUUUGUAUUAAAAAUUGUUUAUUUUUUAAUUCAAUUCAUAUAAAAUGGAAAUAAUUAAUUAUAAAUUUAUAUUUUAUUUAUUGUUGAAUCAUAUGAAAAUUGAAUAAAUAAAAAAAAUAAAAAGAAAAAUGAUUUAUUUAAAAGAUCAGUUUUUUUACUUUUUGUCAUUUUAAAUGGAAAGUUUUUAUCGGUUUAAGGCUUAGUUUGGAUGAGCGGUGUGUUUAGCUCCGGUGAGGUUAAAAACAGCGGUGGCGGUGAGAUCAGUUAUUGUAGUAGUGAGAUUGGAUACUGUAGCGGUGAGAUUAGAAACAGCGGUGGAGUAUGUGUUUGGAUUCAAAUGCAGUUGUGGCGGUGAAGUGAGAAUAGAAAAUGACUUUUAAGGACAUCAAAUUAGAAUUGAUAUAUAUCAAAAGUUUUUUAAAUUAUUUUACUUUUAUAAAAUUAUUAAAGUAUGUGAAUUUAUAAAUUCAUUUAAUAAAAUAUUAAAAUGUAUCUUUUGAUAUUUUAUUUAUUAUCCUAUAAAUUAUCAUAUUUGUAUUUAUUUAAAUGAUAGUUAUAACCUUAAAACAUCUUAAUUGUUAUUUACUUAUUAUCCUAUAAAUUAUAAUAUUUAUUAAUUUAUUAUAUAAUAUAAGUAUUUAUCCAACCUAAUCUAGAGAUAAAUUGCUUGGGCUUUUCAAAUAUUGAAAGGGAAAGAAAAGGUUAAAAAAAAUAGAAAGGGCCAUGGGUAAAAUUAGAAAAAAAGGCCUGCGUUGAGUGCACUAAAGCAAAAAGCAUCAGUGAGCAACUGGAGGUGCAGCACAGUGAAAAUCAGUUCAGUGGGCAACUGCAGGUAUUAUCCAAACAUCUCAUCAGUGAGAUUGAACUAAAAAAGUGGUUCAAACACACUGAAAUAGAGCUACCUGGUCAUCCAAAGGAAGCCUAAAUUUCAUACCGUACUGGAGUGGUAGUCAAAUAUUUACGCAUUUGCGAUGUAUUUGUCUUUACAAACUUUUCUUAUUAGUAACUUUCGUUGAUUUCAUUAUAUUUCCUUUUGUUCAAUAUAAUUUUCUAUACAAUAUUAAUUUUGUAUGGGUUUAAAUCUUGUUACUCUUCUCUUUAUUUUCGAAAUUGUUCAAUAUAAUCAAAUUGUAUAUUUUCAUUUUUUAUUUUUUUUAUAUAUCAAUCAAUCGUUUAAAACAAUAAUUACUAAUGGUUAUUUUGUUAUAAAACUCAAAAGAAAAAUAAAAUGAAUAAGAGAAAAGAACAGAAAAGGAAAGGAUGAUUCAACUUUUUCAUUUGCAUCCAAUAAGUUACAAAGCAUUAAGGACCAAUAUUAAGGUACCCUAUAAAUGAUUUAAGGGUUAUGGACAUUCAUCUUUUAGGGGUUACAAUAGAAUAAAUUUGGACCAUUGCCCAUUUAAACACAUCCAGUUUCUUUCCUUUUUCAAAUAGGUCAUAACUUUUCAAUUAAAACCAAUUUCCAAAUUAUUUUCAAAUCAAACCUCGUUUUUAUAAAUCUUUUUACAUCAAAUAAAUUCCAGGACACCUAAUUUUAAUUUCCUAACCUAAAAUUAUUAAUUCUAAUUAUUCUAAUAUUUUAUUUAAUUAAUUCCUAAUUAUUUAAUUAUAUAAUCUAAUUAUGGUUUCCUGUUCACUAACCCCCGAUUACGUACCCAAUUAUCCUAACUUAAUUUUUGGGAUGUGACAAGUCGUGUUCUAUAUCUUACCAUUUUAUUUUUCUCAUUUUUUUUUGCAUAAAUACCCAUUUAUAUCCUACCGGAUUUACAUCUUUAGGUGUUUGGACUACAUGUCAUUUAGAAAAUUCAAUUUGCUUGAAUUGUGUCUUUCCAUUUUGACCAAUCUUUUCUAUUUUUAUAUUCCUUGUAACACCCCAAAAUCGGGCCUAAGAGUUUUAGGGGUAUUUGAGGAAUAUUAGUCUUAGCGUGUUUGGAAUUCUAUGACAUGGCAUAACCGUAAUGUUUUCAAUUAUGAUUUUUAGAAAAUUAAAUCAAUUUCUGAAUAUGCGUUUUAAAAACCUUUAAUUUUAGAAAAAGGACUAAUUUGUAAAAAAAAUUCAAAAUUGAGAGUUUUAUGAAGCAGUUUAACCAUAUAUUAAAAUUCAAGCUAAAUAACCUCUCUUCUCCAAGUUAUUUCAUGUAAAAACAACCCCAAAUUUUGUGCUUGCCGUCCCUUGCUCUCUCUUGCAAUUUCAAUCAAUUUUAAACUCCAAUUCCUAAUCCUCUUUUAUUUCUAUCACCCUUGAACCUUAAACCUCUAUAAAAGACCAAGAAAAACACCCAAAAAUACCAUAGUUCUUCCAUUGUCAAGCUUUUGAGUUUUUCGGGUUUUCGAUCAAACACAUAGAUUUUCUUCAUCCAAGGUAACAAUUCAACUUCUAAUUAGUUUUAAAUGUUAUGUAGUCUUUAAACCAAGUUUUUAGCUAUUAAAUCGCAUGUUUUAAAUAAAAGCCGAAAAUUGGGUCUUUAAUGGUGAAUUUUUGGUUUGUGGAUAAAAACAUGGUUUCAAAGUGUUAUUCAACUUUUUUUUAACAUGAUUAGAAGGUUUUUAAACUUAUUUUGAAGUUUCCUUAAAAAUUUCUUGAGUUUUAAUGAACUUUUUGAAAAUAGCCAUAAAACAUGUCAAAAAAGUCGAUACAUUGAAUUGAGUAGUUUUGUGUAGUUUAAAGGUUGAGAAUUAGUCAUAGGCAAAUUAUAAGAUGAACGGAAUUGGUUUUAGGUGAAAAGAUUAAGUAUAGAUCGAGAUAUUUGAAUAUAAAGUUUGCUAUGUUAUAAGUUUCGGUUACAUGAGAACUUAGUUUAGGCUUAUGUUUUGUAUGAUUUUAAUAAGUCUUUGGCUAAUUUUUGGAUGUACUAUUGUGUGACUUUGUUGUGUUGAAGUUCUGGAUUUGAUAGAACUUUCUACGAGUAGAGAUAAAGACAAGGAAAAACUAGUUCGAGCUUUCAGCUUUUUGGCAAAAGCGUAAUUGGUGAGCUUUUGGAAUAAUUACUUAUGGAUAUGAUUCAAUGCAUUAUUUGGGAAUUUAGUAGUAGCCUAAACCCCUACUCUAAAUUUCAAGUGUAAGCUUUCUCAUACCUAUGUUAUCUUAUGAACAAAGUGCUUAUGUGUUUGUGAAUAUGUGAAUUGAGAUGAGAUGUUAUGACAUGUGAUAUGUGGUUAUGAUAACUAUUGUGAAAGUAUAAAUAUGUACAUGUUAUGUAUAUGUUAUAUGACUAUGCUAAUGUUUUAAAAAAUAUGCUAAUAUAUAGCAUUAGUGCAUGGGUAACCGGUAAGUAAUAUGUGUUGUUUUUUGGAUAUUUUGGCCUUGUGACCUUGGAACCAUUGAAUAUAGUUGGCAUGCCAUAGGAUUGUGAGCACUCACCUAUAUGUACAGUGAUUUUGGGCAUUGAGGCCUUGAGACAUGUUGGAGGGAUAAGGGAAUGUGAGCUAAGCUCCAUUCAACGGGAUGUGUGAGGGGAAAUAAGGAGAGUGUUGGCUUUAUGCUUCAUUAUUGGGACAUAUUUGACUCUAUGAGUCUAUGUUUGGUGUGUUGGAGAUUUACGUAUUCGAUGAGUGAUGAUAGAGCUCACUUUUAUGUUUCAUAACUGUAACGCUAGAGUUUGUGCAAGUGUACACCGUCGUUAUCAAGUAAUAAGUAAGUAUCGAGUUAUCGUCUCCACAGGGAUUGUAUUUGUGCUAAGUCACUUAAUUUGUAAAAUUAUAUUAACAAUUUGGUAAAUAAAAAGCACAAUAUAGUUGAAAAGUGGUGAUUAAAAUAUAUUAAACUAAAUGCAAUGAUCCCUAAUGCAGAUUAUCCUAAGUAUGCAAACUAUAUGAAUGAAAUAGAUUUUAGUAAAAUUAAACACAAUUUGAAACAAUUAUAACAUAAAUAAACAAGGACAAUUACUUUAAUUAAACUCAAUUUAUUAUCAACAUGCUUAAUAACAUUCGGAAAAACAUUCCAUGGCAACUCGAUCUUUCAUGAGUUUGGAAACCACAUUAGGUCCUUUUGGAAUCCUUUACUUAGUAAAUACGCAUUUUACUGAUCCUUAUUUACUAAGGGUUUCUUAGCAUUCGUGUGAGGUAACAGGGACGUGUUAGGUUUGAAACAAUUUAAUCACACAAAUCUAAAAACUAUGUAGAUAACAGAGCUUGGUUAAAGUUGUUAUGCAACCUACAAUUUAAUUGUAUUAGGAUCUAAAUUGAGCAUGCACAUUUCAAUUAUGCGUCCAUUAGCCAUCGUCUAGUUAGGAUCGCUCAGCUAAUUCAGGUCCAUUUCCAUCACGUAUGAAUGAAAUACAGACUUGAUUUUAAUUGAAAACAUGAUCGAUUGAGGCACAAACAUUAUAAGCAUGAAUCAAAUAAAUAUUAUUUAAUCAAAAUAAUCAUCCUAGCUUAAAUAAAUUUAAGCUAUCAUUGUUGUAAACAAGAAAAAAGAACACAUAGAAAACAUCUUUAAAUUAAAUUAAAGAAAAGAAAGAUUAAACCCAAUUCAGAGUGGCUAUCACCCAAGACUCUAAUUGAUGAGGCUCAUUCACUUUUUUACGUUGCUCCUUUGCCGAUGGCUCUCCAAGGUGGCUGACCAAAGUUCUUUAAGAGGCUUAAUUGCUAAAAUCCUUAUGCAAGGAUGAUGAAGGGGAAAGAUAGCUAAAAGAGUUGAGAGAAUGAUGAAUGAAUGAGAGAUGAUGGGAUAAGGGAUGAUUGAAAAAGUGAGAAAUGAGCUCUUAUUUAUAGGUGAGGCAAGGGAGCUAGUUUGCUAAAAAUAGGAGUGUCCAUCCUUUGAAACUUCCUCCAAGAGUGGCCGGCCAUGAAUUGAGGAAAUGUGGAUGAUUUUUCCUUGAUUUUUGGUCAAUUUGAGUGCCACAACAACUCAGGACUAAGACUCGGUCUUCAGCAAAUCUUCGGGAAAAUCUCCGAUUUCUUUAACUCUUUAAGGACUUUGUAUAAUUAAAACAAAAAAUGGUUUAUGACAUCCAUGUGCAGCCAAAAAUUGGGUUGACUUGGUCCCCGAUUUGGACGGUUUUGCAAUUAGAAGAAAACUCUCAGACCUGUCCAAAAAUAGUAGAUAGUUUAGAGGACCAAAUAAUAUAAUUUAACCACUUUAAUUAAUCAAUUUACUUAAUUAAUUAAAACCCAACUUAUUAAUGAAAUAUUAAAAAUAUAUUAUUAAAUAUAACUUUAUAUUUUAUUAUUUAAUUUAAUCAUGCAUGACCCACUUUAUAGCUUAAAAAUAUAAUAUGCUCAAAUUAAUAUAAAAUAAACCAUUUUAUGCAUGAAACCUAUAUAAUAAAGUAUAAAAUCACAUUUGAAUAAUUUCUAUGUCCUAAUUUCAUAUUUUCACAUAUUUCAUUAAUUUAUUAAACAAUUACUUGGUUUUAACAACAAAUUUAAGUAAAAAGGUGAUGAAUUAUAUAGGAAAAAUCUUAUAUAUUUUUCAGUUUACAAUAACUCUAGUGCCAAACUAUCUUAAUAUAUAUAUAUAUAUAUAUAUAUAUGUGUGUGUGUGUGUACUGUGAUAUAUGUCUAAAUAAGCAUGUGGUUGCUAUGCAAAUUAUCUUAAAUUAUGAAUAUGUGUGUAUUUUGAUAUGUAUUUAUAUGACAUGUAACCAUUAUGCAAUUAAUCUAUAAACCUGUUGUUGAGUAUUAUGAUAUAUACUUAAAUGUUAGGUGAUUAUAUAGGAUAUAUGCUUAAAAGUGAAUAUGUUUACCAUGUAAAAGGACUAGUAAUAGUGCACGAGUAAGUAUAAUAUGACACUAGAGUUGAAACUGUUGAGGUUAUGCUAUAUGGUUGUUUCAUUGGUGCUUGAUGAAUUGUUUGCAUUAUGGUUAUUCUAGGCAUUCAUUGAGCUUGUUAAGCUCACCCACUCUCUCCUUUAACCAUUGUAGAUUAUUUGUGUGCCGGUGUGAGCGGUGUGGUUCUAAGAGGUGAUCCAAGCAAAAAUUUUGCAUUAUUUCGUAGGUGUUCUAUAUUUAUUUACGUUUUGGGGAAAAAGGUAAUGUGGUAGACUUGUUUAUAGCCAUGUUAACUUUUAGACAUUUUGCUAGUUUUUGGUUCGGUUUAUCAGGAUUACAUGUUGUUAUUAUGGUUGAGUUCAUGAACAUGAGAAUGGUUUGACGUUACUUGUUUGAACACGGUUUUUCAGUAUUGAACUGUUAAUUAGGCCGUUGAAUGAUUUUUUGUUGAAGUAAUUGAUGGAUGAUGUAACGCCCCAAAAAUUUAAGUUUUUAUUUUUUUUUUGCAUGAUAUGACACAAAUUGCUUGUUUGCUUUAAUGGCUAAGUGAUUUGGGUGUGUAUGGGAGUGUUUGAGAAGCCUGGGUUCAAGUCUUGGCUUAUGUAGAAUUUUUAGUUUUGCUCUUAAAUGAAUCUGGACAUUGGCAUAUAGGCCUUAUAAAUAUUAGUGCUUGCUUUAUGACAUAAAAAGAGCUUGUGGUCUAGUGGCGAGGUGACGUGUUAUGUAACUGUGAGGUCUGAGGUUCAAGUCUUGGGUUGUACAAUGGAGUAUUUAUUUUGCUGCUUGAGCUGUGUAGGUAGUGGAGUUGGACUGCAACACAGCUAAGGGGAGUUUGAAUAGAAUUCAAAUGGGGUUGUUGGGGGAGUUGAGGAGAAAUCGGUGGAGUAAAUCAAGGAGGGAUAAUGGGAGAGAUACUAGGCGAAAAUCAAGGAGUUCGAUUGAGAGGAAGUGUUGUGCCGUUUGAGAAUUCGGCUGGGGAAAUGUUUGUCAUUUUCGGCAUUAGAGAAACAAUUUGGUGUUAGCAUUUGCCGAAUUCUCCUUUUCUUUUCUUUCAUUUAUCGGCUUUUGGUUCAUUCGGAUUUGUAUUGGUUGCUGCGCAUUAUUCAACAAAAGUCCCUUUCUUUUCGGUCAAUAGUUGUUAGUUGGUUUUGUGAGCAACUCUUCCAUUUCUUUUUCUCUCUUCUUCUCUUCCUCAAUCUGUCCUCUCUUUUGCCCGAAUAUUACCCUUUUGUUUUAUCAUUCUCUGCGCCAAUCUUCUCUUCGCUAUUUUUACUAUUCCAGUGCUGCAAGUGUUUCUGAUUAUCGGUAAAGUGUUUAAACUCCUCACUUCUUGAUUAAACCUGUUCUCUUCUAUUGUUUUUCUUAAAACUGAAUACCCUCCUUUUUAUCAUUUGAUUACCGACUGUUGAUUCUUUCCUCAUGAUGUGUUACUUGUUACGGUUCUAGGGCUUUCCUCGAGGAGUGGUGGAGUGUAACUGGUUUUGAAGUAGUUACAACCCUUGUUCUCAACAUUCAAUCGAGGUAAUACAUUACCUCAUUUUUGGGGUGUAGGCCGUAUACUAAUUAUGUUUUAUAAGAUAUCAUUUGUGGAUUGAGGUCACUUAUAUGGCCUACCUUGGUUAGUGAGAUCGAUGUUUGUGGUACAGAUAAUCGAUAAAAGAGUGUAAUCACUUUUGGUAAGCGAUCUUGGAGGACUAAAGUCGCCCCCAUUCAAACAAGGUAAUGAUGGUAUUUUUGGAUUAAGUGUCAAUAAGAGGGUGAUUUACCCUAACUAUUAAAGGAGUGAAAUUGGGUCAUGUCUGAAUCUAGGUUGGUGUACGUGGAGAUUUGCGCUCUUCUCGUAAACAGGUGUGUAAACACCCCACUGUAACUGUAGAACAACAAAAGUCAAAAAGCUAAAAAUACGGCGUUUGAGACCACACAAGCGUGCAAUCGCUCGUGUGGUAAGUCAAACCCACGAACCAUGGGCGAUAGACUGUAGAGGCCUUCAUGAGCAUUUUCAUAGGCUUAGGCCGUAAUAGUCCACGUUGGGCCGAAAUGGGCCGUUUGGGCUCAAUAGGCUUGUAGGCCCCACACGGAUGAAAUUCACAAUUUGUGAAAAAUACUGAAAUAGGCUAUGUAGAUCUCAUAGCCGUGGUAAAAUUUGGGCUGAACGGGUUGUACGAGCGUGUGGGCCCACUUGGGCUGAGUAAUGGGCCUUGGGCCCAUUUAUAGUGUUAUGAUCAUUUAGGUUACUUGAGUCACUCAAGGUGACUGUGGACCUUUCGAGAGGUCGAUAUCUGCACCAAGACCCCAAAAUACCUUUAGAGGGUAAAAUAACUAUUUUACCCCUAAUUGAUGGAAAUGACCGUUAUACCCCUAGAGGUAGGUUAACUGAUGUGUUCAUGAUUUGUAUAUGACUGUUACUGAGUAUGACAUUCUGCAUAAAUGUUUGAUUUAUGACACGAAAUACUACAUGGGGUUGGGAUACUGUUAUGGAGGAAGUAUACUAUACUGGCAGCUUUGCUGCGAUACUGUUACUGGCAGCUUUGCUGCAAUACUGAUACUGGCAGCUUUACUGCGUUACUGUUACUGGCAGCUUUGCUGCAAUAUUGGUGUGUUGGCUGGGUGGGUCAAUUUUAUCCCCAUAUGGUGUGUUGGUGGUACGGAGUGGUGUGUUGGCUGGAUUAGGACGAGUUGCAUUAUUGCACUGUACUGAUACUGUAAUGGGCUAAGGCCCACACUGCUAUUGUAUUGGGAUAAGGCCCACACUGUACUAUUAUUGAAUAGGGCUCAGGCCCAGACUAAUACUGCAAGUUGUAUACUAAUUGACUGAUAAGGGUUUACACACUGAGUUUUUGUAAACUCACCCUUUUCUUUUAAUUGUGCAGGUAAUCCUCAACCAUAGGCGAUUUGGCACUGCGAGGGACUCGGAGGUGGCCACACAACUAUAGCUGUUCUACACUUGCUUUUAUUUAAAUUUAAAGUUUGUGUUGGGUUUUGUUUAUGUAAUAAGGCCAUUUAUGUUUGUUUAAAUUUUUAAUUGGGCUUUUGCUUACUUAUUUUAAACUGUUAGUUUAGGAGAAGACGGAUUUUCAAAAUAAUUACUGUUUUCAAAGACACGAAAUUUAAACAUUAGUUUUCAAAAGCUUCCGCGAUUUGAGAUCAACCUAAUAUAACAAUAGCAAUAACAAGGCAGAUGUUUAGACUAGUUGAUUUGUUAAAUAGUAAUAUAGGGGUUUUUAAACUUAAAACUAAAAUUUUUACCAAGAAGUCCAAUUUUCAGAAGACACUUCAAUGUGACACGCCAGAUUCGACCAUAACGUCUAGGCCGGGUUUGGGGUGUUAUAGAUGAUGUUUAGAAACUAAAUUGGAAUGGAUUAAUUGCAUAUGUAUGCUGCAUUUUUGAGGUCGAGAGUAGAGGUAUCGAUAAUUAGGUUUUAAAAUUGAUACUUCUAUGUUUUGAAACGUGCAGGAAGUCAGAAUAGAGAUUUGGUAUCGAUACCUUUUCUUGAGUAUCGAUACUCAGUGUAAAUUUAUCGAUACUUCAUGACAGGUACUGAUAAUUUUUGAAACUUUGGGAUUUAGUCGAGAAACAGAAUGCAAGAUUGGUAUCAUUUUUCCAGGUGGUAUCGAUACCACACAGAGAAAAUAUCGAUACCCUAGUGUCAGUAUUGGUACCUACGGACUUGGUACCCUAGUGUCAGUAUCGAUACUUACGGACUUGGUUUAAGAAUUUUGCUAAAUGGACCUUGUGCAUGUUAAUACUCAUUUUUAAGACUGUUUAUGGUAUGUUGUGCAUGUAAUUAUGACAAUUAACCAAAUUAAGUGACCUAAAACCUACAAAUAUAUUAUAAUAAUGGACGUUUUGAUUUGAAUAGGCUUUGCACUUGUUGUGAGUGAGAUGAGACAGUGGUGUGGCAUCCCCUAUUCGGGUUUGGCGACCAGGCCUAGUAUAAGGUGUUACAUUCCUCAAAAGAUUUAGCAUCAGGAUCCUCAUUUUCUUUUGCUAUUUCGAUAGCAACAUUAUAAGCAAAAUUGUUAUCAACAACUAUAUUUUUCUAGUUUCAUCUUUUUCACGUAUUGACAUAACUUAUCGAGAUCUCUUUGUUUAUAUCAUUUUCAUUUUCAUUUUAAAAUACCUGAUUCUCUUCUUGAUUUUUUAAUUAGUUAUGUCAUGGGUCUCUUCAAGAACCCCCACCUCCACUAUAUGACCAUCUUGAAUGUUUGCUCAUUUCUUUUUACGAGGAUUUUGGUCUUCCACGCCUCAAGCAUGGAUUACUUUCUUUUGUACUAACGAUUUCCCUAUUGGGACAUCAAUUCGUAUUGAAGCAUUUUCAUUUGGUAUGUAAGAUUUUGUAAUUAUCUUUAGGUUAAUAAAUGAAUCUGGCAGUUGAUUUGUAAAAUGAAUUAUCUACUAAACCUCUGGUUCACAUUGCUUUGUACAAGGAUCUUAGACAAUGAUAAUUCAUUUCAAGUACUUUAUUCAUCCAAUUUUUUAUUCUCUCCCCUUAAUGUUGGGAAUGCUGUUUCAUCAAAGUGAGAACUAACAAAUUUUGCAGUAAAUGAAGAUACAGUUAAUGGUUCAACAUAAUUAAUUAUAAAAGAAGAUUCAUAACCAACAUAUAUUCCCAACCUCCUUUGAGGAUCUAUCUUUGUGUGUUGUGCUGGAGCAAUUGGAACAUAUAUUGCACAUCCAAAAAUUAUAAGAUUGGAAGUAUUUAGCUUCUGAACAAAAACCAAUUGUAACGAGGAGUAUUUAUAAUUUAUUGGCUUGAUGCGUACAACAUGUAAAUCAACACAAUAUUAUGUUGAAAUAGCUAUUAGUUGGAGGUGUUUGAUAAACGAUUCAACUAAACUGUUUUAUGUGUGAAAAUGAGCUAUAGGGUGUUCAAAAUAAUCUCGCAAACAACAGGUUGCAAGUUGAUAACACAUGUGAUUAUUUUGUAGACGCAUCUACCAAAAUCAUAUAAUAUCAAAACCAUCCACCUGGUGGAUGAAUGAGCCCAUGUUCAUUUUAAAAGUGCAAGACAUUAAAUCUCAACAUUAUCUAGUGAGUUUGUAAUAAUCAAUUAUCAUUGAGAACAAGCAACACAAGAGAAAUCUUUAAAAAAAAUAAUUACUAAUCAAUUAUUUUGUUAUAAAAUUUAAAUGAAGUAUAGAAUGAACAAAAGAGAAGAACAAAAGAUAAAAGUAUGAUUCAACUUUUUCAUUUGCAUCUAAUAAGUUUGUACAUGCCCUAUAUUUAUAGAAUUUUAAAAACCAUAAGUUACAAAGCAUUAAGGACCAACAUUAAAGUACCCUAUAAAUGAUUUAGGGGUUACAAUAUAAUGAAUUUAGGGAUUAUGGACAUUCAUAUUUUAGGUAUUACAAUAGGAUAAAUUUGGGGGUUAUUUGACAUCAAUUUAUCAAUGGAUUUACAACAUAUAUAUUUUUUAUUUUUUUCUCAUACUUAUUUAGAAUGAUUAGAUGACUUGACAAUCAAAUGAAAACAUUAAAUAUGAAGAUGAAAGAUUUAACAGAAGAGUAGUCAUUUUACAAGAUUCUUUAUUCUUUUUAACCCAACAAUUCAAGGAGUUGAUGAAAAUAAUUGGUUCUACAACUAAGUAGACAAAUGAAGGUAAAGAAAAUAUUGACAUAAAAAAAGAAUUGUAUGAAUUAUAUUCUAUGAAAUAAGUUUUAGAGGAUUAUUAUUUAAUGUAAUACUUGAUCUAUUAAACUAAAUUUAGAAUAAAUUAUCUUUAUUUUAUUAACAACUUAUGUUUAUAUAUCCUUUUAAAUUGAGUUCUUGAUACGAACUCGCCCAAGGGCUCAACCGAAUCCGUUCAUGAUCCAAUCGAGCUACCAGCUGGUCUAAUUACUCGAGCUAGAUCUAAGCAAUUCAAGAAGAAAUUUCAGCUUUGGUGGGACAAAUUUGGGAAAAGGCUUCAGCCGAUCAAGCUUGGGAGUGCUCGUCAAGUGCCAUUGCACUUUACUUCAAACCGAUUUGUAAUUUAGCUAGCUAAUUUAGCUGCUGAAUAAGACUUAAACAUUCUUAGUUACUUUAGUCAUAUUAACUAUGUUUUAAUUCCCUACAACAUUAUUACAUGUCUGAUUGUUUUAGUUGUUUAAGUCUACUAAUUGUGUCUUAGAUUAUUACACAUUAAAAUCAUGUUUUGUGUUUGCCUAUUAAGUAUGUUCUAAUUCGGACAGCAUCAAUGCAUGUUUUAGUCAGACAUCUUAAUUGUGUCUUAGCUUAUUACACAUUUAAUUUUUGUUUUUAGUUUGUCCUAUUGUAGUUAUCAGGUUUUAAAUUUUUCUUACAGGUUAUUAAACAUUCGGCUGGACAUACAUGCACCUUUUUUUCAGAUUCGUUGGACUCAUUUAGAAAGGAACAUUCAUGGAACCAACACAUACAUGAAAUUAUGAAGAUACAUGUGACCAUUCAUAUGGGAGACCAAGUACAUGUCUUCAUGCAUUUCUUAAUGAGGAAGAAUUCAUGAACAAAUUAAGGGUAUUGUGUCACAUAAAUUCGGCAUAUUGAAUGAGAAUAUAAAUACACCAAAGUGGGGGAAUGAACUUCAAAGAUCCAUGCAUCAAAUUCAUGAACCAACAAUCUCGUUAUGGCAUUAUUAAUGGAAAUGCAUGUCCCAUGCAUUAUACAUUCAGUCAAAGGGGAUGAAGAGGAAUUAAAGGUGGCCAAUUCAAGGAACAUCGAGUUUCGUCAUGGCUAAGCAUGCAUGCACCUCCAAGGGAAAAGAAUUCAGCAAUUAAUACUGCACUAUGAAUGGUAACAUGCAUGGACAUCAUGGAGGAUGAAUCUGCAAGAUGCAUGCAACUAGUUCAUGAACCUACAAAAACGCCUAUUUAUGAGAAUGCAUGUUCCAUGCAAGUGCAUGAACGACCCAAGGAGAUGAAUGAGACUUUUGGUGAUCAUACAAGGCACUUGAAGCUUUCUUCUAUGCUAAGAAUUCAUGCACAACAAAGGGAGGAAGAAUGUGACUCUUGAAGUUAAAGUUCAUGCAUGAAUAUCAUUCAAUGAGGUGUAUGAACGUCCAAAUACAUGCCAAUACAAGGGAUGAACAUCCAUGAACCAACAAAGGGGAUUGAACAACCAUUUAUAUGCAUUUAAAGGAGUUCAUGAAUCAUUCGGUUCAUUGUAUAGUUUGUGUACAUGAACUAUAUUAAUGAUUGACUAUUGGCCAUUCAUCUUCUUUUAUAGUUUCCUAUAAAUAGCUGUUUUGUAAACAUUUGGAAGGUUACUUAAAUUUUGAUCCUUUAUGAAAUAUAACAUAUUUGUGACUUGUUUAAGUCUCAUUGUUCUUGGUGAUUCGAUCUGACUUAUCUAGCUUGCUAGUGGCGUCGUCCUAUCUCCAUUCUGAACUUAUCACUCUUCGUGUGUGGCAUUCACCCAACUAUACCGAUUGGUUCCUAUCUUUCUAGAUAGAGGGUCACGGUCCUAUCUAGCUAUUCGCACUUCCCCUUGAUAGCAUAUAAGAUUCGGGUCUUUAUUUGCUAAUAGAGGUUCUUUCUUGCUGUUAAGUUCAUUUUUCCAUCAUCCCAUCAACCUAUCUUUUAUUAACCUUCUUUGUUUUAAACUAUUUUAUUUUAAAAUAGCCUUUUGUUAAACUGAAAAUGUAAUUGCUUAAUUUGACGAUCGGACAACUUAUGACUCAAUUUCGACAAUGAAUACGAGUUCGUAUCAGUUCUAAUUAUUUCUUUAUAUUGUUAAAUUUGUUUUUGUUUUUACUUUUUGUAAAUUAACGCUUUCAAAAUUAAUACUGUCAUUAAUUUUUUUUGGAAUACUUGUGUUGUUGUAGGUAUGUCACAAGAUCAUCUAAAAUUGGAUUCUCAUAUGAUCUAUGACAUUAUCUUACUUAUGGUGAAUGCGAGUCCUAAGAUUCCAGUGCUGGUUUUUUAUUGCAAAAUAGAAGGCUAUGGAAAAGAUGCAUAAUGAGUGGGAUAAAUCGUAUAAUGAUUUGUGGCAAUGGUGUUAGGUACUAAAUCAGUACGUCCUAGGCACCGUAUUGCAAAUGGAACCUGCGUAUUAUGGCGAUUGAGUGGUCCAAAAGAAAAGAGUUCUCCAUCAUAAUUUCUUUAAAUCGUUCCCAAGCUUCAUAUAGUGUUUCAUCCUCCGAUUUCCAAAAAGAUGUGAUGUCAUUUCUAAGCUUGGCAUUUAUAUUUGGCGGAUUAUACUAUAGUAAAAAUCUCUGGCGCAAGUUAUUCCAUGAUGCCACUAUUCCCGAUGGCAACGCAUUAAGCCAUGCUCUUGCAUGAUCUCUCAAAAAGUAUGGGAACAAUUUAAGCUGCAAUGUGUCUUCAGGAACACCCUGUUGUCUAAACAAGUCAUAGACUUCUUUUGGAUCUUCAGUGGGUAAUCCACCAAAUGUCCUACUGUUUGCAAGAUCUGAAAUUCAACUCAAAAUGAUAAGCUUGUAUGUGUGGUGUUACUAUCCCUGGAUUUAGGUCAUCUAAAAUUAGAACUACAUGCUCUUGAAUUGGUCUGUCUCAAUCAUCUAUCACACGAUUAAUAGGAGGAUUAACAUCCUAACCAUUUGGAUUCAAUGGAUCAUGCAGACCAAGAUCAUUCCCUUCCCUAUCCAUAUUAUGUAAUUCCCUUCUUCUCCUUUGCAAAGUUAUUUCAAUCUUUGGGUCAAAAGGAUAUUCUUUGUUAAUAGGAAUGCUUCUACUCAUGCACUGAUGACAACCCUGCAAUAAUUAAAUACAACUAAGUUAGCUAAAAUUAAGAAAACAAAAGAACAUAAAAAAACCAAAUUUCACCAAUUGCCAAUCCCAGACAACGACGCCAAAAACUUGUCGCGUGUAAAAUGAUAUGCGAAUUGUACAAGUAUACACGUCGAAUCAAGUAAUGAAGUGAUAAAUAGGAUCGUCUUCACAAGGAUUAGAACAAUAUAAUUUUGUUGAGUUAUUAUAAUGAAGUAUGAGUAAUGUUAUGACAACAAUAAUGAUGUGUGCAAUAUGUGUUGUAACCUCCUAAACCCGACCUAGACGUUACGGACGAAUCUCGAAUAUCACAUUGGCAUAUUGAUGGCGCAGAAAAUCAUUUAGCUAUUUUCUUUUAAAAAUCAUCGUUGCUAAAAACGUUUUUGUUGAGAAAAUCAAAUUUUGUUUGAAAUUGUUUAUCUGUAGAAAACUCAAGUUUUGAUAUAUUUUUAGAAAGUAUCGUACUUCAAUGAAAACAUAGUAGCGGAUAAUUUUCAUAUCUAAAACUCGUUUGUCAUUUUCAAAACAUAGAUUUAAUAUAUAUCUCAUAAAAUAUCAAUUUUGUGAGCAGAUAGUGUUGAGUUUCAAAAACAAAGUAUUGAAUUUUGAAAACACCCUUGUUGGGCCUUGUUUGACUUCGUUAUGAAAAAUCCAUCAUAAAUUGUCAAUUUCACAAUGUUUUAAAUGAUAAUUUUAAAACCUAAAUCAUGCAGAAAAGUUAAAAAUCAAAAUAAUCUGAAGUGCAAAAGAAAAUCCCAAGCAAAAGUCCACAAUAAUAAAAACACAUCCCAAAAUAUCGAGUACCAAAAUAAUAUAUUUUUCUAAAAAUGACCGAGAGCACCUCCGUAAGCUGAGCCCAUCUUAACCUUGAUUAUUAUCUAAAAAGUCAGAAUAAAAAAUGGGGUGAGCUUUAAAAGCCCAGUGGGAGAUCAACACAAAUAUAAUCACAAACAUAUCAAAAUAUAAAUCUCAUUAUAUCAAUCAUCAUAAUAAUCAAAAGUUCUAAUACUAAUACUUAAGCAUGAACAUGUCGAUGUAUGCUUUAAAAAUGAUACAUUUUUUAUAAAAUUUCCCACCCAUCUUCGCUACACACCAUAUAUCGAGUUCCCCAGAACUCGUCUGCAAAACACCGUAUGUGGACAAGUCACCACUGAUUUACAUAUAAAUUGCCAUUGAAUUGCAGAUAAACUGCCAUUGAUAACACUGAUUUGGACAAGCCACCACUGAAUUGCAGAUAUACUGCCACUGCAUCUACCUUUCAGAAAAUCCCACUCCAUGCAUGUGAUAUGGCGAUUUUCAUUAAUAACACAUAUAGAUCACUUAUACACUUAUAUAGAUCACUUAUACACUUAUAUAGAUCACUUAUACACUUACGUAUGUAAACAUGCCCUCAUUAUCACUUAUCACAUAAUAAUUACUUUUAACAUGUUUAACUCGCGUUUCACAAUAGAUCAUAAAUCACCACAUAUAACACAUGAGCCAUACAUCAGAUAUCAUGAGCAUGAGAUCUACACAAAUAUCAUAACCACAAUCAUAAGCAUAUCACUUGUCAUGUAAAUCAUAGAUCCACUUGGUUAGAACACUUACUUGGUAUCCAUCUCGAUAAGUUAUACAACUCCUCAUAAAUAUUUAGUAUAUUCAUAUAUUUUAAUAUAAUUAAUUAUUAUUGUAAUAAAAUAAAUAUAUCACACAAACAAAUGGUAAUGAUCCCACACCUUAUAUCAUAGAUCCGGUUUGCCAGAAUCCUUAAUAACGAUCUCACUUUAAUUUAACUCGAAAGAUGAAUCUAACACAUGAAUAACAUUUAUUAGUUAGGAUACGUUUGAAAAAUAUUCAUCACUAAUAGAUCGUUUACCAAAGUCCUCACCACACUUACCCUACGAUUUUGGACUCUCGAAAAGGUGAUUCCUAAUGUGAAACUAGGGGUGUCCCCUACAAUUAUUGUUUGGUCCUUCAAGAUGGUAAGGAGUAGCAUUAGUACGAUAAUAAAUAAAUGAUAAUAAAAUGCAACAUUGUCCCUAUGGCCACUACACCAUUCGACCAUGAUAUGAAACAACUAAGAGAAGGCUUUUGGGAUCCAAAUAACCACACUUACAACUUGAUUCAAUACAGAAUGGUUAAUGAAUAGAGAAAGCAAUGAAGUCGAUGAAUCAAGUGAUUUAAAAAUAUUGAUAGCAUGAAGGGAAUAUGUAAGUUUAAUCAAUUAAAGAAUCAACAAGUGAAAGAGAAAGAGAAAUGAAGAAUUUUUGGUUACCGGCGGUGGCGGUCUAAUGGCGGCUGCCCGAUGAUGGUAGAGUAGUGGUUUGACACUGGAGAGCUAUAGGGAUUCGGUGUAAUAGGGACAGAGAAAUGAGACUCGCGAUGGCACGUGGAGGCGAUCACGAUGGCGGUGGGAGGAGAAAUAGAUGAGGAGAGGAAGUGCGGUAGCCACGAGGUGUGGUGAACGGUGGUGGAGCGUUUGAUCACGGUGAAAGAAAAGAGCAAUGAUUAAAAGAAAAUGUGGUGGUUGUUUUGCAAAAUGAAGAGAAAAUGGAUGAGAAUAGAAAUAAAAAAGAGAGAAAAUGGGAGUUAGAGGGAGGUAGGGAUGGCAAAGUGAGAUUGAGAGAGUGGGAAUAGGUUGGUCAAAUAGGUCUAGGUUCAAUGAACAUUUUGUAUGGCAAGGAUGAGAAAUUUUGGCAAGGGAGGGAGACAUGGAGUAAAAAGGUAAGUUUGACCUGUAUUGGAGGUAAGGAAUCCUCCAAUUUAUGGUGAAAAAAGGGUGGACGACAAGCACUUAAAUCACAUGGAAAAAUAGUAAAAAAAAGUACAUAGAAGAGUGUUAGCAUUAGGACUUGAAACUUGGACCACUAAGAUUUCUAAGGAGUUAAUAAACUACUAGACUACUCACUUCCUUGUUCUCAAACUUGUAUAAAUAAAAAUAAAAAUAUAGGAUGACAUUUUCUAAGGGUUUCUAUUGGGUAUCGACCCAAUUAAACAACGAACAAGUAAAAAAUAACGGAAGAAAUUGUGAAAUUGAACACACAAAUUUAACAUGGAAAAACCUCUCCAAAGAGGAUAAAAAACCACAAGCAAAGAUAAUUUUACUAUAAUGGCAAAAUAACGAAGAGUAUAAAGAUGGAGAUAAAAAUUAAACCCCGAAACCCCAAAAAUAAAGAACCCUCAAAACAUAAACAUAAAAUUCUCUAAAAGUGUUAUGAGUUCUAAUAUCUAAUUAGAGUUUGAUUGAAACAAAUAAAUAGAGUUUAACUGACAGGUUAUUUCUUAAAUUUGACUAAAAUAGGAGUCAUAUUCAACAAAUCUCCACCUUGACUCAUAUUUUCACAAUGCCAUCUUUUCCAAAGCCCGCAACGGGCCUAUUUUAAACUAUACAGGGAAUUAACUGAGUUGAAUCUGUACUUAGAAACUGGAAGACUUCUAGCCUUUAACUUGUACAUUGCCAAAUCAAAACUAACCCGAGUCUGAUUUUAACGAGCACAGUUCCCUAACUUUUCAAAACCUGCAUCCAAAAGAGAACCUCUUUUCAACGAAACGAUCAUACAUUUUUCCCUUCUAUGACCAAGUUGUUUUCGUUCCAAAUGAGUUGACUUCGAAUCUGUAACGAGCGAGGGACGUCCAAUUUCACCGACCACUGUAGAACUUUCUAGAAUAUAAAGAUUGUCAGUUCUUUUACCUUUUAACAAAAUGAGAGCCCUACGAGACACCUUAAUGCUAUUCGACUCGAUGUUGAAUCUACAACCUUUCGAGUUUAAAAUACUUAAGGAGAUGAGAUUCUUUCAUAAGUUAGGUACAUACUUGACAUUUGAGAGUGUCCUAAUCGUCCCAUCGUGCAUCCUAAUUUUAACAGUACCAGUACCAACUACCUUACUGGAUGAAUCAUUUCCCAUGCGCACAACUCCACUUUCAACGGAACUAUAUGCGGAGAACCAUUCUCUAUUGGAACAUAUGUGGAAAGAACAUCCUAUAUCUAGGAUCCACUCGGAUGUAACUGAGAGCUUUCGCUCGUUGACACUAACAAGAAAUCAUCAUCACUUUCGUUGGCCAAAUUAGUAUCAGCUACAUCUUCCUCGUUACUCUUAGUAGCCCUUUUAUUUUGCAGUUUAUAACAAUCUGCUUUGAUGUGACCUAACUUCUUACAAUAGCGACACCUUUUGUCUCAUUUUUUUAUGCUACCAAAAUGGAUGCUUGCCUGUCUGCCUUGCUAUCCGAACCAAACUCAUUGUCGAGUAGUUGGUAUCGAUACCCCAUUAAUACCUUUCAGAAAAAUCAAUACCAAAAUUCAAUUCUGUCUUCUUUGUAAAAUAAUGGUAUCAAUAAUUAGUUGAUGGUAUCGAUAUUUUACGAAAAAGUAUCGAUACGAUUUUGAUAUACUGUUUUGUUUGGAUACUACUCAUUUGGUCAAGUAUCGGUACCAAAUGCCAAAGUAUUGAUACUUAUUUCAAUAAUGGUAAAAAUCUCAACUUAGAAAAUUCAUUUCAGGCCAAAAAGUUACCUAACCACAAAAGACCAUAAUUUCAUUCAUUCAAAGACCUAAAUAACUAAUCAAUGUGCCCUUCAAAGGCACCACAUUUAAAACACUUAUCCUAAAUCAAUUUAACAUCAUAAGUUCUAUCAUUUAAAAUUUCAAGUAUACCAAAUGUCCACAUCUAACAACACAUCAAUCAAUAAAAGCAUUAAGACACAGCAAGGCUUGGCAUAGUCCAAUACGUACCAAAUAGAUAUACAACUCUAUACAUGCCAUUUAUAACCAUUUCCAUGUAUUCAAAAGCUACCAAAGUGGAUUGAUAGAUAGUGUGAUCAUGCUCCGACAAAGAUUCCAACCGUUCGAGCUUUCAAAUGAUCUACAAAACAAAGAAAAAGAAACUAUAUAAGCAACUAGUGCUUAGUAAGCUCAUAUAAAGGAACUUAAACUUACCAAUUGCAUUAAAUUAAACAACCAUGAGUAAUUCCAUUUAGUUCUAGACUAAAUUCCUUUCCUAUACACUAUAACUUACAAGGUUUGUAGGUGAAGCAAUGCACAUAUAAAUCCAACCCAAUCAAGGCAUAUAACAUAUCACGCAUUUCAAUUUCACCAUUCAUCUAUCAUAUGACUACCUUAUUCCUUCAUUUUCUUUUAACUAUAUUGAUCAUAUAUCUCGUAUCCUUAUUUUAAAUCAUAGAUUAUUUCAUAUAGUCAUAUACUUUGUAAAGCUUUAAUUACCCGUUCAUAUCAUGAAAAGAAUUUCACUAUAUAAACCAUCCAUCUCCAUAAUUCAAAUGUUACCUUUACAAUCCAAAUACAUCAAAACAACAUUUAAUUUAAAGGAAUUUUCAUACCAUAAAUCACAUUUACUCAAAGUAACAAUCCAUAUAUGUAACUAAGAAACUCAUUAUAAUAUCUUUCACUUACCAAUACUAUAAAUAUGCCAUAAUAUAUAUAAGCACAUAAAUAGAUUGUAAUUCCAUUUAUUUCAUAACAACAUUUCAUCAAUAUGGAAGUACUCAUAUGAAAACAAAUAAUUCAUUGAACAUUUAACACUUUAUAAUAUCUUGUAAACGCAUCAACAUUUAAACACAUAAGUAAACCAUAAAUUUCAUUAACAUUUAUCCCGAUAAACUAAGUAACUCAUCUCAGAUAAUUGGGUAACUACACCACACUAGAGGCAUCAUAGAUGUAUAACAAAGGCACCGAAGUGCAGACUGAGGCACAAAGUGCAAUCAAGGGCAGCGAAGUGCAAAUCCCAUUCAAGCGCGCAUACUAACCCUAUCGGUAUGUCAAUCGUAUCCUACACGAUUACUAUGUUUAGUCGGGCAUCACAUUUAGAUUCAUUACUCAAGUGCAUUUCCAUCAUUCAAAGACACUUCAUCCUUUUCGUACACAUACCAUAAUUUCAUUGCUUCUAUAUCUUUAAUAUGCAACCACAAGAAAUACUACUAUCAAUUUCUUGAGUUCAUAUAUAAUAAUUCACAAUAUUCCAAUAUAUAUAUAUAUAAAUAACCAAUAUAAUUUCACAUAUAUACUAGCAGCUAAGUAGAAACAAUAGUGUAAUCACAGUUAAUUUACAUUUACGUAACAACUCACUAGAAACUUACCUUAACCAAAGUGAACAUUUAAAGAGGCAAUCUAUAAUUCCUGAUCACCAAAUACAAUUUCACCAAAAACAUUAAUAAUUGUACAAAUAUCCUUUAAUUUGAUUAAUUUGUCUAGUUGAUCCAUAAUAAUAAUUUACCACACCUUUAUCAAUUUAAUAUAAACAUACCUUAAAUAUCUAUUUACAUUCAUUCAAAAUAGAAAAUAAUGAUUUCAAAUCCUUACACAAACUUACCUUGACUAAAACAAUUACUAAAACGAAGUCGACAACUAGCCCGAAACUUUAGCUUUUCCUCGAUUUAAUUUCGAUUACGACAUGUCUUGAUCUAAAUAAUAAUUCAACCCAAUUAAUACAUUUCCAGCAUUCUAAAAAGUUGUUUUAUGCAAUAAACCCUUCCAUUAACAAUUUGCAAAUUUACCCCCAAUAUUUUAACUUUUAUACAAUUUAGUCUCUAAACCUGAAACUUACAAAUUUAUCAUUUUUAGCUAAAAUUCAUGUUAGCCAAUUUUCCUAGGGUGCCAUAUCAGCCCAUUUUUAUCAUAAUUUCAUAAUAUUUACCUUAAAAUUUACUAUUUCUACAAUUUAAUACCUAAACAUUAAAAUUAUCAAAAAUCGCUUAACAAAAAUUGUUUAUUUAGCAACUGAAUUUAAUAAUCCAUCAUCUAAAUUUAAAACACAUGCUAAAACUGUCAUGGUAAGUCCCUAAUUUUUUAACAACUUUACAAAUUAACCCUCGGGCUAACUAGAAUAAGCUAAUACGAUAUAAAAAACAUAAGAGUUAAUAAAAGCGGGGCAAAAACACCAUACCAUGAAUGAAAUACUAUCUUUGUCGAUUCUCCACCUUUUAGCUAUGGUGAUUUCAGUCAUGAAAUGGUGAAAUGGGGGAGAUGAUGAUAGUUGGCUUGUUAAUUUUAUGCUUAUUCAUCAAUUUACUAAAAUACCCUUUGUGUAAACCUUUAAAUUACUUAAUUCUUUUACCCAAAAUCGUCCACUAACACCACCAAGAGUAUAAUUACCAAAUAAGGCCAUCAACUCUUGUUUCCUUAAGAGAUUAGCACCUUUUACUAUAAGAAACUUAGUUUUGUAGCUUCUACAAAUUAGUCCUUUUAAUUAAUUAACUAGCUAAUCGUUAAAAUUUCUUAACCAAACUUUAAUACGACCUUAAUAACACUCUGUAAAUAUUUAACAAAAUAUUUACGGGCUCGUUUUAUAGAAACAAGAUCUCAAUACCUCCUUUUCUAAAAUCACUUGACUUUUAAGACGUACCACUUGAACCUAAUAAUUUGUUCAAUUAAUAAAUAUCAUUCAAUCAAAUUUAGAUGUAAUUCUAUACUUGACUCAUAAAUAUUAAAUAAUAAUAUUUACGAACUCACUCAUCAAAUUUGUGGCCUCGAACCACCGUUUCUGACACUACUGAAAAUAGGUUGUUACAUGUUUUCUUAGGUUUUUUAGGGUUUAGUUUAUUUGUUCUUUAUUUUCUUUCAAGAGAUCUGAUUUUUGGAGGAGAUCAACUUCUAUGGAUUCCCAUUUAUUAUCAAUAUCAAUUAGGCUUUUCUUAAACUCUUUACUUCAUUAAUUCAUUAUGAAUAAUUCUUCCAUCUAUUCCAUGUUAUUUAUGAAAACCAUGAGGAACUAAUCCCUCUAUGGGGGAUUAGCGAGUUGAGGUAUGAUCUGUUAACUAUUUUGUAGGGUUACUCAACAGGUCAACUAUUUGGGAAAGGAAGAACGUGAAACAAACCCUGGGCUGACAACCCCAGGAAGUCUGUAAGGUGGGAAUUAACCCAAAUUUGGUAUUGCCCAUUCAUGAACAAGUUCACCCUAAUCUAGUCUAGACUCUAAGGUUGAAAGAUAAGUAAUUCUUGGUGACUUGUUAUGCUAGUGGAAGAUCGAAAGAUCCUGCUAGGGUAGUGACUAGUUGAUUGACGAGGAACCCGAAGCAACAGUUGAUGGGGAUUAUCGAUGCGAGUUAAUCACCUAUAAUCGGGAUUUGAUUUACUCUACUCUUUUUUCUCUUGAGUUUUAUUUAUUUUAUAUUAUCUUAGUUUAGUAUUACGAAAACCAUAAAAACAUUCUUUAUGCUUUCGUGCUAUAAUUUAUUUAAAAGUACUAAUUAGAUAUUUUAGUGUUUAGGUUAAAAUUGAUCUAGCACUCACCUCCCUUAGGUAUAAUGCUCGGAGUACUACCCUACUUUGUUGUAAAACUAUAUUAAAACUUGACCUGUAUACUUGCGGAUACUGCCUUGUCAUUCUAUAUCUUAUUGCAGUAUUCAUACUCUGGACAUUAGUACGUCCAUAAGCAGUCAAGUUGUUGGCGUCAUUGCUAGGGAGGCAAUGUCACUAGGUUAAUUUUCAUUUUUGCACGUAAUAGAAUAAUUAGGAAAUUUGUAGGUUAUUGAUUCAAUUUUAUUUUAUUUAUUGUUACUAAUCUCCUCUUUUUGGGUAUAGUGUAUGACUCGCAGUAAGGGAACACCUAUUGUAGCAGCAAUCGAUCCAAAAAGAAUAAUUUGAAGAAAUCACUGCCAGCAACAACAACAGCAACAGAGGCAAGAUCCACCACCUGCUGUAGGUAAUGUACCACAAGAAAAUCCAUUAUUUGGUGACACUAAAGAUAACGUUUUAGGAAAUCUACCAGCACCACUAUUACUCACAAACGUACAUAUGGUUCGAAACGAGAGAAUAGUAAGGGAUUAUGCCUUACCAACCUUGGACACAGUUCAUUAAAGUAUAGCAAGGCUGGCGAUUACUACUAAAAAUUUUGAGAUAAAACCGGCUAUGAUUCAGGUGAUUUAGAAUAAUCUGUAGUUUAGGGGCAACUCUAUGAUACUUUUAAAUAUAACGGGGUCACUGAUGACGCUAUUUAUCUUUGGUUGUUCCCCUUCUCCUUGAUUCAUAACGCCUUUUCUUGGUUAGACUUGUAAGCACUAGGGUCUAUCACAACAUGGGAUGAACUCGUCGAAAAGCUCUUACAGAAGUUUUUCCCAAUCAACAAAGUAAUUUAACUAAGAAGAGAGAUCGUUGUCUUUAGACAGAUAGAGGGAGAAAGUUUCUAUGAGCCAUGAAAACGUUUCAAAAUGUUGAUUCAAAAAUGUUCGCACCACAGAUUUCCUGAUUAGAUGUGACUGCAUGUAUUUUAUAAUGGGUUGGAUGCAAUUACACAAUCUAGAUUAGACAGAGCAGCAGGAGGAGCCCUUAUGAGCAGGACGUAUUAGGACACGUACGAAAUUAUUGAAAAUAUGGCAUUAAAAUCCUAUCAGUGGCCGAUUAAAUGCUUCACAUAUGGCAAGAAACCUACUAUGGUCAAAGCUAUACUAGAUGAUGAUAAGUAUCAGUAAAUAGUGGAUAGACUUAACCGUAUUAAGUCUGCUUCUACACCAUCUAUGCAUGGAAGAGAUAAGUCACUCUUCCAUUAUAUCAAUAAUCCUACUGAGAAUAUAACUACAUUGGGAAUAAGGGUGAAAAUUCUUAUUCAAAUACAUUAAAUCUUGGCUGGAGGGAUCACCCAAACCUGAGAUGAGGGGGAAACCAAGGAGGAGGUAACAGUUCAAAUCAAGUUAAAAUACUAAUUACUAACCUUCUUAUUUGUAUAAACCUCAAGAUAGGGCCAACCAUAGUGACCAAAUUGCAUGUGGUCAACGACUAGAUAGAAUCGAGAAAGAGAUGCAUUCAGUGAGAACUGAUGUCAAGCAAGCGCAGUCUGAGUACACCAACUCAACAAGAACCUUGACUAAGUGUAACACCCCAAACCCAGUCUAAACGUUAUGACCGAAUCUGGCGAUGUCACAUUGUAACACCCCUUACCCAUAUUCGACGUCGGAAUAGGGUACGAGGCAUUACUAGAAGACAUACAUUUGCAUACGUAUUAAACCGAGUUACAAAAUUUCAUUUGAAUUAAAACUUUUAAAUUAUUAACGUGAUUUUAUAAUUCUUUACAACAUAUCCUCAAAAUAUUAUAUUCAUAACAAAAAGGGCCUACGAGACCCGAUAUUUACUCAUGUAAUUCAAAGCUUCAUUUCCAUUUCAUUCAAUUCACAAUUUCUCAUGUUAACAAUUCAAAUCAAUUUCUCAAUCCAAUAUAUAUAUAUUUCAAUCAUCUAAUAAUAUAAUUCAAGUUACACGAACUUACCAGGCUAAAUUGCAGAAAUACCAAAAUUCAGGGACAUUUUGGUAAUUUUCUAUUUUCCUUGAAUUUCUACCCAAUCUUGAUAUAAAUUAAUAUUUCAUUAAAUUUAUUAAUUUAAAUAAUAAAACAAUUCAUUUCAUGCAAUUUGGUCACUUUUUGACAUUUUUACAAAUUUACCCUUAAAAUAUUACUUUUAUUCAAUUUAGUUCCUAAACCUAAAACAUGCAAAUUAGCCAUUUUUAAUGAAAACUCAUACUAGUUGAAUAAUCAUAUAUUUUCCUCCUCCUCCUCUCCAUUCCACAUCCUUAAUGUAUAAUAUGCUUAUAUGUAACAUUAUCUAUAAUUCCACCAUUUAUUUAUAUAUUAAUUCAAAGCUGUCCACUUGAGUUAUAGUCACUAAAUUAUUUAUAUCUUGAUCUACAGAACUCCAAAUUAAGAUCCGCUAAAUUCCUAUGAAACGAGACUCACAUAUCUUAUUACCAUAAUAUUUUCAGAAUUUUUGGUUUAGCCAAUAAGUACAGUUUAUUCUUUAAAUUUUCCUCUGUUUUACUAUUUGACAGUUCUGACCCCUCUUUACUAAAAAUUAAUUAUAUAUUUUUACAAAAUAUGUAUGAUAUUUCCGUUUGUUUCUACUGAAAAUAGACUCAUUCAUGAUUUUAAACAUAUAAAUUUAAGCCUAUAAUUAUUUUUAUUCAAUUUUUUAUGAUUUUCCAAAGUCAGAACAGGGGAACCUAAAUUCAUUCUGACCUUGUCUCACAAAAUUUUUUAUAUCUCAUGAUUUACAAUUCCAUUACUUACACCGUUUCUUCUAUGAGAAACUAGACUUAAUUAUAUUUAAUUACAUAUUUUUUUCAUCCUCUAAUUCGAUUUCCACAAUUUAUAGUGAUUUUUCAAAGUUAACCUACUGCUACUGUCCAAAACUGUUUUAGUGCAAGAUGUUGAUUACUAAGUUUAUAACUCCCUAAUUUCCUUUCUGUAUAAUAUUUCCCAUCAUUUUCACUUAUUUUCCUUCACUAAUAUAUCAAGAACAUAAUAAUUUAUUUAAGAAAACUCUACUAUAACAUCAUUUCCAUGCUUUUUCAACAAUAACAAACUUAAAAAUAUAUUGAAAUCUUGAUGUUCUUACCUUGUGCUAUUGAUUUCAAUCUUUAACUUGAUUUUCUUUCUCCUCCAACUUCUAUCUCUUGAAUCUAACUUGACAUUCUAGCUCCCCAUUGUCUCCUUAUUAUUUUUCUCUCUUGGAAGCUAUGGAAAUAUUUUGAUUUUUAGGUGAAAAUAGUGAAUUUUUUGUGAAAGGACCAAAUUGUAAAGAAAGAAAAACUUUCUUUCUUCUCUUCUCUUCUAACUUUGGUUGAAUGGAAAGAUGAUGAUUUUUCAUCAUCUUUCCUCCCUUUUAUAUUAAUCAUUUAAUAAUAAAAUAAUACUAAAAAUCUUAAUAAAAUAUUAAUUAAAUAACAUUUAUCUAAUUAAUUAAUUAAAAAUAUCACAAACAUCAUCAUUACCUUCUAGAAUUCUCUCUCUCUAUUUAACCAUUUUGCCCUUUAUAAUCUUUUGAAAUUUCAUCCUUGAGUCAUCACUUAAUUUGGUAAAAUUACAAUUUAGUCCCUAAAAAAUCUUCACCUUUUCAAUUUGGUCCUAAUUCAUCCAUUUUCCUUAGUUUAUUGAUUAUUCCACCCUUAAAAUAUUUACACUAUUGGUCCUUCAAAUUUUUCAUAUUUACACUUUAACCCCUCAAAUUUUGAGUAUUUACUCUUGGGCAACAAAACUUUUCUCACUUUUGCAAUUUAAUCUUUUCUUGAAUUAAUAUGUCAUAAUAUACUUCCCAAUGUUGACAUAACUCAAUAUUACCAUUUUUAUCACUUUAUUUCCUUAUUUUACUAUAUCAAGGAUAUUAUUUUACUUUCUUACUGUAGUAAUAUUCGGGGUAUUACACUAAGCUUAAGGAUGAAAUGAGCCAAUUGAUUAGCAUGAUGGGUGACAUCAAAAGACAAUUUGGCACACUAGGAAUAUAGAAGACAAUCCACGGAGGGAGGGGAAGGAGCAUGUGAAAGCGAUAGCACUUCGAUCAGGUAAAGUACUGAGUAGCCUAGAAAACCCUAUUCUAGAGGGAGUUGUGGAGAAUGCAAAUGAUCCUCGAGGGGAAUUCUUAGAAUCUGAAAAAGAACCAAGGCCAGAAAAGUCAAAGACAACAUUGUCUUAGCCAGAAAAAGAAACACCUAAAGAUGGCGAAAUCACAAAGACCUCAUUCCCUUCGAGACUUGAGGAAAAGAAAAAGAGGGAUGAGGACGAAUUUCUAAGUUUCUUGAACCUAUUUAAAACAGUAAAUGUUAAUCUACCUUUACUUGAGUUAAUGAGAAGGUUCCCAAGUACGGCAUGUUUUUAAAGGAAAUGAUAGCGAGGCGUAAGAAAAUUAAGGUAGCAUAACAAGUUAACUUAAUCGCUUCUUGUAGUGUAAUUAUUUCAAGACAAGUGCCUCCAAAACUAAAACAUUCAGGAACAUUUACUAUUCCCAUAAAUAUAUGGAGCAUUCAUUUUAAUAGAGCUUUAUGUGAUCUAGGAGCUAAUAUUAAUUUAAUGCCUCUAUCGAUUUUUGAAAAACUCAAGUUAGGGGAUUUGAAAACUACUUAGAUAACAUUAUAGUUGGCUAACAAGUCUUCAAUACAUCUGAAAGGGGUAUUGGAGGAUGUGCUAGUCAAAGUGUGAAGUCUUAUUAUCCCCGUAGAUUUUGUGGUACUUAAUUUUGAAAAAGAUCGUGAGAUACCGAUCUUAUUAGGUGGACAUUUCCUGGCCACUUCUAGGUCCACCAUUGAUUUAGAGAAAAAUGAAUUAACUAUGAAAAUCAAUGGUGAGAUAGAAACGUUUAAAUAUGGUCAUCAAUCAAAUGAGGAGAGGAAGUUAGGGGAACAAUGUGAAGAGUUAUAUGUUUCUAACAAUCUUGUAUCAAGGGACAAACUUCCUUUUAUGAAUACAGAAAGAAUAAACAGGUUCAAGGAAAGAGACAAGCGGGAAAGAGUGGAAUGACACGACGAGCGAUAGAGUAAUACUGACAGAAUGAAAGAGUUGCCCAUACGCGAAUUGAUGAUACUGUCGGAUGAAUCUGGUAGUAAAACUUAAAAUUUAUUUGAAUUGUUGCUUAAUUUUUGUAAAUUUUUGUAUAUUUAACUAACCAUAUAGUUUAGAUGUUAACUUUUAUUUUAUAUAUGUUUAUUUUGACAUCAAGGCAUCUUUAAAAUGGAAAGUUGGGUUGACCUUUUGUGUAGAAUGUAGGAACUGAAGAAACCAAUUCAAUAACGCGACACCAUACUCCUAUGUCGCGACAUGGAGAUCAAUCUUCCCAAAUCUCCAAACUAGAAAAUGUGUCGCGACAUCGCUGCAAUUUUCUACAGGGUCAACCAGACCCAUUCACGCAACCCAACGGUUUAACCCUUUAAAAGACUUAUUUUCUUACCUACGAUCAGAUAACUCUCUUAUUAAACCUAGCCUAACCUCUCUUUCUUUCAUAUUUUGAAAAACAAUUCUCAAACCACUUAAAACCUAAACCCCCAAUAUCUUAAACAUUCUAUUUCCUCUUUAUUAAGUCUUCAAUCAACAUCGGUGCAACAAGGAACAAGAAUAUCGCGGGGAAGCAAGUAAUUCAAAUAAAAUUUAACUAUAUAUUUAAGGUUAAGGGUUCCUAAAUUCAACUUUUUAUUGUGCCAUUGAAUUGUUUGCUUAGUACUUCAUUAGGAUUGAAAUAUCAUGCUUUUUAGGAAAGUUAGGUGAAUUAUGGAAACAGAGUCAUCGAUGGUUCAAAAUCCCUCUACCUUUCCAAAUUUGAAUGUUGAAAAAUAUUUUAAUGAACUUCAAGGAAAAACAUUUAUUCAAAAGAGGGGAUUUGAUAAACCCAUGAUUUUGUGUAAGGAAAUAUGGCCUUUAGUUAGAUAUCACAGGUGGGAAUGUUUUUGGUCCCUAAAAAUAGUGUUGUGGUCCCUAUUAUUCAAGAAUUUUAUGCAUCCCUACAGGAUCACGAGUCUAGAAACACUGAAGGCCAUAUGUGGGAACUAAUACUUGUGUGAGGGAAAGAAGUGCAAGUAACCCCUCUAUAACGCCCCAAAAUUUAAGUCUUUAAUUCUUUUGCAUAUUUUGUCAUAAAUUGCUUGUUUGCUUCAGUGGUUUAGUAAUUUGGGUGUGUUUGGGAGUGUUUGAGGAGGCUGCAAGUCUUGGCCUUGGCAAAAAUUUUAGUUUUUCCCUUAAAUGAACCUGGAUGCUGGUAUAUAGGCCUUAUUAUUAUUUGUGAUUAUUUUAUGACAAAAAGAGCCUAGUAGUCCAGUGGUAAGUGGCGUGUGAAGUACUCUUAAGGUCUGAGGUUCGAAUCCUGACCUGCACUCUGGAGUGUUUAUUUUUAUCACCUGUGCAGUGAGGUGGUAGAGUUUAACUAAAAUGCUGUGGAAUUUGAAUAGAGGAGUGAAUCAUGGAGAGAAUAGUGGGAUUGUGAUUGGGUGGAGUGAAUCAAGGAGGGAUAAGGGAAAGAGAUUUGUGGAGAAAAUUAAGGAAUUUGAUGAGAAGGGGGAGUGUGUGCCGUUUGGGGUUUUCCAACAGAGAGAAUUCAACUGAGGGAGGGUGUUUGUGCCGAAUUUAGUCACUUAACACUAAAGGUUUUUGGUUUCGAUUUUCUUUGGUGUUUCUUUCUCAGUUUGCUUUGAUUUCGGUGAGUUUCGAGUUUCACAUUUUAGUCUUGGUGCCAAUUUCUUUUUGCCUAGUUUUCGAAAGUACAUCUCGGGGUUGAUCACUUUUCUUUUCUUUUUCUUUUCCUCUGUUUUUUCCCCAUUACGAAAUCCUCCUUUUACUCUCUUUUCCUAUUCUCUUUUCUUCUGGCCGAACCUUUCUUCUCUUCUUUUUUUUUCUUCUUUGGCCGAAUUAUCUCUUUGAUUUCUUCGAUUUGUCCUUUUCAGUUUUUCUCCUUUCUUAUCUUUUAGCCAAACGUUACCCAAUCAUUGUAUCGUUCUCUACGUUGAUCCUCUCUGCUACUUCUUGCCGUUUCUGUGCUGCAGGUUUCUGACUUUCAGUAUGUGGUUUUACUUAUCACUUGAGUAUAUUUGUUCUUCUCCUUUCUUGUUCAAAACCGAAUACUCUUCUUCCUUAACAUUUGAUUGCUUUUGGUUGUUUUCUUCUUUUUUUUGGUGUAGCUCGUUGCGGUUUUAGGGUUCCUUCAAGGAGUGAUGGUUUGCAAGUUGUUGAAAUAAUCAAUCUUGGCUUUAACAUUCAAUCAAGGUAAGGAAGGUGCUUUGAUUUAAGUACUUUUAAGAAGGCAUUGUACCCUAACGGUUAUGAACAAAGUGUGGGACAUGUUUGUUUCUAGGUGGGCGUUCGUGGAAAUAGUACUCUUAUCGUAAACAAGUGUGUAGUCACACCCUCUCUCAAUUGUAAAUCGGCAAAAGCCGAAAAGCCAGAAAAGACGGCGCUAAGACUAUAUUGGCUUGCGAACGCUCGUGUGGUUUAUCGAGCCCACGUAACUCGGUGGUAGACUGUUGAGGCCUCCGUGAGUGGUUUCAUGGGCUUAGGCUGUAAUGGGCGUAAAAUGACCGAAAUACCCGCGAAGGGUAAAAUGUCCAAAAUACCCCCGAAGGGUAAAAUGAUCGAAAUACCCUCGAAUGGUAAAAUGAUCGAAAUACUCCCGAAGGGUAAAAUGACCGAAAUACCCUCGAAGGGUAAAAUGAUCGAAAUACCCUUAAAGGGUAAAAUGAUCGAAAUACCCUCGAGGUGUAAAAUGAUCGAAAUACCCCCGAAGGGUAAAAUGAUCAAAAUACCUCAAAGAGUAAAAUGAUUGAAAUAGCCUCGAAGGGUAAAAUGAUUGAAAUAGCCUCUAAGGGUAAAAUGGCUGAAAUACCCUCGAAGUGUAAAUUGACCGAAAUACCCUUAAAAGGUAAAAUGACCAAAAUACCUUUGAAGUGUAUAAUUAACGAAAUACCCCUAUAGGGUAAAAUGACCAUUAUACCCCUAGGAGAUGAAAUGAUUUUUAUGGCCAUAUGCUAUGUAUGACUGAUUUGCUUUAUGAUAUAUACAUGACUGUUACCGAGUAUGACAUACUGCAUACACGUAUGAUUUAUGACAUGACAUGCUGCAUGGGGUUGGGAUUCUGAUAUAGGGGAAGUAUACUGUACUGGUGGCUAUGCCACAUACACUGUUACUGGCAGCAUUGCUACAUUACUGUUACUGGCAGCUUUGCUGCGUUAUUAUUACUGGCAACUUUGCUACGAUAUUGGUGUGUUGGCUAAGUGGGUCAAUUUUAUCCCCACAUGGUGUGUUGGUGGUACGGAGUGGUGUGUUGGUUGGAUUGGGAUGGGAUGGGUUACAUCACUGCAUUGUUCUGAUUACUGUUUUGGGCUAAGGCCCACACUGUUACCGUAUUGGGCUAAGGUCCACACACUGUUACUGUAAUGGGCUAACACCCACACUGUACUGCUACUGAAUAAGGCUCAGGCCUAGACUGUUACUGCAUAUUGUAUGCUGACUGUUUGGUAGAGGAUUACACACUUAGUUUUCAUAAACUCACCCUUUCCUUUUAACUGUGUAGGUAAUCCUUAGCCAUAGAUGAUUCGGUGCUGCGAAGGACUUGGAGGUGGCCAUACUACUGCUGCUGUUACAUUUGCUGUUAUUUUAACUUAGUUUAUAUAUUGGGUUUUGUUUUUGUAAUAAGGCCUUUAAUUUGGGUUUUAAAUUUUUAAUUGGGUUUUUCCUUGAAUAUUUUAAACUACUAGAUUAGGAGAUGAAGAACUUUAAAAUAAUUACCAUUUUCAAAUACACGAGUUUUAAACAUUAGAGUUUUCAUAUGCUUCUGUGUUUUAAAUCAACUUAAUAUAAUAAUAGUAGUUAAUAAGACAAACAUUUGGUUAAAUGUUCCAUUAAACAUUACUAAAGAGAUUUCUAAACUUAAGAAACGAGUUUUAUCAACAAGUCUAAAUCUUGAGAGACACUCUAAUGUGCCACACCAGAUACGGCCAUAACGUCUAGGCUGGGUUUAGGUGUUACAUUUAGUGGUAUCAAAGCCAGGUUGCAAAACUCCGCUAUGGAAUGGGUUUUGAAAAAAAUAUUUGGAAUUUAUGGAAAACUGUUUUGAAUUAUUUUUGAAGGUUACAAGUGUGGCACACCAAGUCUCCAGGGCCGAAUCUAUAAGUUUCCAUAUACUGUAGACUUCUUAAACUGGAAUAUAUUAAGAGAUUACCGAAACUCGUAGAUUAAAGAAAACUAGAAACUGUAGGGAGACUCUUGAAUUACGAAAACAGACUUUGAUUACUGCUUUUUCAUAAGACAUUUGUUAAUAAUUACUAGAAUCGUAAACUAAUGCAUAAAACUUCGUAAACAAAUUAGACGUUAUUCGAUAUGAGCGCUAGAGGUACUUGUAGAAGGGGUACACGAGGCCAUGGUAGAGGCUAGGGCUGGGUCUUCUGUUGGGGCUAGGGAAGUACCAACUUCACUGAUGACUAAGACGGGAUUAUUCGAUCGAGCGGCUGGUGAUGAUGCACUAUCUCAGGCUAUGCUCCGUAUUCUGGAAAGGGUCACAGAGACCAGUACAGGUGCUGUGGGUCGUGGGUCAAUUUCAGAACAACUGCGGUCAAAUGGAGCAAGAAUCUUCAGGGGUGUUUCUGGAGUAGCCCCUAAUGUGGCUGAAUACUGGUUGGAAGCCACGGAGAGAAUAAUGGAUGACCUUGACUGCACUUCUGAGCAAAAGCUAAAAGGUGCAGUGUCUUUACUGUGAGAUGAAGCCUAUCAGUGGUGGCUUACUCUGAGAGAAGGUACUCAGGCUGAUCAGUUAACGUGGGAUUUCUUUAAUUCGGCAUUUCAAGGAAAGUAUAUAGGUGCAAGUUAUGUGGACGCCCGAAGAAAGGAAUUAUUGAGUUUGGUUCUAGGGAAUAAAACUGUGGCUGAAUAUGAGGCAGAGUUCCUAAGACUGAGCCGCUAUGCUCGUGGGAUAGUGGCGAUUGAAUAUGAACACUGUGUGCGAUUUGAGGAUGGCCUCCGAGAUGAGUUGCGAGUCUUGAUAGCUCCACAGAGGGAGAGAGAUUUUGCUGCCCUAGUAGAAAAGGAAAAAAUCGCCGAAGAUGUAAAGCGCCCUGAGCGCCAGAACCGUGAUAAAGAUAGGGGAAGGUUUAAGAGGGAUUCAGAACCCUCAAGUUCUUCUGGACGACCUAAAAAGAAGGUCAGGUUUGAUGGGCCAGUUUGAGCUGGGGCUUUUGUUGCAAAACCUCAGCCUUAUGCUGAUUGUAGGAGAUAUCAUCUGGGUGAGUUUUAGGACAAGAUUGGGGCAUGUUUCAGAUGUGGGUUUUGUUAAGGAUUGUCCCUAGAGGCCUAUUCAGAUGCAAGCUACAGGUCAGGGUUUUGUUCAACCAGUUAGAGGUGGUCAGCAGCUAUUGAGAGGCCGUGGGCAUGUUAGAGGUGGUAAUGGUGUGGGACGAGGUUGUGGUAAGUUUGGCAGAGGUGUUGGUAAUAGUGAGGUAAGACAUCCAACACUGGUUUAUGCUACUCGUCACCAACAGGAUGGUGACGCUCCAGAUGUUAUAACCGGUACGUUUCUAAUUCAUAAUGUACCUGACAGUGAUAUAAUUGAUAUAAGGUCUACACAUUCAUACAUUGCAUGUAUUGUGUCUGACACCUUGGGUAUCAUGCGUGAGAGUACUGUUAAUGAGAUGACUGUGUUAAGUCCACUUGGACAAUCAGUAAGUUGUUCAGAGAUGUACCCCUACAGGUUCAAGGAGUUAUAUUUCUAGCGAAUUUAAUGGAGCUAGCAUUUGGUGUAUUCAACCUAAUCUUGGGAAUGGAUUGGGUGGUUAAACACAGUGCAAGUUUGGAUUGUACUGCUAAGCGUAUAGUGUUAAAGACUAUUGAGGAUGAGGAGGUGGCUGUGAUUGGGGAGCGAAGGGAUUUUCUGUCUAAUGUGAUCUCUGCAUUAAGGGCCAAAAAACUAGUUCGCAAGGGUUGUGAGGCGUUUCUAGCCUAUGUUGGUUUAUCUGAUUCUGAGGGUCCUUCUGUUGGAGAUAUCAGAACUAUUAAAGAUUUUUCUGAUGUUUUUUCUGAUGAGCUCCCUGGGUUGCCUCCAAGCCGCGAAGUUGAAUUUGGAAUUGAGCUUUCGCAAGGAAUGACUCUAGUGUCUAUCGCCCCUUAUAGGAUGGCACCGAAGGAGCUGGUUGAAUUAAAAGCUCAAAUCCAAGAACUAUUGGAUCGAGGAUUCAUUCAACCUAAUGUGUCUUCGUGGGGAGCACCAGUUUUGUUCGUUAAGAAGAAGGAUGGGACUAUGCGCAUGUGCAUCGACUAUCGAUAAUGGAAUAAACUGACUAUCAAGAAUAAGUAUCCUUUGUCGAGGAUAGAUGAUUUAUUUGAUCAGUUGCAAGGAGUUUCGAUUUUCUCCAAAAUAGAUCUUCAUUCUGGGUACCAUCAGUUGAGAGUUAAGGAGGCUGAUGUGUAUAAGACUGCGUUUAGGACUCGUUAUGGUCAUUACGAGUACCUAAUAAUGUCGUUUGGGCUGACGAAUGCACCAACUGCCUUCGUGGGCCUAAUGAACUGAGUAUUUCAGCCCUACUUGGAUCGGUUCAUGGUGGUAUUCAUAGACGAUAUCCUGGUGUAUUCGAGAACCAAGGAUGAACAUGAUGCACAUCUCCAAUUGUUCUGUAGAUUUUAAGGGAGAAACAACUGUAUGCUAAGUUCAGCAAGUGUGAGUUUUGGUUGCGAGAAGUGACAUUUCUGGGUCAUGUGGUAUCUGCCGAGGGGAUUAGGGUGGAUCCUAGAAAAAUUAAAGUUGUACUUGAUUGGAAACCACCUAAGACCGUAUCAAAUAUUCGAAGCUUUCUAGGUCUGGCAGGAUAUUAUAGACGUUUUGUUGAGGGGUUUUCCUUAAUCGCUGCACCUCUGACUAAGUUGCUGCAUAAAGGGGUACCGUUUAACUGGACUGAUAAGUAACAAGAAAGUUUUGAGAAAUUGAAGAAAGUUUUGACUGAGGACCCUGUCUUAAUAUAGCCAGAGUUUGGGAAGGAAUUCACUGUCUACAGUGAUGCAUCACAUGUUGGUUUGGGUUGUGUGCUGAUGUAGGAGGGUAAGAUGGUUGCUUAUGCAUCUCGUCAGCUUAAGCCUCAUGAGGCAAAUUAUCCUACUCAUGAUUUGGAGUUAUCUGCGGUGGUAUUCAGACUGAAAAUUUGGAGGCAUUAUCUCUACGGUGAGAUGUGUACUAUCAACACAGAUCACAAGAGUCUUAAGUAUCUCCUCAUUCAUAAAAAGUUGAAUCUUAGGCAGCGAAGAUGGAUAGAGCUGCUUAAGGAUUUUGAUUGCUUGAUUGAAUACCAUCCUAGGAAGGCUAGCAUAGUAGCUAACGUUUUGAGCCGUAGGGCUGUAUCUGAAUUGAGAGUGAUGUUUGCUCGUCUCAAUUUGUUUGAUAAUGGUAGUUUGUUGGCUGAGUUGCAAGUUAGACCGACAUGGACUAAACAAAUUAAGGUUGAAAAUGGCAAAACUUCGAAUUUUAGGUUAAAUAGUGAAGGAGUACUGUGCUUCCGUAGGAGGGUUUGUGUACUAAGAGAUAAUGAUUUGAGGCAGUUAAUACUGCGAGAGGCGCAUAGUAGUCCUUAUGCUAUACAUCUAGGUGGGAAUAAAAUGUAUCGAUAUCUUCAUGAGUUGUACUAGUGGCCAGGACUGAAACAUGAAGUAACUGAUUUCAUAGGUAAGUGUUUAACUUGUCAACAAGUGAAGGCUGAACAUCAGUUACCUUCAGGGUUAUUACAGCCAAUUAAGAUUCCACUUUGGAAAUGAGAGAGGGUAACUAUGGAUUUUGUGAGUGGGCUACCCUUAACGCCUAUUAAGAUGGAUUCAGUAUGGGUUAUUGUAGAUCGAUUGACUAAAUUUGCCCACUUCAUACCAGUUCGUACUGAUUACUCUUUGCAGAAGUUGGCUAAAUUGUAUGUGGCAGAGAUUGUAAAACUGCAUAGGGUACCGAUUUCUAUUAUAUCAGACAGAGAUCCUCAAUUUACGUCUCGAUUUUAGAAGAAAUUACACGAGGCUUUGGGUUUUAGACUGGACUUUAGUACUGCGUAUCAUCCCCAAACAGAUGGUCAGUCAGAGAGGGUGAUUCAAAUAUUAGAGUAUAUGUUAAGGUGUUGUCCAAUGGAUUUUCGAGGCAACUAGGAAGAUUAUUUUCCGCUAGCAAAGUUUGCAUAUAAUAAUAGCUACCAGUCCAGUAUUCAAAUGGCACCGUACGAAGCAUUAUAUGGUCGUAGGUGUCGUACUCCUACCUGUUGGAAUGAGUUGGACGAGCGGCAAGUUUUGGGGCCAGAGUUGGUUUCUAAUACCGAAGGGAAGGUAAAACUUAUUCGAGACCGAUUGAAGGAAGCAUCUGAUAAGCAGAAGUCUUACGCAGAUCUUAAACACCGAAAGAUUGAGUAUUCUGUGGGGGACUACAUUUUUCUUACCCUUGGAAAAAGAUAAUGAGGUUUGGCUGGAAGGGUAAGCUUAGCCCAAGGUUCAUUGGGUCUUACCGUUUACUGAAGCGUGUGGGACCAGUUGCCUAUCAACUUGAGUUACCUCCAGAAUUAGAUCGGAUUCACGAUAUGAUCCACGUCUCUAUCUUAAAGAGUUAUCGCUCUGACCCCACACACAUAGUACCAGUUGAGCAGAUCGAGGUUAGGCUAGAUCUGACCUUCGAGGAGAAACCAGUGCAGAUUUUGGAUCGUGAGGUUAAGGUACUGAGGAAGAAAUCUAUUCCUCUAGUCGAGGUUCUUUGGCGUAAUCACAGUUCAGAAAAAGCCACGUAGGAACUCGAAAAGGCGAUGUGACAAUAAUACCCUCACUUUUUUUGACCAGGUAAAUUUCAAGGCUGAAAUUUUGUUAAGGGGGUAGAGUUGUAACGCCCUAAAAUUUAAGUCUUUAAUUCUUUUGCAUGUUUUGUCACAAAUUGCUUGUUUGCUUCAGUGGUUAACUAAUUUGGGUGUGUUUAAGAGUGUUUGAGAAGCCUAGGUUCAAGUCUUGGCCUUGGCAAAAUUUUUAGUUUUUCCUUUAAAUGAACCUGGACGCUAGUAUAUAGGCCUUAUUAAUAUUUGUGAUUAUUUUAUGACAAAAAGAGCCUAGUGUUCUAGUGGUAAGUGGCGUGUGAAGUACUUUUAAGGUCUGAGGUUUAAGUCCUGAGCUGCACCGUGGAAUGUUUAUUUUUAUCACCUGUGUAGUGAGGUGGUAGAGUUUGACCGAAAUACUAUGGAAUUUGAAUGGAGGAGUGAAUCAUGGAGAGAAUGGUGGGAUUGUGAUUGGGUGGAGUGAAUCAAAAAGGGAUAAGGGGAGAGAUUUGUGGAGAAAAUUAAGGAAUUUGAUGAGAGGGGGAGUGUGAGCCGUUUAAGGUUUUCCAACAGAGAGAAUUCGAAUGAGGGAGGGUGUUUGUGCCGAAUUUAGUCACUUAAGACUAAAGGUUUUCGGUUUCAGUUUUCUUUGUCGUUUCCCUCUCAGUUUGCUUUAAUUUCAGUGAGUUUCAGGUAUCACAUUUUAGUCCUGGUGCCGAUUUCUUUUUGCCUAGUUUUCGGAAGUACAUCUCGGGGUUGAUCACUUUUAUUUUCUUUUCUGUUUUUUCCUCUCUCUUUUUCCCCAUUGUCGAAUCCUCUUUUUACUCUCUUAUCCUGUUCUCUUUUCUUCUGGCCGAACCUUUAUUCUCUUCUCUUUUUUCUUCUUUGGCCGAAUAAUCUCUUUGAUUUCUUCGGUUUGUCCCUGUUAGGUUUUCUCCUUUCUUAUCUUUUAGCAGAACAUUACCCAAUCAUUUUAUCGUUCUCUACGUUGAUCCUCUCUACUGCUUCUUGCCGUUUCUGUGCUACAGGUUUCUGACUUUUGGUAUGUGGUUUUACUUAUCACUUGAGCAUUUUUGUUCUUCUCCUUUCUUGUUCAAAAUCAAAUACUCUUCUUCCUUAACCUUUGAUUGCCUUUGGUUGUUUUCUUCUUUUUUUGGUGUUGCUCAUUGCGGUUUUAGGGUUCCUUCGAGGACUGGUGGUUUGCAAGUUGUUGAAAUAAUCAAUCUUGGCUUCAACAUUUAAUCAAGGUAAGGAGGGUGCUUUGGUUUAAGUUCUUUUAAGAGGGCGUUGUACCCUAACGGUUAUGAACUAACUGUGGGACAUGUUUCUUUCUAGGUGGGCAUUCGUGGAAAUAGUAGUCUUCUCGUAAGCAGGUGUGUAAUUACACCCUCUCUCAACUGCAAAUCGGCAAAAGUCGAAAUGUCAAAAAAGAUGGCGCUGAGACCACAUGGGUGUGCGAACGCUCGUGUGGUAUACCAAGCCCACGUAACUCGGUGGUGGACUGUUGAGGCCUCUAUGAGCGGUUUCAUGAGCUUAGGCCGUAAUGGGCCUAAAAUGAUCGAAAUACCCUCGAAAGGUAAAAUGACCAAAUACCCUCGAAGGGUAAAAUGAUCGAAAUACCCCCGAAGGGUAAACUGAUCGAAAUACCCUUGAAGGGUAAAAUGACCGAAAUACCCCCGAAGGGUAAAAUAAUUGAAAUACCUUUGAAAGGUAAAAUGACCGAAAGACCCUUGGUGGGUAAAAUGAUCGAAACACCCUCGAAGGGUAAAAUGAUCGAAAUACCCUCGAAUGGUAAAAUAGUCGAAAUACCCUCAAAGGGUAAAAUAAUCAAAAUACCCCCGAAAGGUAAAAUGACUGAAAUACCCUCGAGGAUAAACUGACUGAAAUACCCUUGAAGGAUAAAAUUAUUGAAAUAACCCUAUAGGGUAAAAUGACCAUUAUACCCUUAGGAGAUGAUAUGACUGUUAUGGCCAUAUGCUAUGUGUGACCGAUUUGUUUUUGAUAUAUAUAUGACUGUUACCGAGUAUGACAUAUUGCAUGCACGUAUAAUUUAUGACAUGACAUGCUGCAUGGGGUUGGGAUUCUGAUAUAGGGGAAGUAUAUUGUACUGGUGGCUAUGCCACAUACACUGUUACUGACAGCAUUACUGCGUUACUGUUACUGGCAGCUUUGCUACGUUAUUAUUACUAGCAGCUUUACUGUGAUAUUAGUGUGUUGGCUGGGUGGGUCGAUUUUAUACUCACACGGUGUGUUGGUGGUACGGAGUGGUGUGUUGGUUGGAUUGGGAUGGGAUAGGUUACAUCACUGCAUUGCUCUAAUUACUGUUUUGGGCUAAGGCCUACAUUGUUACUGUAUUGGGCUAAGGCCCACACACUGUUACUGUAAUGGGUUAAGACCCACACUGUACUGCUACUGAAUAGGGCUCUGGCCUAGACUGUUACUGCAUAUUGUAUGCUGACUGUUUGGUAGAGGAUUACACAUUGAGUUUUCGUAAAAUCACCCUCUAUUUUUAAUUGUGUAGGUAAUCCUUAGCCAUAGACGAUUCGGUGCUGCGAGGGACUCGGAGGUGGCCACACUACUGCUGCUAUUACAUUUGCUUUUAUUUUAACUUAGUUUAUAUAUUGGGUUUUUUUUGUAAUAAGGCCUUUAAUUUGGGUUUUAAAAUUUUAAUUGGGUUUUUCCUUGAAUAUUUUAAACUGCUAGAUUAGGAGAUGACGAACUUUAAAAUAAUUAUCAUUUUCAAAGACACGAGUUUUAAACGUUAGAGUUUUCAAAUGCUUCCGCAUUUUAAAUCAACUUAAUAUAAUAAUGGCAGUUAAUAAGGUAAACAUUUGGUUAAAUGUUCCGAUAAAAAUUACUAAAAAGGUUUCCAAACUAAAGAAAUGAGUUUUAUCAACAAGUCUAAAUCUUGAGAGACACUCGAAUGUGACAUACCAGAUUGGCCAUAACGUCUAGGCCGGGUUUGGGGUGUUACACCCUCGGAUAAUUUGUGGCUUUUAUAAUGCUCCAUACUAUGAAAAUGAUUUUAUUGAUGAAAUUGAUUUAGAAUACUUAUGGGACAUAGAUUUGGAUAACAUUAUAAACUUUUUGACUGAAAUAAGGGGUCAAUGGAAAUAUCAUUCAGCUACCAAUCUUUUUGUAUCCAUUCUUCAAGCUAUUAUGUUUUUAGAGGCUAAGAUGUGGAUCUAAUUUGUGUGUACGAGAAUAGUACAUGCUUUAAAUGUUUCUAACGUUAAUACCUUUAGGGUAGUGUUACUUUAUGCCAUUUUACAGAAAAAAUAGGUAUGUAUCGAUAAAUGGAUCCAUUGAAACAUGAAAAGAUGCCUUUGUGGCUAGAAGGUGGGCAUCAUCUGUCCUCAUCUAGUGACAACUUUAUGCAAAAAGGCUGGUGUACCUAUGACAUCCACUGAGCAGUCGAUAAAACCUUCCUAAAGUAUUAUCAACGACACCUUGUUCCAAUAGUACGUAGAGUUGCGAGCCAAACAAAUAAAGCAUUGGAACAAGCGACAACAAGAAACUACUGCUACACCGGCUUCGUCGUAGAGUUUGACAUGAUCUCUACAAGAAAUCAAUGAAAAUAGUCAUCCAAAUCUUGAUUGGAUAAUACAGUGGAUACAAGAGUCGGGACCAAUUUUUCAAGAAUUUGCGAGGCAAAGCAACAUCCAGGUCCUCAAUUAUACACCUAACAUGUUUGGGCCAACAAAUACAGGGCAAGGAGAAGAAGUGCUUAACAUCGAAGAGGAUGAUGAGGAUGACGAAAGUAAGGAGAUGGAUUUUGAGGAAGAUGAUUGAACUUUUUUUUUUUUGAAAACUUGUAUUAAUUUUUGGAUGAUUUUAAUUUAGACUUUGUAGAAGUAAGAUUAAUAAGUAGAUUUUUAGUACGUUGUAUUUUGUUUAAGUUUUCUAUAUAGGAAUCCAUCACGAAGAAGACAUAAACAAUUCAAGCUUUACACGACCAAAGGAGAAAGCACCCACCAUUAGCAAUUGGAGCGACCACAAUCAAUCGGGUAACUUCUAUCCUUAUGUUUUUAAGGGCUACACAUUGAGGACACAUUGUCAACUAAAGUGUGUGGGGUAAAAUAGAAAAUUUAUUUUAAAAUUUUUCGUUAAUUUUUCUUGUCUUUUGUGUGCUUGAACUUGUAGAAAUACAAGCGAUUGGUUAGGAGCAUAUACAUAGGUUGCUUAUUUUUACGAAUAAAUUUGGCCUAAUGAUAGGUUCUUUUAAUUUUUUUAUUAGACUACUAAGUUUUAUAUGUUACACUGUAAAUAGGCAUUAAGCAAUCAACUAUACCAAGUGAUAUAGAAAAUAUAAGGAAACAAGCAUGCUAGUAGGAAUGAUAAAUGGUUGAAUUUGUAUUUCUUUGUUGGAUUAAAUUUGUGCAUGUUGAGAUAUUGAGGGAUGACCUAAGGCAUUGUUUGGAACACAUCUAGAGCCAAAAAGCUAUCCUAUUUAUAUUUCACCUUUAGUACCAAUUUUUGAGCUUGUUGACACUUCUUGAUGGCCCGCAUUACAAGCCCCAAGCGUGAAAACAUUAUUUUGUAUCUGUCCUUUUUCUUUGGUCCAGCACUACACGAUUAUAGAUGUUUGGCCAUACGUAUUGAGGGUUAAGUAGAUAUAUCACAGCGAAUUUUGUAAAAAUAUAAUGAAAUAGGAGCAAUUGGUGUGAUAUAGGCUAAUGAGCGAAACAAAAAGAAAAAUCCAAAAAGGAAAUUAGUACGAGUAGAAAAGGUCUUAAACUAGCAAAAAAGCAUUCAUGAGUGAGAUGUAUUGAAAAAGAGAAAAAAUCACAAAGUCACAAAAAGAAAGAAAAAUUCAUUCAUUAGUGAACAAAAACUUGUAAGGCUAGCCAUAGUUACUAUGUCAUGCUAUGACUUCCUAUAUCUGGAGAGACAAGGAAGGUGAAGAAAUGAUAAAUUAGGCGGUGAGCGAGUAAAGGUCAUUAAGGGGGAAGAAUUGUGACCAAUACGAUGUGCCAAACUAUUUUCAUGUUUGUAACCAUUUUUUAUGCUUACUAUUUUUGAAUUUCAUACCUGUCCUAAGCCUCAAAACGUUACAAGUUGAAAAGUCCUAUGUGACCUAAAAUAUCCUUAUACAUGAAUGGACAUCAUACUGAACAUAUGCAUAGAUGGCUAUUUGUAUUCUGCUUAGAUAAUCAAAGUACUUGUAUGAUCUGUCGGUGGAUUCCUACAGGUGAGACCCUUAAUACUUGUAUACUUUGUAACAUACUGAACUUAGAUGUUUGUGAUCAAAAGUGGUAAGUCAACUACUCAUCAUUUUAAGAUUGUUUGUAAGUAUGAAAUGCCUAAGUUAUAUGCUCCCAAGUCAAUACUUGUAUCAUAUUUUCUCAGGGGUCGUUAUUUUAUUAUCUUUGUUUAUGUUGCUUGAGGACAAGUAAUGACUUAAGUGUGGAGGAGUUUGAUCUACUGUAAUUUAGUGUAGCAAAUUAAACUAAUUUUUGCACUUAAGAAGCCUGAAUACAAGUAUUUCUGUUAUGUUUUAGUUAAGUUUCUUUAAUUUUACUUAUAUGUAAUAAAAUGUGUAAAUUAUGUCUUUUAUUGACCUUAAGGGCUGAAUGAGGCCUAAAGGAGAGCUAACGUACUUCGUGUGUGUGAAGAAAACCAUUAGAAGGCAUUUUAGGUCGAUACUGGAUGCUAUGUUGCAACAUUGGAGGUCCGAUGUUGCAACAUAGGGAGCAAAGUGGAGAAAAUAUGAAACUGCCUCCAAUGUUACGACACUGACUAAAGACGUCGUGACAUACCCCUAAAGACAUCCCAAGGAGGAGCAUACUGACUUCAAUGAUGCAAUAGAGGUUCUGUUAUGUCGCGACAUUAACUCUUGGACAGAAAACAAAUACAAAGUAAGGGCGUUUUGGUUUGCACAAUCAAACUUAAAGCUCAGGAACGUCAGCUGACCUAGGGUUAAGGACGAUGACCACCUAAAGGCUAUAAAUAGGCUCAUUUGGCACAUGUUAUGGACCCAUUCCAUUAGCUUAGAUUCUCUCUUUAGGUUUAGUUUUGUUUUCUUGUUUUCUUAGGUUUUUUAGGGUUUAGUUUGUUUUUCUUUUUUUUUUCUUUCAAGAGAUCUGAUUUGUGGAGGAGAUCAACUUCUAUGGAUUCACAUUUAUUAUUAAUAUCAAUUAGGCUUUUCAUAAACUCUUUAUUUCAAUUUAUUCAUUAUAAUUAAUGCUUCCAUUCAUUCCAUAUUGUUUAUGAAAGCCAUGUGGAACUAAUCCCUCUAUGGGGGAUUAGCAAGUGGAGGUAUGAUCUGUUAACUGUUUUGUAGGGUCACUCAACAGAUCAGCUGUUUGAGAAAGGAAGAAUGUGAAACAAACCCUGGGCUUGACAACCCUGAGAAGUCAUCAAGGUGGGAAUUAACCCAAAUUUGGUAUUGCCCAUUCGUGAAAACCUUCACCCCAAGCCAAUCUAGACUGUGAGUUCAGCAGAUAAGUAGUUCCUGCUGACUCGUUAUGCUAGUGGAAGAUCGAAAGAUUGAAAGAUCCUACUAGGGUAGCGACUAGUUAAUGGACGGGGAACCCGAAGCAACAGUUGAUGGGGAUUAAUCAAGCGAGGUAAUCACCCAUAAUCGAGAUUUGAUUUACUCUACUCUUCUAUCUCUUUAGUUUUAUUUAUUUUAUUUAUCUUAGUUUAUUAUUACAAAAAACGAAAACCUUUUUUAUGUUUUCAUACUAUAAUAUAUUUAAAAGUACUAAUUAGAUCUUUUAGUGUUUAGGUUAGAAUUGAUCUAGCACUCGCCUCCCCCGGGUAUGGCCCUCAAAGUACUCACCUACUUUAUUGAAAAAUCUAUAUUACAACUCAACCUGUACACUUGUUGAUACCACCUUGUCAUUUUAUAUCUUAUUGCAGUAUUCACACUCUAAACAUUAGUACUUCCGAAGGCGGUCAAUUGUACCGAUUAAAAUGUUAUAUGACUCGUAUGCAAUUUACCUAUUGUUGUGAAUUGUGGUAACAGGAAAGUACAUAGUUAACUUUUUUAUGUAAAAAUGUGAAUUGAAGUGAGUUUAUUAUUUUAAACCAAUGAAAUUAUGAAGCUUUUGAAAUACUUGCUUUGUUCCAUUUUUGGGUCUGUAGUUGACAUUUUGUGAAACGUGUCUAUUAGAUCACUUCAGAGCUCACAUUAUCCAGCUUCUGACUUGGUAGACCUUUCAACAUUCUAGACUAGGUUAUGUGGCAUAUAUAUAGGCUUUGAUAUGUAUAGGUAUUUAGUUGUAUGUAUGGAAAAUGAUAUUUAGAGUUUUUAGAACCUUUGAAGGAUUCUGCAUGUUUUUUGAAAACUGAGUUUUAAGCUAAAAGUAUUGAGUUUAACUCUUGACUUUAGGUAUAUUACUUAGCUGUCAUGAGAAUGAAAGCUUUGGUGUUUGGAAAAGUUAAGUUGGUGAGGUAAAUAAGUAUUAGAUGAAUUUCUAUACUCCAAUUCUAAAGUGUUGUAUAGCUAGCAUAGAUCGUUGUCAAGUUCACUAAUGAUGUAUGAUCUCUAUUGUUUUCAAGUGCUUGUUAUGUAUAAAGUAGAGUAGGUAUAUGAGUAUUCGCAAGUGUGUUGGCAUGUAUGAAAUGGAUAUGAUUUUAUGCCUAAAAAGUAGCAUACUCCAAGAUAAUAAGUUUAUGAAUUGCAUGUGUGAUGGUGGAAUACAGAAGGGAAAUUAUUGACGGGUUAGAUGAAGUUAGGAUUUGAGAAAUGGUGUUUUUUUAUACCCCAUACAGUGUUGUUGGGUGUAAACUGUGAUGGGCAAAGCUCUGGGCCUUACGGAAGGGACACGGUGUUCGAGCAUGAAGGUAGAAAUGGUGAAAUAGAGGUAUGGGCAAAUGGAUAGGGAAACAGAACUCCUCUUAGAUUCCGCAAUUCAAUGUUGCUAAGUGCAAAUCAUGAUUUGCAAAGCUCUGGGCGUUGCGGAGGGGCCACUUUGAUGUUCGAGCAUCAAAGUUAAAUGUGAAAAUGAAUGGUAUUGACUAGUCUUACGAGGCGACACUGUGAUGACGAUAAUUAUGUUUCAUAGAGCAACAUUGCAAUGGCGGUCAGUAGGCUCUAUAGAGUGACACCGUGACAAGGGUAAGGUCCUUUGGGGCGACACUUUAAAGAGGUUUAAGUUGUAAGACCAUAGCUUGACCAUGACGACCAAUGGGGGCCGCUAGGACAUUAAACAUGGGGUAUAUUAUGUAAAGUCAUAAUGUAAUUGAUAGAUGUGUCCCUUUAAAUCGGGAAAUUUCGCUUUGCCUAUGCUUUCUUUUAAGGAUUUAACUAAUGGGCAGUUAAGGAAGACAGAGAAUAAAUAAUUUAUUUUUGGGAUUUUAGCGUCUAGAGUAGAUGGGGAAUUGCGCUCUAGUAAUGUAAUUAGAUGAGAAAAAGAAAGAUAGGUAUAAGAAAAGUAAGAGAUAUUAGGUAAGUUAGUCAAGCAAGAGGUUUGUGGAGUUUUCAACUUUCCUUUAGCGUUCUGGUUUAUUUAUAACCAAAGGAGUGUGUGAGGAGUUAUGGAAAAAUUUAAUGAAUGGUAAGGAACCGUUCAAGUCCAUCAAUGCAUAAAGGACACAUGUUGGCAUCGGGAGAAAUAAGACUCCUUUAGUUUUCCCAAUACAAGAAUAUCUGCCAACUAUUACCCAUUAAAGCAAGUCACACGUCUGCUCAGUGGCAACCCUUUUCGAGUAGGGCUGAUAAACCUUUAUCACCAUUGGAGUAGAACUCCAAAAUCCGAGUGGUAGCCUUGGUACAUUGCCAAGGUAAUGAUGAAAACAUUUAUGGGUGAGCUUAGCUACCCCGUGACAAAAAGGAAUUGACCCAUUAGAUGGACAGAGUUAACGUGAAAACAAAUCUAAGAUUUUCAGAUUUAUUCGCCAAAAUUAAAAACGAGGAGAUGCCAGCCAGGCGACGUACACAUUAGAGUGUCCACCAAAAUAAGAUUAUGAAAAGAAUUUAUGGAUUGUAGUGUAUCCAGCAAUGGAAAGGUCAGAUACACGCCAACGAGCCGGUAUCUAUAUUUUGUUAAAUUUUGAGAGAUCCACAAAUCGAACGAAGCAGGUAUAAAGCAAAUGUAUGGAAGGGUAACCAAGUUGAAGAUCCCGGUAAGAAUGGAGGGUGAUUAAUCUUGUGAACAAUAUGAGGGAAAAGAUGGAAAAAGUUUCUCUGAGUCCACUUUUCAAGUUGAGCAUGAAAAGAAAUUUCAAGAACAAUUUUUUUUAGGGUGGGAGAGUUGUCACACCCAAUUUUUCUUAAGUUAGGAAAUUAGGAAUAAUUGGGGUUUAAAUUGAAAGAAACUGUAAGUUGGCGGCCUCUGCUGAAAAUCAAAAAAUAUCUAAUGACUGAUUUGGACAUGGUUGAGAUCCAAAUUUGGUUCUGUUGGAUUAAAACCAGCUGGUUCCUUAGUGGGAGACAAAAUGAUUACAAACGGAUGGUUUCUAUAGGGUUGAUAAAGGAGUGUGAAGGGUUAUAAAUAAAUGGAAAAUGACUUUCCAGUGAGAAUUCUUCUCACUUCUUUUUCAUUUUUUUCUCUUCUUCAUCAUCUUCUUCCUUUGUUGUUUCGAAGAAGAGAUACUUAUGGGAAGCUCUGCAUGAAGUGGUAAUCAUGACGUUAGAGUCAGAAAAGUUGGGAACCCAGUCAGCUGGCAAGGUUCAAAGUCCUUCACAUAGAAAAUGAUAUUUAGAGUUUUUAGAACCUUUGAGGGAUUGUACAUGUUUCUGGAGAACUAAGUUUUAAGCUGAAAAUACUAAGUUUAACCGAUGACUUUGGUUAUACUGCUUAGUGACCGCCUUCGGAUGUACCAACGUCCAAAGUAAAAAUCCUGCACAAAAGAUGUGAAAAAGCGGUGUCUGCAAGUAUAUGGGUCAAGUUGUAAUAUAGUUAUAAUGGAGUAGGCAAAGUAUUCCGAGGAUCAUAACCAAAGGAGGCGAGCACUAAAUUAAUUCUAAUCUAAGCAUAAAUAGAUCUAAUUAAUACUUCAAUCAAAUUAUUUUACCAAGAAUUAAAUGAGGGAUUUUUGGAUAAAUUACAAGAAAAAAAUAAGUAAAUAAAUAAAACUAAAUAAAUGAAAAACAAGAAAUCAAAUAAGCAAAUAUGUAUUGAAUCUGAGCAUGAGUGAUUAGAUUUUUUCGGGUAGUCAUAAUCAACUGUCAUCUUGGCUUUCUUAUUCAAUCAACUAGUUAAUACCCUAGUAGGAUCUUGCGAUACGUCCACUGAAAUAUUGAAUCAGCAAGAACUACUUAUCUUCGAACCUCACCGUCCAAACUGGUAGGUUAAGGUGUUCACGGAUAGGCACUACCAAAUUUGGGUUAAUUCUCACCUUAAUGACUUCCUAGGUUUGUCAGGCCUAGGUUUAGAUUCUUCCUUUCCUGAAUAGCUAAUCCAUUAAGAAAUCCCUACAAAACAAUUAAUUAUUCACACCUCCACUAGCUAAUUCCCACAAGAGGAUUAGUUCCUCAUGGAUCUAAUAAACAAUAUAAACUCGAAUGAAAGAAUGAACAUAAAGAAAAAUUUCAAGAAUAGAGUUUAGAAGAAGCCUGACUGAAUUGAAUUUAAGAGCUAAAUCCCAUAGAGCUCAAGAACAAUUUUUGAAUAUGAUUUCUCCCUAAAAGUAAAUAAUAAGAAUGAAAAUAAAAUCUAAAACCUAAGAGAAGGGAAAAACUAAGGUCUAAAAAUAAAGAGAAAAUUAUACAAUAGUAGAAUGUGUCUUUUACAUGUAUUAACUGAGCUUUUUUAUAGAUCUAGAGUGGUUGUCGUCAUUAACCCUAGAUCAGCUGAUACUCUCGAGUUUAAUGGUUGAUUGUGCAAACCAAAAUGCCAUUGGCUCGUAUUAAUUUCCAGUACAGAGGUGAUGUUGCAACACAUUAGGUCUUGUGUCGCGACAUACCCUAAACCCUAAAAACCAGCUAUGACUCGUCAGUUAAAUCAAUUGUAGCGAGAACUAAUUUAUCUUCUUAAUCAGAUUUGUUCUUAUUUUUCUUCUUCACCAACACCCUCCAUUUUUAGGCAUUCCCAAAACUUUAAUUGGAAACCCUAACUUACAAAUUCCGGUGCCAUUUUCAAGCCGAAAGAAGAAGAAUAAGAAGAGAAGAAAUUGGGGAUUAAGAUUUGGGAUUUUUGGUUGGAAAAUGAAAAUUGGUUUUUGGUUAGAAACAAUCGAAACUGUAGAAGAGAAAAGUAAAAAAAAAAGAUUUUUUUUAUAUUAUGACAUCAUAAUGACAUCAUUUAUGCCAUGUGUCCUACACUUAACAGUAUUAAAAUCAGGAAUCGAUUUAGUUGACGGAAAAAAUGUUCAGGUACCAAUCUGAAACAAACAAAACUAUAAAUACCAAUUUGAGAGAAAUAGACAAAUUCAAGUACCAAUUUUAUAUUUAACCUUAAUAAAUAUACAAGAUUUAGAAUUAAUGGAUGGAGACCAGCUGGAACUUAGAUGCGUACCAAGACACUGUGAUUUUGAUCUACUUGAUUAAAUACCGGAAAAUAUGAACCACAAAUAUGGAUCUAAAGUAAGCGCGAAGGCUUCACCAGGGACUGCUCAAGUCUCCCUUCGCCCCCUUCACACCGUUGUUCUUCUAACACUUGUUUACACUAUUUCAUGGUAUGAAUAUUCUAAUCUUUCUUUUUCAUCUAUCAUAAUUUCAUUCCAUUUUUUUAAUUAGAAAAAUCACUAUUUUCACCAUUCAGUAGAAGUAGAAGUAGAAGUUUAUACAUGUUCUUACCUCAUUUUCAUUCAUAUCAAAACCUGCCUUUUCAUCCCUUUCAUUCGAUGAUGUGACUGACAAAGGAGUUUGUUGUCUAAUUUAUAGAUGGAGAUUACUAUAAAGGAGUCUACCAUUGUUCGUCCAGCUGACGGCACUCCUAAAAGAAGUCUAAAAGAAGUCUAUGGAACUCAAAUUUAGAUAUAGUGAUGGCAAAAUACCACCUCCCUACUAUAUACUAUUAUAAGCCAAAUGGUUCUUCUGAUUUCUUUGAUACUGGAAGACUUAAAGAGGCUUUGAGCAAGAUUCUUGUCCCAUUUUACCCUAUUGCUGGAAGGUUGGGGUAUGAUGAAAAUGGAAGACUUGAGAUAAUAUGCAACGCUGAAGGAGUUUUAUUCGUUGAAGCUGAAACUACUUCAGUUAUGGAACAUUUGAUUGGUGAUUUUACUGAUUACUCUCAAGUUUUUCGUUUAGUCCCUAAAGUCGACUAUUCUGGAGGAAUAUCUUCUUAUCCACUUCUUGUAUUGCAGGUAAUAUGCAAGCAUUUCAUCGGAAAAAGGAGAUAAAAUAUAAAAAGUUAUAUAAUAAUAGUUGAUUUAUUUUGUGUAUAUUUUACCAGGUAACUAAGUUCAAAUGCGGUGGAGUUUGUCUUGGAGUAGGGUUCAACAUACUUUAGGAGAUGGCACAGUGGCUCUUCAUUAAUUCAUCAAUAGUUGGGCUGACACCUCACGGGGCUUGUCUCCUGCCAUUGCACCAUUCAUCGAUCGAACUCUUUUUCGUGCUCGGGACCCACCAACGCCUAAGUUCCACCGUGUUGAAGAUGACCUUCUCCGGUUUUGAAGUCUGCAUCAAAAUCUCAAUCAAAUGAUCAUAAGCCAUCCAUUGUCUCCACCUUUAAGCUCACAGCUGAUCAAUUGAACACCCUGAAAGCCAAAGCAAAUGUUGCAAAUGCAAACGGUGGUAUAAAAUAUAGCAGCUUCAACAUCUUGGCUGCACAUAUAUGGCGGUGUAAGUAAAGCAAGGGGUCUCUCCGCCGAUCAA
rnacentral:lncRNA from 1 species